rnacentral:lncRNA from 1 species
CGAAUUAGAGGACAAAACGGUCCAAAAGUGGGAAAAAUUUGCGGUGGUGGCUAGAAAUUGAUGGAAACGGUGGGGAAAAACACACGAACUGGACUCUAACUAGACCUAACCAGCAACAGGACCUCAACAAGAACACAAACUCAACACUGCGGACUCUGAAACUGAAAUAUGCAAAGGCUUUGGCGCGAAAGGGUUGUAGGACACGAAAAUGAUAUAGCACUGGACUUAUGGUACAAACACAAGAACACUCGAAACUAAGGGUGGAUGUGAACCUAACUGUAUACCUAAAACUUUGAUUACCACUUGAUGAGAACAAGAGUGACCUGAUCUUCCAAAAGGUUCUGGUAACUCUAGAUUUGGUGGAGACGAGAAACAAAUCGAUCCGGCUUCCGAACAACAUCAUAUGAAACCGUGCAAUUUUUUUAUUUUUUUGAUAUUUUUCUUUUAGUUACGAGCACCAAAGGAGUAACCACAGAAAAUUUGAGCUUAAACAAGUGAAAGACGUGGCCUGUGGAAUUUUUUGAAGAUUGUGAAAAAUGUGAAAAAAACUUCACGAGGUGAAAACUCAAACUUUGGAGGUGAAUUUUGAGGUUCUAAAAUUUUCAAACCCAACAAUGGAGGGGACAGACAGAUCCAAAAAAAAAUUUCGGAUCGAUUUUGAUAUAUGGAACGUUGAAAUCGGAGUUCGUAUGCGAAAGUUAUGGCUAUUUUACGUACGGACUACGAAUUAGAGGACAAAACCGUCCGAAAGUGGGAAAAAUUUGCGGUGGUGGCUAGAAAUUGAUGGAAACGGUAGGGAAAAACACACGAACAGGACUGUAAUAAGACCUAACCAGCAACAAGACCUCGACCAGGACAAACUCAACAAUGCGGACUCUGAAACUGAAAUAUGCAAAGGCUAUGGCGCGGAAGGGUUGUAGGACAUGAAAACGAUAUGGCCCUGGACGUUUGGGACGAACACAUGGAAUAACACUAGGAGUGUUACAUCAUCGGCAGUAAUCUAGUGCUGAGGAUCCACCGAUGUGCUUUUUUCAGCUGCCUCUGAAGUCAAUACUUUGGUCUUUCCCUUAGCAUCCAACAUAUUUGUAGGGAAAUGAUGUUGGUCGAUCUUCAUCGGCUUUUGAGCUUUGGAGUUAUCGAACCUAAUUCUCCCAAACUCUAUAGCCGACUGCAGCUGCUGCCUGAAAACUUUGCAUUCAUUUGUACUAUGAGAUGUUGCAUUAUGCCACUUGCAAUACUUAAUCUUCUUUAAUUCUUCUGCCGAUGGAAUCACAUGGUUAGGUGACAACUGAAUUUGCCCCUCCUGAAGCAAAAAGUCAAAUAUCCUAUCGGCUUUGGUGAUGUAAAAUGCAAACUUUUCUGGAUCUUUAUGCCCAAAAGGGCAAGACAUCGGCUUUUUAUUUUUUACCCAUUCUGCCAAGCUGAUGACUGGCUCUUCAUCAGAAUCUGAGCUCGUUGCCUCAUCGACAAAUGACACCUUUUUGUUCCAUGCCCUCUUGGGUUCAAAAGCUUUGAUAUCUUGGUCAGAAAUCCACUGCACUAAAUGGCUCAGACUUUCAAACUCUUGAGAAGCAUACUUGUCUUUAAUGUGUGGCAACAACCCUUGGAAAGCCAAAUUGGGGAGCUGCCGAUCAUCCAAAACCAGACUAUAACAUUUAUUCUUAACAUCUCGCAACCUUUGCACAAAGCUCUCAACCGAUUCGUCAUUGCUCUGCCUUAGCCUGACUAAAUCGGUAAUCUUCUUCUCAUGCACUCCAAAAAAGAAGUAUUUAUGGAACUAUUUUUCUAGAUCGGCCCAGGUGAUCACUGAGUUUGGAGGUAAUGAAAUAAACCAAGUAAAGGCCGAUCCAGACAAAGAUGAUGAGAAUAAGCGAACCCUUAACUCAUCUCUGUUAGCAGUUUCCCCAUACUGGAUGAUGAACCUAUUAACAUGCUCCAUGGUUGACGUAUCAUCCUGCCCCGAAAACUUGAUGAAAUCCGGCACCUUGUACCGAUUUGGAAGCGGAAUUAAGUCAUAUGCUGGAGGAUAUGGUGUCCGAUAAGAGUAAGUGUUGACUUUGGGUUUUAUCCCAAAUUGGUCUCUCAUCACCUCAGCUAUCUUAUCGGCCCAGUAAGCAUCAGCAUAUUGCCGAUGAGCUUGUUGUGGAUUCGGCAUCUGCUGAUAAGCUUCCACAUGUCUCUGCAGUGCACGAUCCCUACAGAACAUAGGAUUAGCCACCGCCUGUUGACCACCAACUUGGUGACCAAGAUUCAUCGGCUGGUUGAUCAACCCUUGAUUUUGAAAUCCAGGUUGCAUUGGUCCUUAUUGAAAUCCCAUAGCCUGAUGAUUUUGCUGAGGCAUCUAUGGAAAGACAAACUGCCCUGUCCAUCCAUUGUUAACAUUCAUCGGCGUAGGUCCUGCCGAUGGCUGAUAAUUGGGCAUCAUCAUCAAAUUGACAUACCCUAGCUGUGUCAUAAACCUUUGCUGUGUCAGCAUUGGAUCUGCCGAUGCAUUAGGCAUCUAGAACGUUGGCAUUUGAGAAUUCCUAGCAAAAGGUCUUGUAGUAGUAGUUGUAGAAUACUUGGGAUUCUGAGUCAUCGGUGAGCCUGGGGGUGCCGAUGCCAUAGGAGCAUUGCCUGUCAUGUCAGCCACUUGAGAUGUCCCAGAACUUUUUGCCAUAAAUUCUGGGGGCAUACCAUAUCCCCACCAAUUGGGAGGAACAAAUACUGACAUUGCUGAUGCUAAUAAAUCUGUAGCAAGUUUGACUUGUCCCUCUGAUGUUGAUGGAUUAGUCGUCAUCGGUGUAGAUUGCGCAUUAGUCAUCCCUAAUGUGCUUGGAGGAGAAGUAACUUCCGUACCUGCAACCGCUGUAGUAGCCGAUGGAGCCGUAACCGAUGAUGAUCCUGGCUGNNNNNNNNNNNNNNNNNNNNNNNNNNNNNNNNNNNNNNNNNNNNNNNNNNNNNNNNNNNNNNNNNNNNNNNNNNNNNNNNNNNNNNNNNNNNNNNNNNNNGGCUAGAGUAUAGUGAGUCCAAGGAUGCUGCUUAUUGCUUAUAUUGUUAUCUUUUCUUUAAUUCGGGGAAGACAGAAAAAUUUGGAAGUUCUGUCUUUGCGCGAUCGAGGUUAUCAAAAUUGGAAGAAUGCUAAGGAUACUUUUCAUAAGCAUAGUGCUUCGAAGACUCAUACAGAGGCCAGACUGAAGUGUGAUGAUUUUAUGAACCAAAGGACAAGUGUGGGUCAAAGAAUAGUUGAGGUAAGCACGGAGGAAGAAAAACGAUAUGAGAUUCGUCUGACAUCAUCUUUAGAUGUUGCAAGAUUUCUCAUAUAUCAAGGGCAACCUUUUCGUGGAGAUGAUGAGAGUUCUACUUCCCUCAACAAGGGUAUGUUUAGAGAGAUGGUUGAUUGGUAUAAGGAUAAGGUAGAUAUAGUCAAUGAUGCAUAUGAAAAAGGUUCUAAAAAUUUCCAGAUGAUAUCUCUUGAUAUACAAAAGGAUCUUACAAAAGCUUGUCCUGAGGAAGUCACAGCUGUCAGUAUGGAUGAGAUCCUUGGUAGAAAAUUCUCAGUGCUUAUUGAGGAGUCUCGGGAUGUAUCAAUAAAAGAGCAAAUGGCAGUGAUUCUAAGGUUAGUAUUCCACAGUUGCAAUUUUGUUCAUAGAUUUUAUUAUAAUUAUUUCUGCAAUUAUACUAACACAUAAAUAAAUAUACUGUGUAGGUUUGUGAAUGAUAAAGGGAAAGUGGUGGAGAGAUUUCUUGGGCUUCAGCAUGUUCAGAGUUGUACAGCUAUUGCAUUGAAAGAGGCUUUGGUCAGUAUGCUUUCAAGUCACAAUUUGUCUAUCUCUAUGCUUCGUGGGCAAGGGUAUGAUGGAGCCUCUAAUAUGAGAGGUGAAUUUAAUGGGGUCCAAAAACUGAUCCGUGAUGAAAAUCCUUAUGCUUUCUAUGUGCAUUGUUUUGCCCAUCAAUUGCAACUAGUGGUGGUUGCUGUUUCAACUUCUAGUGCAGAUAUUGCAGAUUUCUUUAACUAUGUUCCUUUAAUAGUCACCAAUGUGGGUGCAUCUUGUAUGAGAAAAGAUGCUUUGCUUGCAAAGCAUCAAGAUGUGUUGCUAGAAAAUAUUGAGAAGGGUGAGAUUAUGACUGGAAGAGGUUUAAAUCAAGAAAGUAGCCUAGCUAGGCCAGGAGAUACUAGAUGGGGUUCACAUCUUAAAACUUUGCUUCGCAUUUUGGUGAUUUGGGAGGCUAUCAUAGAUGUGCCUGAGAUAGUGAAGAAAGAUUCUAUUAAACCAAGAAAUAACAGUGGAGCUUUAGGAUUAAUUAAAAAAAUGGAGAGCUUUGGUUUUGUGUUCAUCCUGCAUUUGAUGAUACAAUUGUUGAGCAUGACAGAUAUUUUGUCACAAGCUUUGCAAAAGAAGGAUCAAGACAUAGUUGAAGCAAUGCAUUUGAUCUCAGAUGUGAAAGAUAGCUUGCAGGAUAUGAGGGAAAAUGGAUGGGAGCCAUUACUCAAAAGAGUGAUAACAUUUUAUGAGAAGAAUGAGAUUGAAGUGCCGGAUAUGGAUAAGGAAAUAAAUGUUAGAGGGACAUCUAGAAGAAGGAAGCAAAAGGUAACAAACAUGCAUUACUAUCAUGUUGAACUUUUUCUGGUCGCCAUUGAUGCCCUCUUGACUGAGAUGAAUCACCGGUUUAGUGAAACUAGUUCAGAGUUAUUACUAUGUAUGGCUGCUUUUAACCUAAGGAACUCCUUCUCUAAUUUUGAUGUGGACAAACUUGUGAGGCUUGCUGAAAUUUAUGCCGAUGAUUUUGAUAUUGGUGAACUUGCUGUUUUGCCAAAUCAUCUUACACAGUUUGUCAACCGUGCUAGAAGAACUCCAGACUUUCUUGGAUGCAUUGAGCUUGGAAAAGUUGCUGAAAUUAUGGUCAAGACUAAAAUGCAUACAUCUUAUAAAUUGGUUUAUCGUCUCAUUGAGCUAAUCUUGAUACUGCCGGUGGCAACAGCUUCAGUUGAGAGAAUAUUUUCAGCCUUGAACAUUAUAAAGAUAGAUUUGCGCAAUAAAAUGGGUGAUGAAUGGCUCAAUGAUUUGAUGAUAUGUUAUACUGAGAAGGAGAUAUUUAGAAAGAUUGAUAAUGGAAAGAUCAAAAAGCGGUUUCAAGAGAUGAAAAAGCGACGUAUGUUAUUGCCUAGAAAAGUAGUGGUACGCUCUAUUCUCUUCUAAAUUUAUAAUUUGGAGGUCCAUAUAUGUAUCACUAUUAUGUCUAUUUGCGUAGGUUGCAGCUUCGGAGGAAUAAUGUGGGGCAAGCGUAGUGAUUAGUUUUGCAAUUGGUCCUUUCGGUAUUUAUGAACUUCAUCUUUUUCUUUCAUGACAUAUUUUGUGAAUUUUUGUUGUUGGUCGACGUUUUCAAUAUAAGCUUGAUUUAUGCUAUUAUAUAUACGUCUAUUGUGAAAGGGUCAUAGUAGAGAUAAAUUGUCGUAGACUUGUUCAGCCCGCCCUAAAUUUUUUUUCUAGCUUCGUCGAUGCUCCCACGCCGCAUCCCCUCUCCACAAGGAACCGCAGCCCCCUGAUGUGCUCGUGUCGAGGUCGGCUUUCGGCGACGAUCUCCACGAUGGCCUGCGAGCUUGGCUCCGGAUUCGCGCCUGAGUGACGGCGCGGCUUCGGCCGAUCACCUGCUCCGGUCCUGCCUCACCUGACCGAGCCGUGCUCGUGCGCGCCGACCAGUCGACGGACGACGACCGAGCCGCACUCGUGCGCAGCAGGUGGAGGAGGACUGGGUCGCCGCGGAACCUGGCUUCUAGGACGCCAAGCUCCAAGCUCGUCUCGCCCGCCACCGGAGGACCUCGCCAAGCCGCACGCGACGCGACGCCUGCGACCCCUACACCGGCCUCUGGAACUGGUCCAACCCGGCUUCUACGACGCCCAGCUCCAAGCUCGUCUCGCCCGCCACCGGACGACCUCGCCAAGCCGCACGCGACGCGACGCCUGCGACCCCUACACCGGCCUCUGGAACUAGAACUGGUCCAUGUCCGUUCCUUGCUCCCCUCCCCUUACUGAUUUGUUUUGUUUCAGCACCUGAUUUUGGUAGUGAUUUGUUUCUGAAUCCUGGAUAGAUAGAAUCGUUUCAGCACUUUGUUAUUGAUUUGUUUUGUUUCAGCACCUGAUUUUGGUAGUGUUUUAUUUCUGAAACCUGGAUAGAUAGAAUCGUUUCAGUACCUGCAUUUUUGUAUUGAUCUGAACCUGCAUUUUCUGAUAGAUCUUUUGACAGUGAGGACACUACUACUACUAUUAGGCAGUAGCAAUCACUACAUUAAACCUGAAAUUUCUUAUUGAUCUCAGCCUGUUUCGCUUGGUCAUCUCGAAGUGAUGUGAGCCUUGGAAAUGUACUGAAUUGAAAUCCACUUGCGGCAAUGUCUUUUAUAAAAUCACUGUACUUUUGGUAGUUCUAUAAUGGCUGAGUAGGAGUGUUUUGGCUUUGCAAGUAAUUUUUUUUAGACAAUGGAUUCAACUCUGGGCUGCAAAACAGUAAAGAUUUACGUUUUAGAAUCACCUAGCUGGAUGCUUGCAACAGAUGUAUGUUUCUCCAAAAAGGGUUGGAGGAAAGUAGAUAUCCUUUUCAAUCGAUCAUCAUACUUUUGUCACUAUGCCCUGUCUAUAUUUUCUUUUAUAAACAUUAUUUGCAGGUUUUAGAAGAUUUACGCACUAUUUGGAACUGUGUACUGACAGAAAAGCUGCAUAUCAACCCAAGAGACAGAGGUCUAUAUUCUGCAAUUCUUGUUCUUGGGAAGACAUUUGACAACCUAGGUAUUUCUCCCUUCAUCAUACAUAGAAUUUUACGGUGCAAGGUGGGCUCACCAGUUUAUGAAGUACAUCUUUUUGUCUUGAUGAAAAGCUGAUUUCCUGUAGUUAGCACUUUUGUCUAUUUUGUAGAGAUAUAUAGAUAAUAACCAAUAGUUUGUAUAUGGAUGUAGUUUGUCUUGGAUGGUACUACUAUGCACACUAUGCAGCUAAGAAGUAAGCCUGUUGCUUUAUUAAUUAGUCAAAAUUUUGAUAACCUGUAAUGUGUGCAAUCCCCCUGCUUGGCUUAUCUGGUUGGAAAAUAGAUAGAUGAUGUCCAGUUAGAAGAUGAGGAUUGGUUGGACAAUAGAUGAUAUAUGGACAAUUGGAGAUAUAAUAUGAGGAUUCACAGUUGAAAUGCUGAUUAAAACUAAAUUAGGUCUAACUUGGUGGAAUGGCAUCUUCGGUUUAUUCUCCUGUUUACUCUUUUCAUUGCCUGUCACUAUAUUGAAAACUGAGAGGCCUAAAUGCAAUGUCAAUCCAUAGUUUCUUAGUUAUGCUAAUACAAGAAAAAUGCUACCAUUUGUUCGCCUGCUGCCUUUCAGAUCCAUGGGAAUAGUUUUGCAUAUUCUCUUCUGCUAUAACUGUUAUAUUUGUGCUGUUACCGCUUACCAAUAAGACAUUGAGUGAGAAAAUAAUUAGCUUGCAGGGUUGGAUCGCUGUCCAAAAUCAGGUUUAACAGCCUGAUCCAUACGACUGUGAACCUACGCCCUUUACAAGGUUGGCAGAUUCCUAUCUGAAACUACAAUUUUCGCACUAAUUACUUUAAAGAAUACGCAACUAAAUGUAAACCAAAGUUUUGUGUUCCUCCUUCAUAUCAUAUCAUAUUAGCUGUUACCUUUAGCUUUUGAACUCCAUUUUUCAUACCUCCCAUCAUUUUAUCCUAGGUGGCUAAAUUUGUGCAGUGGUUGCAAAUUAGAUUUGCCAUAAUGGUUGGAAAUAUAUUUCUCAUCCAGCCUAAGUAUGGCACAUGCAUUGAUUUUUAGUAGUGAGCAAUGAGUAGUACUGUUUUCAAUAUCAGGAUCAUUUGAUGCUUUUUAACUAAAAAAAGCGGCAAUCAUCUGUGGUACAAUGUCUAAAUGCAUUCAUUUGUAAGCCAAGUGGAGUUUCUGCUAAUUUGACAGGAGUACCAUGAACCCCAAGUUUAGAAAAUGAGUUGUGUCUACUUUGUUGAACAAAAGCAAUGAGAUUAUUUUUGCUGGGACAGCCUCAGGAAUCCUCGCCUGCAUCUUGGUGGCCCGCAUCUUGGGGACCUGUUCCUUGGUGCCAGUGAGGUCAGUCAAUAAGUCUAUGGUUUUGAUCUGUACUUGCAUUGUUGAGAUUAUGCUCUUGAUGUAUCAAAAUGUGUUUUUCCUCUUAACAAAAAAUGUGUAAGCAAUAAUCGCCUCGUGUCUAAUCAUCCAUAGUUUGUGUGAGUUCAAAAGGAAAUAUGUUGUAGUUUAGUUUAGAGCAACAAUUUAGUUGGCAAGUGACAAUGCAACUUGCAGUAUUCUCUAACUCACUGAACUCAUUUCAGUGGAGUUUUUACUUCACUGAUGAUCCCUGAUUUUUUUGUAAUAAAAAUGUUAUCACUGCAUAUUUUCUGCCUCUUUUAUAACUGUAAAUUGGUUCUAUCGUCUAACCAACAAGACUUAUGUCAGUAUAGAACUUCGAUAUUCAGAGUUCGCCUAUUUUGAAUUGUUGCUACCAAGUGAUUGAUUUGCUGUAAUUUUAUGGUUCGCACCUGCCAGGUUUAGGUGCCAGUUUUACUUCACAUGUUAGUCUUUGGGUUUCUGUAGUUACUUUGCAUUAAGACUUCAUCGCAUAAGAAAUAUACUUGCAUAGCUAUCUUUCAUAUUCUUCAACUAAUGGUUACCGUAUUAUACAAGUGGUUGAAUUGUGGGUACACUCAAUGGAAAAUAGUGCCUCUCAUACACCAUUGGGUGACAAGACUAACACUACUAAUAGAGGUAACCAAAAUAGAAGAGGAAUUAUUAUAUAUUAUUCAGUGUAUUGUUUAUAUUAUAUAAAUGAUAAUCAAUAAUAUAUGGAUGUAACAAUGCAGGAAGCGAUGUUGCACAACACAGGAAAGAAAGGGAUAAGGCUCGAUGGCACGCAAUGUCGCAAGAGAAAAAAGACGAAAAAAAUAAAAAACGUCGUGAAGCAUAUAAAAGAAGAAAGGAGCAACAACUAUGGAUCGAAACUACCGAUGGUUGUAUAUUAUAAAUGUUGGUGAAUAAUAAUAUAAGAUACUAUUGUUGUUUCUCAUAUUCGUUGUAUCAUAAUUGAUAGAUGCUCAGGAUUCAUCAAACAAGGAAAAUGUGGAUCCUAAUAAAACAGAUGAUUGGUUGCAUAGGAAUGAUUCACUCCAUGCAAACAAUAUUGAUGAAAUACUUAUAUCCAAUCCGAUGUCAGGUAAUAAAAUUAUUGUUAGUAUGGAAUCAACACCUACAUUAUUGUGUUGUGUAGCUUUAUAUACAACGAGAGGAUCAUUGAUGGAUAUUUGGUGUGUAUUGUUUGCCUUCCUACUAUCUUAAUUCAAACACGACUAUGUAGGUGAUGCUGGUGAUGUAGUUACUGCUCGCAGCAUAAUUAAUCAGGCAAUGCGAUCACAAUGCAGUGAUGCUUCACGUAAGAGAGAGUUAACAAAUGAGCAAGUCAUGGCUCAUCGUGCAAAAUGUAGGAUGCAACAUGCAAACAAGACACCUGAGCAACGGGAACAAAGGCGCAAGCGACAGAGGCUUUAUAAUCAAGUUCCAUCUCGUAAAGAGGCAAUGAAAGUGGCUAAAAAACGCUCCAGGGAGGUGCGGACACACACUUUAAACAAUGAGUCCAUCGCAAUGGAAAAUCCACUCUUUAAUCCAAUUAUGGAGUGGCCCACUGCAAACUCAUCUAUGCCAGCUCAUGGACCCACAGUAAGCCCUAGCGAUUGGGCUAUCCCAGAAUCCGCUACAACACCUAUUUGCUUCCCACAAGCUCCUGAUGAGACAAAUGAAGAUGAUGAUGGACGCAGUGAUAUAUCGCCUGGUCAUAUGACACAUAGAUAAAAUAUACCAUGUGGGCAAAGGCAUGCAUUGUUAACCCGCCGUAACAAUGUGUUUGAGCGCCUCAUCGGUCAGAACACGGGAAAAUCUAAUAAUGAGGGUGAAGACAACGUGGAAGAAAAUACGCCAUUACCUCAGUCAACCGUGACCAACAACGGUAAAUAAUGAGGCCUUCGUAUCCAUGUUCAUUCACAUGAAACAAACUUUAUUCCUACCUUAACUAUGUCCGUUAUGUGAUUGACAGGAAGCGCUAGAUCAAACAAUCAAAAUGCAUCAGCUACACCUGGACAACCAUUAUUUGAUGAUACAAGUAAUUUGCACUACUUUGAACAUUGUGUACAAUAUUUGUGUUCCUUUAAUGUUAUCUGAGUUGUAAUAUCUCAUGACAUUGUGAUAAUCUCAGAUGAUGAUGAGGGUGAUAUAUUUGAAGAUGAUGAGUAAGAGGAUGAGGGAUGCUUGUUUGCUGGGCAAGGUAUUUGUACCAAAUACCUAUUACCUUUUUAAUUAUCCGCUCUUUUAUCUAACCUUGAUUUUUUUUGUUCAAAUCAUUUCAACAGAAGAAUCAGAUGAUGAUGUCCAAAGUGAUACUACUGAGGAAGACACGACUUCUAACUUUGAAGGACCUGACCCGUAUGAAGUGGUGUAUAGUAACAUGCCUAGGGAGACACACAUGCUAAAACCUGUACCAGAUUGCAAACAUUGUGGAGCAAAGAGAUUUCCAAAAGAACCUCCUAGGUUUUGUUGUAGCAGCGGAAAGGUUGAGCUGCAUGCGCCUGUCGUACCAAACCAGCUCAUGAGGCUUUGGACAAGCUCUGACGCGGAUGCUAGGCACUUUUGUAACAAUAUCAGGUUUUUCAAUGGUCACUUCUCUUUCACUUCCCUAUAUUGUCGCCUCGACAGUGCUACUGCUAACAUUAGAAAUAGUGGCAUAUAUACUUUUCGUGCACAUGGCAUGAUCUAUCACAACAUAAGGUCAUUUGGCAGAGAAGAUGGUAAGGAGCCUAGGCAUCUUGAGCUUUACUUCUAUGAUGAUGAUCCGAGCCUUGAGUACCGGUACCGAAGGUGUCGUGAAGAGCAGUAUCAAAAAGAUAAAGAGGUUAUAAACAGACUCGUGGCCAUCCUUCGUGACAACCCAUAUUCACAACAUUUGAGGAGUCUGGGGAACACUGAACACCUCGAGGACUAUCGUCUUACACUUAACCUUGAUCAGCGAUUGGACCAAAGGACAUACAAUGUCCCGAUGGCUUCGGAGGUGGCUGCUGUUUGGAUCGAGGGUAGUGAACUCCUUGGUCAAUUUCAGAAUAGUGUUGUCCUGCAUGGGAAAGAUAGGAGCAGGCAUGGCAUCCGAUCGUACCAUGGAUGCUAUGAUGCUCUCUCAUACCCACUCUUUUUCCCUAGAGGUGAGCUUGGAUGGCACAUGGAUAUCCCAAAAAAAGGUGUUACUAUAGAGGAUGUCAACACGGCUCAUGCCCUGCGUAAGGCUCGUACUGGUAUUGAAGAAGAAGAAGAAACAGGUUUGUAUAUCUUCUUGUACUUUUCAUGCAAAUCAAAUCAUUAUCACAUGAACACCUCUAAUACCAUAAUUUUUUCAGACUCCCUAGGAAAUUUAUGUGUUUCGGUGCAUGACUACUACUGCUACAAGUUCUAGAUACGGCCAGGAAUAUUUAAUCCCAUACUUUAUGGCAAGCGUCUUUUCCAACAAUUUGCAGUGGACACGUACAUCAAAAUCGAGAGUUCUCGAUUGGAUUACAUACGCAAUCAUCAAACUGAGAUUAGAGCAGAUCUCUACCAAGGAUUGGUUGAUACCCUACAUGCUGGUGAGGGUAGAUCAGAAGCUGUUGGAAAGCAAACAGUGAUGCCUUCAUCGUUUAUCGGAGGCCCGAGGGACAUGAGGUGUAGAUACAUGGAUGCCAUGGCACUGGUGCGAAGAUUUGGAAAACCAGAUAUAUUCCUGACUAUGACAUGUAAUCCAAAGUGGAAUGAGAUCACACGUGAGUUGUACCCUGGACAAACACCACAGGAUUGUCCGGACAUUAUUGAUCGAGUUUUUAGGGCAAAACUAGAAGAGCUUAAGCACAUGUUGUUAAAAAAGGAUAUCCUUGGAAAGGUUCGUGCACACAUGUAUGUUGUGGAGUUCCAGAAGAGGGGUCUUCCGUAUGCACAUUUUUUGCUAAUCAUGGACAGACGCUACAAGAUCACGUGCCCAGAGAAGUAUGACCUUCUCAUCUCUGCCGAACUCCCAAACAAGAAGAAGUAUCCAGAUUUGUAUAAAAUGGUUACAAAGCAUAUGAUGCAUGCACCUUGUGGAAUACUUAAUCGCAAUUGUCCGUGCACAAAAGGCCGUGAAUCAUGCAAGAACCAUUACCCACGACCUUUCUGUGAUGCCACAUUACAGGGCAAGGAUUCAUACCCAUUUUAUAGAUGACGAGACAAUGGCUGAAAAGAAAAAGUUCGCGGAUACGAGCUUGACAAUAGAUGGGUUGUGCCUUAUAACCCAUACCUCCUACGUUUGUUCAAUUGCCGCAUCAAUGUUGAGGCGUGUGGGAGCAUCAAGGCUGUGAAGUAUUUAUUUAAGUACAUUUACGAGGGUCAUGACCACACGUUUGUGGCUGUAAGAGAGGCUGACAAGGAGGACAAUGAAGGAAAUAUCGAUGAGAUCAAACAGUACAGGGAUGCUAGAUGGAUAACUCCACCAGAAGCCUUGUGGAGGAUAUGUGGUUUUGAUAUAAGUGAUAGGUCCCCUUCGGUGUUGUCCUUGCAGCUCCAUCUUCCUAACAUGCACAUGGUGUCAUUUUAUCAGCGUGAGGGUGUUCGAGAUGUGCUUAAUCGUCCAGGUGUUGAAAGGUCGAUGCUCACAGCCUACUUUGAGAAGAACAACACAUCUGAGCAUGCUCGAGGUAUAUUGUAUUGAGACUUUCCUUAAUACUAUAAGUGGGACUCACAGGGAAAACAAUGGAUUAGGAGGGCACAAAAGAAUCAUUUAAGACAGAUUGGAAGAGUUGUAUGUGCUAAUCCGGCUGAAGGGGAGCGUUAUUAUCUUAGGGUGCUUCUAAACCACGUGGCUGGUGCUACCUCAUUCACUGAUCUAAGGAUAGUGUCUGGUGAACUACUACCGACUUUCCGUGAAGCUGCAGAAAGAAGGGGCCUCAUUGAAGCGGACAACACGCUGCAUGAGGGCCUUGCUGAAGCUACUCUGUGGAUGAUGCCAUGUGCACUACGAAGGCUCUUUGCAACAAUCUUGGUUUUCUAUGAGCCAAGUGAUGUAUUAGAACUCUGGGAAAAGCAUAAGGAGGCAAUGUCAGAGGACUAGAGGCGCAAUAACCAAUCCAGCUUUGCAGUGGAGCAGAUGGUCCUCAUAGAUAUUCGGAAGUUGUUACAAUCAAUGCAGAAGGACAUAAAGAUGUACCCACUUCCUGAUAUCGAUGACACAUAUGAUCCAUCUGGCGAUAUUCCUAGGGAGAUUUUUGAGGAGGCCAGCGUUGAGGCAAGCAUUGAUAACAUGGCACUAUCAAAGACCCUUAACGAGGAGCAGCAGGCAGCCUAUAAUGAGCUUAUGUUUGCUAUUGAUAGCGAUGAUGGGGGUUUGUUCUUUGUGGAUGCACCUGGUGGCACCGGAAAGACUUAUCUAUAUAGGGCUCUGCUUGCUACUAUACGUAGUCAGAACAAGAUUGCCGUGGCAACAGCAACAUCUAGUGUUGCUACAUCAAUAAUGCCCGGUGGCAGAACCGCCCACUCAUGCUUCGAGAUUCCCCUCACCCUUGAUGAUGGGGCAUUUUGCACCUUCACAAAACAGAGUGGUACUGCUAAGCUGCUUCGGACUGCAUCCCUUAUUAUUUGGGAUGAAGUGACGAUGAUGAAGCGGCAAGGUGUCGAGGAGCUAGACAACAGUCUUCGUGAUAUCAUGGACCGUCCUAACCUGCCAUUUAGGGGGAAGACUAUGGUGUUUGGUGGAUAUUUCAGGCAAGUUCUUCCAGUUGUUCGAAGAGGGUCUAGGACUCAAAUAGUUGGUGCAUCACUACGGAUGUCAUACCUUUGGAAUUCCAUGCGACAUCUCAAAUUGGUGCGAAACAUGAGGGCAAAGAACGAUCCAUGGUUUGCAGAAUACUUGCUACGCAUUGGGGGGCUCUGAGGAGGCUAAUGGUGAUGGUGAAAUUCGUCUUCCUGAUGAAAUAUGCAUACCACAGACUGGGAAAGACAGUGAUCUUGAUACGUUAAUUGACUGCAUAUUUCCUGCCCUCAAUGUCAAUAUGUCAAACAAUAGCUAUAUCACCACACGAGCAAUAUUAUCUGCACGGAACGACUCGGUUGAUAUGAUUAACAUGAAAAUGAUAAGUCGUUUCCAAGGGAAUGAGAUGGUGUACCAUAGCUUUGACAGUGCAGUGGAUGAUCCACAUAACUACUACCCAUCUGAAUUCCUUAACACUUUGACCCCCAAUGGUCUCCCUCCACAUGUGUUAAAGCUCAAGAUUGGAUGCCCGGUCAUAUUGCUAAGGAACAUCGACCCUGCGGGUGGACUUUGUAAUGGAACCAUGUUGGUGGUUCGAGGGUUCCAAGGAAAUAUUAUCGAUGCAGAAAUUAUGGUUGGAGAUCAUGUCGGAAAGCGAAUCUUCCUUCCACGAAUCCCAUUAUGGCCCUCGGAUGACGAGAUUUUCCCGUUUCAGUUCAAGAGGAAGCAGUUUCCUAUUAGACUCAGUUUUUCCAUGACGAUUAACAAAGCACAGGGGCAGACUCUUCCCAAUGUUGGUGUGUAUUUGCCUGAACCAGUGUUCUCUCAUGGUCAGCUGUAUGUUGCACUAUCUAGAGCCACUGCCAGAUCAAAUAUUAGGAUCCUUGCAGUCCCGCCUAGAGAUAAGAGUGAUAAUGGUAAUAAAAAAAAUACAAGAAUAAAUGGUACAUACACAAAAAAUAUUGUCUAUAAAGAGGUCCUCACUCUAUAAAAAAGGUAGUCUUCUGUUUUGGUCUACUAUUAUAUUCUUACAUUAUGCCCUUAAUUAGUGACAUUUUUCGUGUCAUAUCAAACUGAAUAAUAUAAGAACUCCGAAUGAAUUUAUGCCCUUCUGCAUUGAUUCGUUCAUAUGUUAUUGACUGGAUGUACAAAAUGUUAUAUUAUUUCUAAUAUGUUUUUUCUUGGAUUAAUAUUUAAAUUUUUACGUUAAAAGGUAUUACUGACUAAGCGAAUGUUGUUGGUUGCUAUAUUGGAAGAGAAAUAGAGAGCAAUUCAAUGUCCACACCCUCCAUCUGAGGUCCCAGGUGACUAGGCCGCUGCCGACUGGUGCCCAGAUCUACAGUCCACUGAGUGCCGCACACUGCCUUUGGUUUGAAUAAUUUUAUUGGGUGAAAAAUAAUUAUUUAAAUCCGAUUUUAGGUUUGAUUUGGUUCUCGUUCUGUUUAUAAUAUUUACACUCAAGAGUUUAGUUCAAAAAAAUUAUAAGUUCUAUAAAUAUUUUAAACAGAAUUUCAAAAUUUUAUUACCUUCAAAAAGCAAUUGAUUUUGAUUUUCAAAUGAAUUUACAAAAGAAAAGGAAAAUAAAAGGGAAACCUCCCUCCCCUCUCUCUGGCCCAGUCCGGCCCAGUAAAAUCUUGGGUCAACUAUCAGUAGGGGGAGCACAACGCCUCCCUAUCCCUGAGUCACAGACAGUCGGAGCCCGCCUGUCAGCCUUUAUCCUCUUGCUGACAAGUUGACCCCACUUGUCAGGGUCAUCCCUUUCCUCUGUCCAUAUCCGUUCGUGGCCGGGUCUCACUGAGCCAACCGAAGGACCGGUUCUAAAGGGGACGAAGCUUGGCCGCCGCCGCUCCGUGAUCCUCUCUUGCCUCCCCGGUCUUGCGCGCACCGAGUCAGCCAUUUCUGCUCCCUCCUCUGUCAUUUAAAGCGAGCUCUCUUCCACCUGCAGCACCAUCGUCCACGUCCUCCUUCUCAGUGCCGAGCUAAAGACGAGAACACCGCCAUAAGUUCCGCGGUGAGCUCCUUCUCUUUCUGCACUAAGCUUUUACGCCCUCCGUGGUCUUUAGAACGAGCCGAACUUGCUCUGGCAAUGCUCAUCCCACAGGUUAUGACGCCAUUGUCGCGGUUUCUCCCUGCGGCGGAGAAGGAGGCGGCGGAGGGCAGUGUAGUCGGAGUCGGGGCGGGACGAGGAGGAGGUCUGUGGAUGAUGGUGCUGCAGCUGAGGAAGACAGGGUCCGUCGGCAUGGAAGGGGCGGUGGGGCACUCCGGGGAGGAGGAGGAGGAGGCCGCGGCCGAGUCGGCGGCAGCCAUCUCCACCGUCUCGCAGUCCGCAUGGCCGGUCGUUCGCGCGCGCCCCGGUGAGAAAUGAGGGACGAGGCCAGGCGGGGACUUGGAUGUCGGGGAAUCGGGCACUUCGGGCGGUCGUACGUGCGUGUGCUGGCAAGAAGUGGCUUGUUUCGUGUCCGUGACCUGUAGUGUCUGAACUUCGAUGUGGGCAAAUUCAGUUUUGAAUUGUUUUAGAUGCAAAUACAAUUUAUAUGUUUCAAAUAUGUUUUGAUACUAACUAAUUUAUUUAUAGUAUUACACAUUAUGGCUAUAUACGCUGCAUCUUUUGUAUCAUUGGAAGAUGCCUUGAGCUCUCCAAACAACACACAAGUUGACUUAAUAGCAGUCGUGGCUCAUGUCGGGUUGUGGGACUGCCAGACAUUAUUUCCUAACUCGUUUAGGGAGGUUGCACUCAAAGAUAAUAGGUAAAUGUUUAUUUGAAGAAAAAUAAUCUUUUUAAUGUCCUUGUGUUUUGUUUAAUCAUACUAAUAACUAUUACUAUUUUUUUAUGCAGCCGAAUUGGAUUUCUUCGUGUGUUCGCAUAUGAUGCUGAAGAAAACUACCACAUGUUUUUUUCAGCCGGUACUGAGAAUUAUUUUCUCAUUCCCACUAAUGUGGUUGUCGACUCAUAUGCACGUAAGUUUAUAUGAACAUAAUUAAAUUUUGGUAUUACCAACAACACAAAUAAUAAGCCUCAAUUCAUAUCAAUACAUCAUAGGUUGUCUGACAAUGACCGCUCAUAGUUCCAUGAUUUUUGUGGGUCCAAGGGAGUAUUGUCCUAUUUUUGCAUCUCUAGAAGGUAACUUUCUCAUCCUAAUUAUAAUAAUAUUAUAUAGAAUUAUAAACAUCCUGUUAGAGACAUCUAAUAUUUAUUUUGCAGCUAUCAGAGACGAAAUGCGAAAUAUCGCUUGUUACAAUGAUCAAAUUAAAAUUGCACUCAAUGCUCGAGCUAAUGAGAUCAAAAGGCUCGAAUACAAUGAAUGUACAGCUAUGGCAAACAAUCAAGGUGUCAUUAGUUACGUUAAUGGUUGCAACAUUUAAGAGGUAGAUGAAGAAGUAUUUGUGAUUAAAUAUUAGUCUUUUGUUGUAUCAAGAUUCUUCAAAGCAUCUUGUUUUACAAUAAAUGAAUGUACCUACACUCUACAAUUCAUCUCUUGUAACGUAACGAUUAAAUCUAUCAAGGCUCAUUACAAUCAAUGCUCAAUAGAUUAUUGAUCAUAAAUCUUGGUCAAAUUGCAAAAAGGUAUUGAUCGUAAAUGAUUAUUGCCCAAUAUUUUUGGUCAAAUUGCGAAGAAAGAGCAAAAUUUGAUAACAAUAGUUUAAUCGUAAAUGAUUAUUGCCCAAUAUUUUCAGAGACACAAUUGAUGUUUCUAUAAAUUAAGAAGAUAACAUAAUUCACAAAAAAAAAACAUGCAUGACCUGGUCAUGCCACAACAUAACUAGCGAGUCAGCCACGGUCUCUACCACCCGAAACUCACGAAAGCAUGACUGCCGUCAACACUGCCAGGCUUCAAUCGGUAGUUUCCAUAUCGAACCUCUAGCUCCCUCCGACUUACAAUUGCCCGAGACGGCGCACCUGGCUGCCGCCUCGACGCCUCUGUGACCCAGCACGCGGUUAUCCUCCAAUUCGGCGCGGAGAGCUCGGUGGCCCUCCCUUCGACGUCGCCUCAACUUGGCACGGGGCUUCAUCUGCACAAAGGCGGACGUCAACUUGCCAGGCCGUCCUGUUCCGUCACAUCGGCCGAAGUCUCCUUCUCCACCGCAGCAACCGUUGUUCGACACGCGCUCGUCGACGACGCUGGAUGCCACGACACCACAUGUAGGCUUGGCUGGACCACCUCCACCUCCAUCACGAUAGAUGCUGAGGUCUCCUUGCCACCGCUGCACACAGAUCUUCGUUGGUCGCUUCAUCAGAGUGUUGUCGGGGACCCAAGAGGUAUGCCCUUGUCAAAAAACGAAAGAGGUAUGCACUUGGCUAACUGAUGCUACAUAUGUGUUGGCGUGUUGGUCUUCUAUGUGGUACAUUUUAAAUUCAGGCUAAUAUAAACUAUGGAUCAUUAGACAUAGAGUUAAUUUGUUGCUUACACUUUUUUAUAUAUCAAGAUCAUGAACUCGACAAUGCAAGUACAAAUCAAACCAUACGCUCAUUGACUGACCUGAAUAUGGAAAAUUUAGAAUACAAGAUGACCAGGAGACACUGAGUCAGUGCAUUUUACCUAAACUUUUUAAGCUCAUUGACUGACUUGAACAUUGUUCAAACCAUAAGCCAAUUGACUGACCUGAACAUGGUUCACUAUAUUUUCUUCCUCACAUAUCUGAAUCAGUGCAUUUUACCUACACUUUUUAAGCUUGAACUUGCAUAUUGUUUAGAACUCUGAACCCCACUGCUUACAACUUUGAAACCCUAUACUCUUAAUUCAACCCUAAAAAAAUGAGAGAGACAUAGAGAGAGUGGAAAGCGAUGCUGGAGAUGGAGUAUCAACCAGUUCUUUUAAAAGACAUGAUACUGAAUCUACAAAGAUCGUGAUGCCAAUCAGUUUUUUGAAACAAUGUGGAGCAGCUAGCAUACUUCUUUUGCACAGCUAUCUUAACUGGUUCGAGUUAAAGUAUAUAUGUAUAUCUAUAGCGCCCAUGAGAAAAUUCCUUACAGGCUACAACGCUGAAAAAUCAAUGUGUAAAAUACAGUAGGGCUAAAGAAUAAGAACAUUUCCUCUUCAGCGUAAAUAGUGUCAUUUUAUCAGCAUUUCCUUCACCUUGAUGUUAUAUGCAUGCACCCAAAAAAGUGCAAAACCAAAGAGAUAGUAGUCUCAUACCUUGAGGUUGACCAUACAGAUAGUGUUAAAUGUAAAGUUACUCACCCUGUAUACGGCGCCAUGCAUAGCUAUGCUGUGCAGGGGGCUUCCAAGAACAACUUUUGCAUGUCCUCCUCCCAUUUCUCCUUCUACAUGGAUAUCAUGUAUGGCUCGGCUUGCAUGCCUAAACAGCAAGUGCCAAAAGUGUGAGCAAAGUGAGAGGUCCCCAACUUACCUGAAAAUGAGACAUGCCUAUUUCUGAGUAAGUAGAACCACCAAGCCUGACAGCAAUAAAUAGAGAAAGUAAUAAAUAUAGAACUUUAGAAAAGAAAAAGGCUACAAUAAUAUAUCAAACAAAUCAGCUCAUUUCUCUUGAAGUUUUGUAAGAUAUUCUAAUUAUUUCCCAAAGCAAAAUACAAAAUUAAACGCCUAAAUAAAUAACUCUCCACAUAUAGUUGGCCACUGCGAUGUUGCUGCUGCAAUGAACCAAUCUGAAGUUACAUAUUCCUAAUCAUCAUUACCUAACGGCUGAACUUUUGUAAUUAAUUUGUAGACCAAAGAUGCCAACAAGUCUUAGUUUGAAGAGAGUACGUGCUGAGUUUGUUCGGAGCUCUGAGAUGCCCAGGUAAAUUUCAAAUCUCAUAUUCUAAAAAUGUUAUAAUAGCUAUGAACAUUUGUUAGUAUAUGCCCAGUUAAAUUCACAUGUGUUCUCUGUCAUUUUUCUUACAGAUUUAAGAGAUUCCAAGACAUUCAACUUGUUGACAUUGGUUACUCUUGGAGUAUUACCGUUAGAAUUGAAGCAAAGUUCCCUUUUAAUCAAGACUUUCAGCGCUUCAUCCUCAUGGAUACUAUGGCGAGAUUCAAAAAUAAUAGAAGUAAAAUAGUUUCAUUCACAAACUAACACAGAUGGUAAUAAUGUUAUAUAUAAUUGUAGGGUUGCAAAUUAGUGGCGGUCGUGAGUGGCCCCGAUACCGAGAGGUUCAACAGGUUACUACAACAAGGACGUGACUACACAAUUCGUGAUGUCAGAUUCCAAGUUAAGCCGCACACUGAGUUUCGCAAUAUUCAAAGCAAUUACGAUUGUAGGUUGGACCGUUUGACUACAGUGGAGCGUUGGAACAUGCCUAUACAGUUUCCCAUGUGCUCGAAUCAGUUAACGUCCAUCCUUGAAGUCAUGCAUUGCCCAAGCAAGACCUAUAUAGGCAUUUUUAAAGUCUCCACUCUCUUACUUUACCUUUGUACUAAUACAUGUACUAUUUAUAUAGACAUUGCGGGAAUUCUUGUGCACUGGGGGAAAGUUGAGAGACCGCGUUCAGGGCUGUGUAGAGAGGUUGUCCUCAUGGAUUCAAGGUAAGAUUUAUAGCUUGUAACUAUUUUUUUCUAAUAUACAAUCAGUUUUUUGAAUGCCUCCUAUAUUCUAACACAUAAAUAUAUGUAAUUAUAGAGGUGAUUUGAUAGUUGUGAUCAUGUCAUGCAAAGUCUUGGCUGCACAUAAAAUAAAGCUGCAAAAUGCCACUAGUACAACACCGCUUUCUAGUGGCGGUUCUAGAGGGGUUUGUACAAGCGGCAGACAGUACCGCCAGUAGCUUUCGCCAGUACAAAACAAAAAUUAUACAAGCGGUUUAUCAAGAACCGACUGUGUUAACAAUUUACACUAUCGGCUUCAUUUGUACCACCGUCGCUUGUGUAAACAAUUUACACUAUCGCAUUUAUUAUAUGAUCCGCUUCUGAAAUGUCUUUACACAGUCGGUUUGAUAACAAAAUGCGCUGGUUGAAGGUCAUUUACACUGACGGUUUGUAUAGCAAGCCGUCUGUACUAUAUAGCCAGAUAUAGUGUUCUUUUUUGUUUAUGAUCUACCUAAUUGUUUGGCGAAAUAAUUCUCUGUGCACAUGCUUUUCCUGGAUCUUGAUAACUAUGCAGAAAUACAUACAUAUUGAAAAUUUAUUCUUUUUGUUUGAAAAGCCCAUGCACAACUGAAUAUAUGUCUAUUUUGGUAAUGAACUAGAAGAUCAAGAUCUUAAAACACUUUUUAUUAGUUUUAGUUAUGUGUUUUGGUAUUGAUUAUUUGUGAGGCUAUGAGAAUUUAUAUAUGUUUUACCCAUAACAACGCAUAGGCACUCAAGUAUACACUAAAACAGAAGACUACCAAAAGAAUAAGAGAAUAACUUGUGUAAGAAUCACUAACCUUAGGUGGCAUUUCAGGCCGUUGCUGCUAUUCUGGGCCGCCGGCUGAUGCAACCUAGCUUUGAUUCUGGCCCAUCGGUCUGCCAGCGAAAAUCAAUUAAUCAAGCCAAUUGUAUUUUUGUUAUAAAAACUAAAAGGGAAAGACUGUAGUGGGAACGAAAUGUGCAUACUUUUAUAUCUGAUGAAAAAUUUGUUACUGUUUUCUGGGAACCUCCUUUCUUGAGUUGAAAGUUCAUCCACAUUUGCCAACAGUGGUAACUGAUAUUAUUGUGACAAAAUGUUAGCACAACCAGUUUCUUUACAUGAAACAAACACAACACUGAAGACAAACAUUAUCAAGGAAACAGUACGAAAAGACAAGAGCUUGCCUUGAUUAUUUGAGAAAUUAAACCCAUGACCAGAUGAGGCUGCAAGCAAAUAGAAAUAAAUUUCAGUAAGAUUACUAAGAGACUUGUAUGAAUUCUUUAAAAUAUAAAAAAGAUCAGCAAGCAAUACAGUGGCUGCUAGAAACAGCACCCAAAUCUGAUCAUGGAGGAUGUAAAAUGAAGUAAAUCAAACAAGACAGAUCAUAACUUCAAUGAAAAUUAUGAUACCUGAAAGGCUUGGAUGUUACUAAAACCUGCGGUAGAAUCUAAAGGUCAUUUAAGUUACCCUAAACAUUCACUAUCAAACCGAUAAUCAAGUGGGAUCAAUUGAGAUUGAUUGAUUCUUUCAUGGUACCAUGGACGCAAAUUUCAAGUAUCUUGAAUUUGCACAACAACCAUCAAGCUAACCAUAUGUUACCACUCCAACUUUACAUGAUUGUCCCGUGGUGGUCAAGUGGCAACCACCAGCGUGCUGAAGUACGGACAUGAAACUAAAAAACCUAUAUAGACAAUUUACGUAUAAUUUCGGGCCGUGGCUGCUAUUCUGGGCCGUCGGCUGAUGCAACCUAGCUUUGAUUGUGGCCCAUCGGUCUACCAGCGAAAAUCAAUCCUGUUUAGAGGUUACGAUCAGUUAGCAUAAAAGGGAACUCUGGUAACAUUUGCCUAAUCAAUCUGCUAAAUCCUCGGAUCAAGUCCUCAUCCACGCGAGGUCAUUGCGCCUUCCAAGCAGAAGUACUGAAGGACUACUACGUCUACGUCUUCGAGGUGCCGCCGCCAUCAAAUCAUCAACACACGUCCGGCCGUCAUAAAAACAGUAUGUUUCCUAUCCCAAUUGGCGUUACGUAGGCGGGGGAAAGGGGGGAAUAGCGUCACGCAGAUGGGUGGACGGGGAAUGGGAGCCGCGUGAACGUACCUUGCCAAUCUUCUCGAAGUAGUCGGUGAGACACAGGUUCCAUUCGUUGAUGGUGUUGUCGGUGAUGGCGGAGAGCCAGGCGGGCCAUCCGGCGUCGAGAUGCUCCCCGCGCGCUGUGUUGGCGAAUCCGGGGCCGGGGACGCUGCAUAACGAGCGGGAGCGACUCUACCGCCAGGCCGGCUGCUCUGCUGGUGCUGUCGGCUGCUCUGCCUUCCCGGUGGCCUCCUCCGCUGCUGCGGGGGCCGGCGGCUCGGGUACUGGACGCGGAGGGCUGGCCAUGGACGCAGCCAUGGGGAGAUCCUCACCGGUGAAGUCUCAUGGGGGAAGGGCGGCUGCGACUGCUGGUCGGUGCUGGGCGCGGAUGGGCGGCCGUGGACGUAGCCUAUUGGAAGAUCUUCACCGGCGCUGUCUCAUGGGUGAACUCGAGAGGGGGAGGAUCGCUCCGAGAACACGAGGAACUGGACAAGGGAUUGGAGUGGAGCGGAUGCGGCGACUGCGGCUGAUGGUCGGGUCGGGUCUGGAAGCAGAGGCACGGGCGGAGCUGCCAAGCUGGGCUUUUUGCCAAUCUGCCACUGUGCUUCUGCGGAGCUGGGAUCUCACACUUGUAUUUUAUUAUAUGUUAUAAUUAAUGUAUGAUCUACUCCCUCUUUAAAUCAUAAAUCAUAGGAAAUUUUAUUGUUUCUUCAAGCUGCCUGACAUACAAUUUAUGAAUUUUUAGAUGUUGUUAGUGACGAAACCAUGUAAUAAACAAGAGAAAAAGGUGUGCCCAUCCAGGUCGGUGUUGCAAUAUAAUAAACCAAAGAAAACGGACACGGUCAAAAGUCAACCUCAAGGUUCUUACUUUCAUUGACCCUUCCUAUUUUUCUUUCGCUAAUGAGACCUUCUAAUUCUUUAUUUUCCUGUGUUUUAUGCAGAUUAUGUUUGCAACGCCGAAGAUUAUAGUACUAUUGAAAAUAUUCUGUUGCAACCAAAAAAAAGUAUUGGUGGACAUCCAGGGAAUGACCAUAGAACGCCAUAGAACGAGAUAUUUUGGAAUGCCUCUUACAUGAUAAUAGAUUUUUGGAAGGAGAUGUAAGUAUAUGCAUGCAUGAUUUCAUGUUUCAAAAUGCUUUGCUUAUUCUGAUUCUGAUUUACUGCUUGCAAUACAUAUAUAUAUAUAUAUAUAUAUAUAUAUAUAUAUAUAUAUAUGCAUAGGUCUUAAGUGCCUACAUUGAGCUUAUGAGGUCCGAAAAACAUCUCCAAAACAGAGCUGGUGGAACGGUAUUCCUAGAGAAUACGUUCAAUACAAGUAUUCUACAGCGUGAUGGCAAGAUAAAUGAGGAAUACCUCGAUCCUAAGGUAGAUCACAUAGCAAAAAGGGUGUGCAACUAUUGGGAAUAUGACAUGGUAAAAUUGUGCAUCUCAAGCCCAUAAAUGUCGUUAUCAUUUAGGUGUAUUCCAUUAUAAUAUUUUAACUUUUGAUUUAGGUAUUUCUUCCGAUCAACAUCAAAGACUUUCACUGGUACCUUGCAGUGGUGGAUGGUAUAAAUGAAGAGAUACAUAUGCUCGAUUCAUUAGGUAAAACACAGGAGAAUCGUUAGGAACUUGUCUAUACGGUUAGUAAAAUAUUAACUUUAUUUAAAAGUUCUGCCUGAUUGUUAUUUUUUUAUUACUGACUAUGUGUUAUAUUAGAUAAUUGGCCUACAGAGACACAUAGAUAUUGUAGCAAAACAUAAAGAUAUACAAACAAAAUGGAAGAACCUUCAAGUUCAAGAUUGGAAAUUCAAUGAGGAAUUCACAAGUGCCAUGCAAACAGAUGGGUAUAAUACUCCAUCAUAUGUAUCAUACAAAUACAAUUAUUUAAAAUUCAACUAAUAUACUAUAGAUAUAACUGUUAGUGUUACGUUUUCAUGUUUCAAAAUUGGUAGGUCAUCAUGUGGCUUAUUCAUGCUUAACUACAUGGAAUAUUGGAGAGGAAAAGGAAAAGGUCUAUCAGACAGUGUAACUCAGGUAUAUAGGAAUAAUAAUGUUUUAUUUGUUGAUUUAUUAUAUUUUUUUUAGUAACAUGUCAUCAAAAAAUAAUAUGCAUACAAGAUGAUACAUAGGGUGAUAUGAUUCAAACUACUUGCCAUUUUGUUGAACUGCCAACAAAAUGCCCGGGAAUGGUGGUUGACUUCCGAAACUGAUGAUAAGGAAGAAGAGAGUAUAGAUGAAAUUGAAAUUUUAGAUAGACCACUAAAAAAAAGCAGGGGUGAGAAGUCAUAUGCCUAUGAAGAAGAUUUAAUAUUGUCCAGGGUUUCAAAUUAUAUCAACUCCAUUAGUGAUGCAACUACUUUAGAGUAAGUCACCUCUAUUAUAUAUAUAUAUAUAUAUAUAUAUAUAUAUAUAUAUAUAUAUAUAUAUAUAUAUAUAUAUAUAUAUAAUAGUUGGUAUUUUCCUUUAAUUAUAUGCAUAAUUUUUUUGUAGGUCCUUUGCAAAGAAGUUAGCUGACAUGUUGCAAAAUGCUAACGCACAUGCCCUUACAUUUCGUGACUUGCCAAUGGGCGAACAAGAAUUAAGAGACCGUGUUUGCAAUUAUAUCAUGACAAUUAACGAAGAUAUGGCUUUAGAGUAAGUUUAUUUUCGUGAUAAAUGACAAAUCAUAUACCACGUAUUGUUACAUGUAUACAAAUAUUCAUAUUUUACAGGCAAAAAUGGGUUGUAAGUGCAAAGCCCUAUCCGAUUGUGUUGAGUCUCAAGAAAACCCAAAGGAUGUUAAACAAGAACGAGGGAAUUCAUGAUGAUUGUUUUAACCUGGUAGCACGGAAGUUUGCUUUUGAAGAACUUGAAAAGUUGAAGGGAACAAACAAGAUUGUGUCAAAGCAUUACAUGGAUUUAAAGUUUUCGGUAGGUUUUACUUUAUAUAAUGGCAUGAUAUAUAAUCACUAUUUCUUUUGUUGUAUAUUUCUAGACUUUCAUUCAUUAUAUUACUAUAUAGCUUGCAUGUCAACUAAGUAAUGGUGACGAGUAUCGAACAAAAGUUGAUUAUAACCAACUGGCAAAAUUUGCUCUUGAAUGUCCUUGGAGAAAAUAUAAUGUUAAAGAGUGCACAUGGGUAACGUUGUUUCUCUUAUUAUGUUCCUUGCAUCUUUUGUGUAAAUAAAUACCAUGUUAUUCUUAAAUAUCAUAUUACUGAGAUGCUCCUUUUCAAUUACAGAUUCUAAUACCACUUCAAAUGGUUACAGCAUGAGGUAUUUAUAAUCUUUUUUGUUCAAGACAUGUCUAGAAGAGCUCUCUACAUAGUAGACCAAACUCCUAAACCUGAUCUUUACAAGAUUCAACCACUAAAAAAUAUACAAACAAAAUUCAAAGGGUUUCCACUGCCCUAAAUGAAGUCAUGAAAGUUUCAUGCCCUUGGUGGCGAGAUGAUUUAAUCCUCUUUGACCAUAGAGUUGCAGAAGUCAACCAAUUUGAGUUAAAUGGGUAAAUACUUUUACAAUAGAAACUAUUUGUUUUUAUAUUCUACUAUAUAUAUAAUAGUAAUAAUUUAAUGCUUCCUCAGGGACUUGUCUGGUUAUAAUGUUCUACUUGCUAUGCAUGCGUGGAAUGGUAAAAGGAUAGAAACAUCCAUUUGCAAUAAUGUGAGUAUUGACCUUUGUAGAUUAUUAUUGUUUUUUCACCUCAUAUAUUUGUUUAACUAAACCUAUAUAUGUGUAUAAAAAUCUUACAGGAUAAUUAUGAAGUGAGGAAGCAUAUAUUGCUACACCUACUCACAUAUACCGGGAACAAAAAUAUUGCCAACAUACCUAAAGGUGUUCGAGAUCACCUUGAACGCUAUAUUUGUCUCACAAGCAAAAAAAGAUGAAUUGUUUCUUAUUUUUCUACUUGUUUCUUUAUUUUAAAUAUAAGUAGAUUGAGAUGUGUGUUUUAAUAUUAAUUAUUAUUAUAUUAAUUGUGAUGAUAUGGAAAUUAACGUAUAAUUUGUUGUGUGAUGUGUUACCCGUAGCGACUUUACGUAUAAUUUGUUGUGUGAUGUGCUACCCGUAGCAACGCACGGGCACUCAACUAGUGAGUAUUAAGCAUCACAAUAAUAACCAUAUCCGGAUUAUCACAUAGCUAUCAUCAUUCUCAUCAUAACCAUUAAGUUUAUUUAGUGAAUUCUACGUUGCCGCUGCUCGAGUCAAGUUCUCACUAUCUGGGAGAGACGACAAUUCGAAUCGAUUCAUAUCCAGCUGGAGGGGUAUUCCUAGCACUCACCCAAGCAUACCUCGCGAGGGCAGCUUGGAUCACCUUUAGCACAACUCCGGACCAAGUCGCGGGUCCGUCCAGCGCCGCACCCCCAAGGACCACCAAUCUGCCAGGGCAGGACUCCAACCUGACACCUUGGGCUUACGUCAUUUACUUCCCGCACAUCCUUGCUACCAACCGGGGUGCGCACUCAUACAGAACCGGGUAUCCGGCCUGAGUUGCACUCGUAGGCUUCGCGGUUGGAACGACUUUUCCGGCCAACUAAGUGUUAGGCAUGCGUUCAACAUGACACGAGGACGUACAGCAAAUCGGUCCUUAACCGACACAGACGGGGAUAGAUUCACACCCAAGACCUCCAUGCCUUGUUGCUGCACUAUCGUCAUCCCGUCCGGUCUCAAUUCAUUAUUAGUCUUUGGUUAUUUCCACGAUAGCAAAUAUAACCAACCGUGAUCAAGUAUCCACCUAUCUCUCGCAGGUGACAGGAAAUCACCCGGCUUGUACCGAGCUAAGCAUGGCUAAGCAUCAUUUCGAUCCUGGACCUACUUAGGUAAGUUAUGAGGUGGACAAGGUAGUCAUUAUGCAGCAAGGGUGUCAUAUCAACGCCUAACACUUAAUGCAACAAUACAUAACCAUAGUUAUUUGACAGCUGGACAUGAUAACAAAAAAAUAGUAGGAGGCUUAUAAUGCUCCAGGGCUUGCCUUCGAUGUAGGUAGAGGGACGAUGGUCGGGACACUCCGGUAGAUCCUCCUCCUCAGCUCCUUAAGGUGGCUCCCCCUGCUGCUCCUUCGGCUCGGGUGGUGUGAACUCCAAGACCGUCACGCCCUUGGGUACACCUAAGUAUGCAUGACAAGGUGAUGAAUAAAGGGAAUGCACACAUGAUGCAUGAUGUUAUGAUGAUAAGCCAAAAGAACAUGAAACAAGAUGCAACAUGAUCAAAAGUUCCUAAGAGUAAUUGAAUCCUGACUAAGUAAGUAAGUGCAUACUUCUUCUCUGGUAGAGAGGCUAACUAGACAAGCUACUCAACCGUAGCUACUCACACUAAGUAACUGGUGUCAUGGACAGAUUAGCUUGUCAUAAGAUUCAGCUAUAACCUAGGCAUCAUUUGGCCAAACUAAGCAAGUGGGCACUUUCUGGAAAGCUUAACAAAUUUUCUACAAUUAGCUUUCAGACAUCCAAGAAGGAUUCCCAGCCGAAAUAGGUUGAAACAGACAAAGUUGGCUGGCUGCUUUGGAAAAUCCAGAGAGCAAGCACUUUGCAGCAACUUCAUGCAAUAGUCAUAACUAGUCAUAACUUUUAAACUACUCAGCCAAAUGUCAUGGAAUUUGGACACAAGGUAGAUAAGUAAGUUAGCUACAAGUUUGUUGUAGAUAAGUUUUCCAGAAAACCUCACCUUCAAGCAGUUCUUAAACAAUUGCUAUCAGCUAUACAGAAUAUGCUCUAGGAAAGACAUAAGUAGCAAAAUAAUAUUUUGACACAUACUAAGAAUGUAACAUUGGUUGAAACCAAAUGCACCAGUAGAUAGAACAUGUAUAAGAAACACCAGAAAACAUCAUGGCAAGGUUUAAACUCAUUUCUAUUAUCCCCUUUUCUAUUUAUUUGAUUAUUAGGAUGAUUUAAUGAGCAUGUAACACAAGUGCUCCAAAAAUUCUAAUACAAUUACAGCAAGCCAACUAGACCACCACCAGUUCACUGUAAAAUUUUCAGGGCUCUUGCACAUGCAGAUUGUGAGAUACAAAAAUGACAAGCUAACAAUGGCAUUAAAGGCAUAAUUGUGAAACCCUAUCAAAAAGUGCCAAACAACAGAUUUCAUAUUUUUCUUAGUUUUUCUUAGACAUGAUUACAUCACUCAGCAAGUUUCAACAUAAAAGGAGUUAUAACUUAUUUACUAAAAAUAAUGAAACUUCUAUUUAAACAAGAAUUAUUUAAAACUCCACCAACAGUUAUCCAAAAAUCAUGAUAAAUUUACAAGAGCCUAUUCACACCUUAAGUAACACUCUCCUAAAUUUUCAUGGCCAUAAGACUCAUAGAUCUCAAGAUAUAAUUACCUCCUAUUAAACAAGAUUAAAUCAUAUCUAUCUAUUUAUGCAAAAACAUGGCAUGUUUUAUAUUUUUAAUAAAAACUAGACUAACACAAGAACCUAACAAAAUUGGAAUCACUCCAUUUGGAUCUGUAUAGCUCGAGUUAUGAAUUUUACAAAAACAACACAGGAUCUGCAAAAUAGUAGACACCACACACCAGGGAGAGAGAGACAGAGGCUGACAGGUGGGGUCUGCUGACAGACGGGACCCACGCGAUAGAGAGACAGAGACAGGGGAGAGCUCGUCACCGGUGAAACUCGACGACGGCGAGGUCUCGGUCGAAUCCAAGGGCACCAUCGUGACCCUCUCACCAAGGCGGACCUGCCGAGGUGCAAAACCCUAACUCUACCAAGCUCUAGAGGCUCGUCGGUGUGAAUGGCGGCUCGGCGGCGCUGCGGGCGGUACGCUGGCGUGCUCUGCCGAUGCCGUCCCAGUUGAGCUUCACGCCGAGCAUCAGUGAGUCAAGGGGAAGCUCUAGGAACAAAAAUGAGAAGGAAUGGUAGAGCAGGGAGGUUUGGCCAUGUCGCCGGUGAUCUCUGCGAACUCCAGUGAGGUGGAGCUCGCGACGGAGUGGACAAUGUGGCCUCACGAGUGCUCGGCUAAGGGAAAGAGAUGUACGUCGAGGUAGAGGACGUCGAGGCGGCGCUCUAGGCGGGCUGGCUUGGCCGGAGACACGGUGGAGCGGUCGGGAAAGCUCGCCGAAGCACGGCGGAGCUUGCCGAGAACGAAGGUGGAGGGAAUGGAGCGCUCUGAGCGAGUGGAGGUCGCGUCUGAGGCGUCCUUGCGGUGUGUGGCGACUUAUGGGCGACGCUGGAGCUGACAGGAGGGCCAUCGACGGCGUACGGCCGACAGGUGGCCGGACAUGUGGCGGCGGGUGAGCUCUGUCCCAACUGAAUCGGGCGAUUCAGUCGCCGUGGACAGUAACUGAAACUCGAUUUUCAUCAACGUUUUACUCUCAAUUCACUCGAUGGUUUUGGCUCGGAUUUGUUCCUUUAGAUAGAUCUACAUGAGUUCUCAAGAUUGCUUAAAGGAUCAAGGUCUAACUCGGCCUGGAUUUCAAGCUAUAGAGCUCCCAAGUACCCUAUAUCGAAACUGCCGAUUCCAGACUUUGCUAAAUUCGGCUAUGUGUGGAAACAGCCCUAAUUUCUGGCUUGUGAGCAAAUUUUGAAUGUGUUCCAUGCAUUUUCAUAAAAAAUCAUCAACACAACUUUUGUAGCUUAUGAAAUUUACUACAACUUUACUUUAGAUGUCAUUUACAUGCAAGGUCUCUAACACUGGUUUCAUAAAAGGUCUUUGAAAAGAGGUUUAGGGGGGUCAACUAGGCCAACCUAGGGCUAACCAUGACCUAGGGGCAUUUUUGGGCAAAACCUCCAACAUAAACUUUGUUCAAAAUGUUAUUCUAAACAUGAUUAACGUAUUUUGGAAGACAAUGUGCACUUAUAUGCAUUGGUCACACAUUACUAUCACCUAUAGCAAGUCACACAAGCAAUUCAAUCACAUAGUGUAUACACCAAAUGACAUGUGAUCAUGGUGUGAUGCUCAUGAGUGAUCAUGAUGAUGAUUAUGUUGAUGCAAUGCUCAUGGUUAACAUGCAAGCUAACACUAGGAGUGUUACAUCAUCGGCAGUAAUCUGGUGCUGAGGAUCCACCGAUGUGCUUUUUUCAGCUGCCUCUGAAGUCAAUACUUUGGUCUUUCCCUUAGCAUCCAACAUAUUUGUAGGGAAACGAUGUUGGUCGAUCUUCAUCGGCUUUUGAGCUUUGGAGUUAUCGAACCUAAUUCUCCCAAACUCUAUAGCCGACUGCAGCUGCUGCCUGAAAACUUUGCAUUCAUUUGUACUAUGAGAUGUUGCAUUAUGCCACUUGCAAUACUUAAUCUUCUUUAAUUCUUCUGCCGAUGGAAUCACAUGGUUAGGUGACAACUGAAUUUGCCCCUCCUGAAGCAAAAAGUCAAAUAUCCUAUCGGCUUUGGUGAUGUAAAAUGCAAACUUUUCUGGAUCUUUAUGCCCAAAAGGGCAAGACAUCGGCUUUUUAUUUUUUACCCAUUCUGCCAAGCUGAUGACUGGCUCUUCAUCAGAAUCUGAGCUCGUUGCCUCAUCGACAAAUGACACCUUUUUGUUCCAUGCCCUCUUGGGUUCAAAAGCUUUGAUAUCUUGGUCAGAAAUCCACUGCACUAAAUGGCUCAGACUUUCAAACUCUUGAGAAGCAUACUUGUCUUUAAUGUGUGGCAACAACCCUUGGAAAGCCAAAUUGGGGAGCUGCCGAUCAUCCAAAACCAGACUAUAACAUUUAUUCUUAACAUCUCGCAACCUUUGCACAAAGCUCUCAACCGAUUCGUCAUUGCUCUGCCUUAGCCUGACUAAAUCGGUAAUCUUCUUCUCAUGCACUCCAAAAAAGAAGUAUUUAUGGAACUAUUUUUCUAGAUUGGCCCAGGUGAUCACUGAGUUUGGAGGUAAUGAAAUAAACCAAGUAAAGGCCGAUCCAGACAAAGAUGAUGAGAAUAAGCGAACCCUUAACUCAUCUCUGUUAGCAGUUUCCCCAUACUGGAUGAUGAACCUAUUAACAUGCUCCAUGGUUGACGUAUCAUCCUGCCCCGAAAACUUGAUGAAAUCCGGCACCUUGUACCGAUUUGGAAGCGGAAUUAAGUCAUAUGCUGGAGGAUAUGGUGUCCGAUAAGAGUAAGUGUUGACUUUGGGUUUUAUCCCAAAUUGGUCUCUCAUCACCUCAGCUAUCUUAUCGGCCCAGUAAGCAUCAGCAUAUUGCCGAUGAGCUUGUUGUGGAUUCGGCAUCUGCUGAUAAGCUUCCACAUGUCUCUGCAGUGCACGAUCCCUACAGAACAUAGGAUUAGCCACCGCCUGUUGACCACCAACUUGGUGACCAAGAUUCAUCGGCUGGUUGAUCAACCCUUGAUUUUGAAAUCCAGGUUGCAUUGGUCCUUAUUGAAAUCCCAUAGCCUGAUGAUUUUGCUGAGGCAUCUAUGGAAAGACAAACUGCCCUGUCCAUCCAUUGUUAACAUUCAUCGGCGUAGGUCCUGCCGAUGGCUGAUAAUUGGGCACCAUCAUCGAAUUGACAUACCCUAGCUGUGUCAUAAACCUUUGCUGUGUCAGCAUUGGAUCUGCCGAUGCAUUAGGCAUCUAGAACGUUGGCAUUUGAGAAUUCCUAGCAAAAGGUCUUGUAGUAGUAGUUGUAGAAUACUUGGGAUUCUGAGUCAUCGGUGAGCCUGGGGGUGCCGAUGCCAUAGGAGCAUUGCCUGUCAUGUCAGCCACUUGAGAUGUCCCAGAACUUUUUGCCAUAAAUUCUGGGGGCAUACCAUAUCCCCACCAAUUGGGAGGAACAGAUACUGACAUUGCUGAUGCUAAUAAAUCUGUAGCAAGUUUGACUUGUCCCUCUGAUGUUGAUGGAUUAGUCGUCAUCGGUGUAGAUUGCGCAUUAGUCAUCCCUAAUGUGCUUGGAGGAGAAGUAACUUCCGUACCUGCAACGGCUGUAGUAGCCGAUGGAGCCGUAACCGAUGAUGAUCCUGGCUGAUGAUAGUCAGGGCCCACAUAAGAUGGUGGUAUCUGUCCUUCUUUGAAAGUUCUAGCCACAACAUUGAAAACUGUAUUGGACAGCACAUUAGAUUGAUUGAUUAGAGCACAAAUGAUAGCACUGUCAACCAUCUCUUGUUGUUUACUAGGAUUGGCUUCAAAAGUGAUUUGCCGAGGCAUCAACAAUGCUUCCUUUUGGAUCACCUCGCCACUCCUGUUGAUAUUGAAGGAUUUCAAGCAUAGCUGCUUGUAGUCCUCCAUAGCUUUUGCCAUAUCUUGCUUCUAUUCAUCUCUGAGAUUGGCUUCCGUCACGGGGAUGACGUUCUCCAAGUCGAAAUUAGUGUUCGACAUAAUGAUCUUGAUGUUGAAUCAUUGUCCCACUGGGCGUGCCAAAAGAUGUGUUCGUGCAAAAGUAGAUCUACAAACACAAAGGGCUAAUACCCGAUUCAACAUUAAGACGUGCCAGCCGAUUUGACCUUACAAUCGACAAAGGUGGUAACUCGAAUACUUUGGUCCCGACAACAGCGAUGCGCCCGGAUGUCACGGCCAAGAGGUAUUCACACGGAACUCGAGAAUUCACCGAGGUUAACUCGUUGUAAAAGGAAAAUAUGCAGGUUGAUGAAGUCGUCAAAAGUAGAUGCUGAAAUAGAUGUAAAAACUUGUGUUUGGUUGAUUGUGUCUAACAUUACAUCGCUACGGGGUCUCAUAUUUAUACCCUGCCCAAAAGGGUUACAAUCAGACACGACUAGGACUCGAAUUCCAAAUUGAACGGAAUCCGUACACAAAACAAACUCUAAUAACUGUGGAAAGCAUUAAGUUAUCUUCCACAACCGUUCGGUACACCACCUUGAAUCGAUCGACAAUUCCAGCGCCUUUCUUUGUGACCAUCGGCGAACCACCUUUCAUAGCCAUCGGCAACCAUCAGCACCAUUCAUCGGCAUGAAUCCCUCACCACUCCUAGACUUGGCCAUAUUCUGUCGUUUUCUCAUCGGCACCAACCCUCAUUGGCAACUCUCCUGUCAACUAGUCACCACUUUUCUGCCUGCCGAUCUACGCCUUAUUAACUCCAGAUACGCAUCCAAAGAUACGUGUCCAAAAACGGUGUCGACACUGCCAAGCUAGACCUGCUCAUGAAGAAGCUCGAUGAUAAAGCUAGAGAUAAGAAGGAAGUUAUGCACGUCUAUGACUCUCACAUGAUUUGUGAGGACUGUGGAGAUACUGGACACUCAGGCAAUCACUGCCCUGAGAUGCUUGAGGACGUGAACUACAUCAACAACAAUAACAACAACAACUACUACCACCGUCGUCAACAAAAUCAAGAUUGGAAUCAACAGAGGCCUAACUACUCAGGUAAUUAUCAAAGUAACAAUUCUUACAAUAAUAAUAAUAAUUUUCCACCUCUGAGAGAGUUAGUGUCUAAUCAAGGAAAGCUAAUGGAUAACCUAUCUAAGAAAUUGGCAUCUAAUGAUAAAAUUCUAGAAAAAAUAAAUAAUAGAAUGAAUAAUUUCUCUACUGCCAUCAAGAAUCAAAUUAGCUUUAAUAAAAUGAUUGAAUCUCAGUUAAAUCAAAUAGCUGCUGCUGUUCCAGCUACUAACCCCGGUAUACCAUCACAACCUUAAGGAUUAGAAUCUGCAAAUCUUGUAGACAUGUUUGAUACAGGUAACUACUGGAGUAACCCCGUCGCGGAAGUUACUACUGACCUUCUACCGGUCAAGAGAGGCGAUCUAGGACGCCCUGCCAUCCCGAUCUCCAUCGACAUGGUGGACUUCCCAGAAGCACUCUGCGACUUUGGCUCUAGUGUCAACAUUAUGCCAGGGUACUCUAUGAAAAAUUCUUUAUAUAUCCUUUAUUAGAAACAACCAUGUGUUUGCAGCUUGCCGAUCGGACAUUAAGUUUCCCAAAGGGAAUAUUGAAGAACCUUUGCGUCCGAGUUGGUACCUUGUACGCCCUAGCAGACUUCGCGGUGACAGAGACCGGUAAUGAUGAGAGGGCACCCGUCAUCUUAGGGAGGCCAUUCCUGAACACCUCGAGAGCUGUCAUCUACGCUAGUGCUGCCAUGAUCAGUUUUUACAUCAAGGGGAGGAAGGAGACGUUUUCCUUCAAGGACAAGACUACACAAAUCCCAGAGCAAUCCCGACAUGAACCAAGGAAGAGGACCAACAGGAGGAACAGGAACAAGCAAGUGUGGACCGAGUCAGCUAAGAUGGUCACUGCAGUUCAAGGAGGUCAAGAUCAUCGACUCAAGUCACCAUUCCUGACCAAGAAGGACGACCUAGGUAUGCCAAGCAUCCAGUGCUCCAUUAAUUGGUACAACUUCUACAAGAUGCUUUGCGACACCGGAUUGGGCGUCAACAUAAUAGCCGCAGUCACCUAUGAGCUCCUGUUUGGAACCAUAACCCUAAAACUGACAUACAUUCAGCUCCAGAUGACAGAUCAGACAUUUCGAAAGGUUGAAGGUAUAGUAACUGAUGUCCCUAUUAAAAUAGAUAAUCAUUUUGUCCAUACAGACUUUCAGGUUAUUGACAUUGGAGAAGGCGAGUAUGAUCCACCCAUCGUCCUUGGGAGACCUUUCCUCAGUACUGUUAAACCAAUCAUCUACAUUGGAACUAGAGCAUCUCAUUCUCCCCAAAAAGUUUCAAAAGAGCAAGAACGGUAUGUAUCCCCUCAAGUAGAAUUAGACUUUCACCAUUGUUGUCGCCAUCAUCACCAUACACCAUUCAUUUUGCCACACAUGCACAUCUUGAUUUGACUUAUUGACUUGUUUCUCUGGAUCCAUGGUUUGACUAUGCAAUAAAUGUCUUGUAAGUAUGUAUACUUUAUCUCCCACCUAUGAGCUCCAGAUAUCAAAAGCCUUAUUAAAGUAGGGUGAGAGAGAGAGAGCAAGGUCACUGUGCUUUAUACUACAAAUACCACAUACUUUGAGAGAGAAGGGAUAUACCAUCACUGCCUUGGUAAGGAUCCAGAAAUACCACAAAAGAGAGAUCUGAGAGAGUCAUACAAGGAAUCUCUGAGUUUUAUUUGAAAAUCUGCAAAAACUCCAGAGCUAUGGCUAAUCAAGAAUAAGAGACAUGGCGCUUGACUAGACCGUUCUAUCUUUUAACUGCUCAAGACAGAAAUGACGGUUACAAGUCCCAUGGUAAAAGGUAAAAUGAGUAAGUUUUAAAUCUUGACGGUUUACUCUAACUCAGAGAUGAGACCUUAUUUGAAAGCAUGUGUACCAUCAAAACUCAAAGGUAUUACGCAACUUCUGAUCCAUCACUGAGAUUAUCCUUGCUCAGGGACGAGCAAGAGGUAAGCUUGGGGGAGUUUGUUGACAUUCCUUAAAUAUCAAAUAUAAUCAACAAAUAAACAAAGAAAAGGAUCCAAAUGCAACCGGCACCUAGACUUAGGGUUUUAUCGGACAGAAUUCCAUGAGUUUUGGUGUUUGUCUAUUUCUGCAGGGGGUUAUCAGGAAUUAUGGAAGAAAGGCCCACACGUCGGGUUUACAUAGAGAUAUUAAUGUGCACCACAAUUAUCUAACAUCUAGAAGAGUCCAGAAGCCACGGGAACGAGCGGGAGGCCGAGCGAGCCCGGGGGCAGGGCGCCCGCCCUCCCCCCUUGGGCGCUCGCCCUGGCCUGAGAGCCAAUCAGGCUCCGCCUCGCGGAUCAUGCUCCACCGACCUAAGGGAUUAAGGAAAACCGUGCGAUUAAGGUCAGUUUGAUCUGACGGUCCAUAUUCAUUUGGAGGGACUAUAUAAGCAGACCCCCUGGCCCUUGGAGGAGAGGACCGGAGAAACCCUAAUUCAUUCGUACAUCUUUGGAGAAGAAGUCCCUGAUCAAGCACUAGAGCCACCACAUCAACUAGAUCUCUAGUUUUGCAUCUCUAGUUUAGCAUAGCUACAUAGGAUUAGAACUAGAAGGAAUCAAUCUUCGAUUGGUUUCCGGAUCUGUCAAGAGGACUCUUGGUAAUUCCUCAACUGUUCUUCAUUUGUUCAUCAUUGUUCUUCAAUAUUAUGAAUAUGACUUUAUUCUACUUCAAUAUAUUGAUUAUGACUUUGCUCUACUUGUUUAUAUUUGCAAUUAUAUUGUUCUUAAUUUAUCAUAGUUAUAUGCUUGUCGUAGUCAGAUUGGAAUUAUAUACAUGUUUAGGAUCAUAUAGCGUUUAUCCAUGUGUACAAUGGGUAAAUGAUAAGUAUUAUGUAGGCGUGGUGCCUAUGCCGUAUUUAUCUGCGAUUGUACCCUAUAUGCCGGAUCGCGGGGUAGUUCGUGGUGGUGACAGCUCCAUUGAUUCUUGUAUAGUCCCCCUCUCGUGUAUAGGGCAGGUAGAGCAACAUUAUUACAGGGGAGUGAUUGCUAUGUUUCUUAUCUUCCUUGAUAAUAUCACUAUGCAUGGGCGUAGUCCUGUCUCGCAAUGAUUGCCAAGUAUAAUUGCACUAACUAUGAUAUGCUAGACUUUAUAGUUAAGAAUAACUUAGGAAAUAUUCUUGUAGUUCAUCCUAAUUCCAUGCUAAUGACUUGCUAGAAUAUCUGUUGAGGUGCUUAUCAUUAUUAUAUGUGGCUAGUUAUGCUGAUCAGAUUAAUUAUGUUUGUCACCAGUCAUACUUUUUCUAUAUUUUAUGUGACAUUUAUCCCUGUAUGAAAGAGAUAGAUAAAUGCUCUCCAUUAUACAUGCAAUGAUGGAUACUCAAUUCCAUAUUUCAUUCCAUAAUCAACAUUGAAGAUUAGCAAUCCCUUCCCAGUGGUAAAAAUAUAAAUAACGAUACCUGGAAUACUUUCCGAUUAAAAUGCUACAUCGGUAUUAAUCUGUGCGCUUGCAGAUCUCAUUUAUUAUUCAUUCAGAAGAGCAAUUGCAUAUUUCAUUACCGCGUCUCUCAUGUCAUGCUGGGGAUGACAACUUGGCUUAAGUGGAAUGAGGGAUAGGUUUGGCAUUUUGGGCACCAUUAUCAGAACUAGAAAACUAAGUCUACUUUUGGUAAUGACGUUAAGAAUGCCCAAAAGAUGUGAACCUAACGGUAUACCUAAAGCUUUGAUUACCACUUGAUGAGAACAAGGGUGGCCCGAUCUUCCGAAAGGUUUUGAUAACUCUCGAUUUGGUGGAGACGAGACACAAUUCGAUCCGGCUUCCGAACAACACGAUCUGAAACCCUGCAAUUUUUUUUCGAUAUUUUUCUUUUAGUUACGAGCACCAAAGGAGUAACCACAGAAAAUUUGAGCUUAAACAAGUGAAACACAUGGCCUGCGGAAUUUUUUGAAGAUUGUGAAAAAUGUGAAAAAAACUUGACGAGGUGAAAACUCAAAAUUUGGAGGUGAAUUUGGAGGUUCUAUAAUUUUCAAACCCACCAAUGGAGGGGACAGACAUAUCUGAAAUUUUUUUUUGAUCAAUUUUGAUAUAUGGAACGUUGAAAUCGGAGUUCGUAUGCGAAAGUUAUGGCUAUUUUACGAACGGACUCCAAAUUAGAGGACAAAAUGGUCCGAAAGUAGGAAAAAUUCGCGGCAGUGGCUAGAAAUUGAUGGAAACGGUGGGAAAAAACACACAAACUGGACUCUAACAAGACCUAACCAGCAACAAGACCUCGACCAGGACACAAACUCAACACUGUGGACUGUCAAACUGAAAUAUACAAAGGCUAUGGCGCGGAAGGGUUGUAGGACAAUAAAACGAUAUGACACUAGACUUAUGGGACAAACACAAGAACACUCAAAAGUAAGGGUAGAUGUGAACCUAAUGGUAUACCUAAAGCUUUGAUUACCACAUGAUGAGAAUAAGGGUGAUCCGAUCUUCUGAAAGGUUCUGGUAACUCUCAAUUUGGUGGAGACGAGACACAAAUCGAUACGGCUUCCGAAUAACAUGAUCCGAAACGCUACAAAAUUUUUUUAUUUUUUUGAUAUUUUACUUUUAGUUAGGAGCACCAAAGGAGUAACCAUAGAAAAUUUGAGAAUAAACAAGUGAAAUACAUGGCCUGCGAAAUUUUCUGAAGAUUGUGAAAAAUGUGAAACAAACUUCAUGAGGUGAAAACUCAAACUUCGGAGGUGAAUUUGGAGGUUCUAAAAUUUUCAAACCCGCCAACGGAAGGGACAGACAGAUCCAAAAUUUUUUUCUGAUCGAUUUUGAUAUAUGGAAUGUUGAAAUCGGAGUUUGUAUGUGAAUGUUAUGGGUAUUUUACGAAUAGACUCCGAAUUAGAGGACAAAACGGUCUGAAAGUGGGAAAAAAUUGCGGCAGUGGCUAGAAUUUGAUGGAAACUGUGGGGAAAAACACAUGAACUGGACUCUAACAAGGCUUAACCAGCAACAAGACCUCGACGAGGACACAAACUCAACACUGCGGACUCUAAAACUAAAAUAUGCAAAGGCUAUGACGCGGAAGGGUUGUAGGACAAGAAAACAAUAUGACACAGGACUUAUGGGACGAACCAAGAACACUCGAAACUAAAGGUAGAUGUGAACCUAACGGUAUACCUAAAGCUUUGAUUUCCACAUAUGAGAACAAGGGUGACCCGAUCUUCUGAAGUUCUGGUAACUCUCGAUUUGGUGGAGACGAGACACAAAUCGAUCCGUCUUCCGAACAACACGAUCCGAAACCCUGCAAUUUUUUUUUGAUAUUUUUCUUUUAGUUAGAGCACCAAAGGAGUGACCACAGAAAAUUUGAGCUUAAACUAGUGAAAGACAUGGCCUACGAAAAUUUCUGAAAAUUAUGUAAAAUGUGAAAAAAAAACAUCACGAGGUGAAAACUCAAACUUCAGAGGUGAAUUUGGAGGUUCUAAAGUUUUCAAACUCGCCAAUGGAGGGGACAGAGAGAUCCGAAAUUUUUUUUCGAUCGAUUUUGAUAUAUUGAACGUUGAAAUCAGAGCUCGUAUGCGAAAGUUAUGGCUAUUUUACAAACGGACUCCAAAUUAGAGGACAAAAUGGUCCGAAAGUGGAAAAAAUUUGCGGCGGUGGCUAGAAAUUGAUGGAAACGGUGGGGGAAAAUACAUGAACUGGACUCUAAUAAGACCUAACCAGCAAUAAGACCUCGACGAGGACACAAACUCAACACUGCGGACUCUGAAACUGAAAUAUGCAAAGGCUAUGACGUGGAAGGGUUGUAGGACAAGAAAACGAUAUGACACUGCACUUAUGGGACGAACACAAGAACACUCAAAACUAAGGGUAGAUGUGAACCUAAUGGUAUACCUAAAGCUUUGAUUCCCACAUGAUGAGAACAACGGUGACCCGAUCUUCUAAAAGGUUCUGGUAACUCUCGAUUUGGUGGAGACGAGACACGAAUCGAUCCGGCUUCCGAACAACACGAUCCGAAACCCUGCAAUUUUUUUUAUUUUUUUGAUAUUUUUCUUUUAGUUAGAGCACCAAAGGAGUAACCACAGAAAAUUUGAGCUUAAACCAGUGAAAGACAUGGCCUACGAAAAUUUCUGAAAAUUGUGAAAAAUGUGAAAAAAACAUCACGAGGUGAAAACUCAAACUUCAGUUGUGAAUUUGGAGGUGCUAAAAUUUUCAAACCAGCCAAGGGAGGGGAGACAGAUCCGAAAUUUUUUUCUGAUCGAUUUUGAAAUAUGGAACAUUGAAAUCGGAGCUCGUAUGCGAAAGUUAUGGCUAUUUUACGAACGGACUCCAAAUUCGAGGACAAAACGGUGCGAAAGUGGGCAAAAUUUACGGUGGUGGCUAGAAAUUGAUGGAAACGGUGGGGGAAAAUAUAUGAACUGGACUCUAACAAGACCUAACCAGCAACAAGACCUCGACGAGGACACAAACUCAACACUGCGGACUCUAAAACUGAAAUAUGCAAAGGCUAUGGCGUGGAAGGGUUGUAGGACAGAAAAACGAUAUGACACUGGACUUAUGGGACGAACACAAGAACACUCGAAACUAAGGGUAGAUUUGAACCUAAUGGUAUAUCUAAAUCUUUGAUUUCCACAUGAUGAGAACAAGGGUGACCCAAUCUUCUGAAAGGUUCUGGUAACUCUCGAUUUGGUGGAGACGAGACACAAAUCGAUCCGGGUUCCGAACAACACGAUCCGAAACCCUACAAUUUUUUUUAUUUUUUUGAUAUUUUUCUUUUAGUUAGAGCACCAAUGGAGUAACCACAGAAAAUUUGAGCUUAAACCAGUGAAAAACAUGGCCUACGAAAAUUUCUGAAAAUUGUGAAAAAUGUGAAAAAAACAUCACGAGGUGAAAACUCAAACUUCGGAGGUGAAUUUGGAGGUUCUAACUUUUCAAACCUACCAAUGGAGUGACAAACAGAUCCAAAAUUUUUUUCUGAUCGAUUUUGAUAUAUGGAACGUUGUAAAUGGAGCUCGUAUGUGAAAGUUAUGGCUAUUUUACGAACGGACUCCAAGUUAGAGGACAAAACGGUCCGAAAGUGGGAAAAAUUUGCGGUGGUGGCUAGAAAUUGAUGGAAACGGUGGGGGAAAAUACAUGAACUGGACUCUAACAAGACCUAACCAGCAACAAGACCUCGACAAGGACACAAACUCAACACUGCGGACUCUGAAACUGAAAUAUGCAAAGGCUAUGGCGCGGAAGGGUUGUAGGACAGGAAAACCAUAUGACACUGGACUUAUGGGACGAACACAAGAACACUCGAAACUAAGGGUAGAUUUGAACCUAACGGUAUACCUAAAGCUUUGAUUACCACAUGAUGAGAACAAGGGUGACCCGAUCUUCUGAAAGGUUCUCGUAACUCUCGAUUUGGUGGAGACGAGACACAAUUUAAUCCGGCUUUCGAACAACACGAUCCAAAACCCUGCAAAUUUUUUUAUUUUUUUGAUAUUUUUCUUAUAGUUAGGAGCACCAAAGGAGUAACCACACAAUAUUUGAGCUUAAACCAGUGAAAUUUUCUCAAAGUUGUGAAAAUGUGAAAAAAAACUUCAUGAGGUGAAAACUCAAAUUUCGGAGGUGAAUUUGGAGGUUCCAAAAUUUUCAAACCUGCCAAUGGAGUGGACAGACAGAUCCGAAAUUUUUUUCUGAUCAAUUUUGAUAUAUGGAACGUUGAAAUCGGAGCUCGUAUGCGAAAGUUAUGGCUAUUUUACAAACGGACUCCAAAUUAGAGGACAAAAUGGUCGAAAAGUGGGAAAAAUUUGCGACGGUGGCUAGAUAUUGAUGGAAACGGUGCUGGAAAACACACGAACUGGACUCUAACAAGACCUAACAAGCAACAAGACCUCGACGAGGACACAAACUCAACACUGCGGACUCUGAAACUGAAAUAUGCAAAGGCUAUGACACGGAAGGGUUGUAGGACAAGAAAACGAUAUGACACUGCACUUAUUGGACGAACACAAGAACACUUGAAACUAAGGGCAGAUGUGAACCUAAUGGUAUACCUAAAGCUUUUAUUUCCACAUGAUGAGAACAAGGGUGACCCGAUCUUCUGAAAGGUUCUGGUAACUCUCGAUUUGGUGGAGACAAGACAUAAAUCGAUCCGGCUUCCGAACAACACGAUCCGAAAACCGGUAAUUUUUUUAUUUUUUGAUAUUUUCUUUUAGUUAGAGCACCAGAGGAGUAACCACAGAAAAUUUGAGCUUAAACUAGUGAAAGACAUGGCCUACGAAAAUUUCUGAAAAUUGUGAAAAAUGUGAAAAAAACAUCACGAGGUGAAAACUCAAACUUCAGAGGUGAAUUUGGAGGUUCUAAAAUUUUCAAACUCGCCAAUGGAGGGGACAGACAGAUCUCAAAAUUUUUUCUGAUCAAUUUUGAUAUAUGGAACGUUGAAAUCGGAGUUCGUAUGCGAAAGUUAUGGCUAUUUUACGAACGGACUCCAAAUUAGAGGGCAAAAUGGUCCGAAAGUAGGAAAAAUUCGCGGCGGUGGCUAGAAAUUGAUGGAAACGGUGGGGAAAAACACACAAACUGGACUCUAACAAGACCUAACCAGCAACAAGACCUCGACCAGGACACAAACUCAACACUGUGUACUGUGAAACUGAAAUAUGCAAAGGCUAUGGCGCGGAAGGGUUGUAGGACAAGAAAACGAUAUGACACUGGACUUAUGGGACAGACACAAGAACACUGAAAAGUAAGGGUAGAUGUGAACCUAAUGGUAUACCUAAAGCUUUGAUUACUAUAUGAUGAGAAUAAGGGUGACCCGAUCUUCUAAAAGGUUCUGGUAACUCUCGAUUUGGUUAAGAUGAGACACAAAUCGAUACGGCUUCCGAAUAACAUGAUCCGAAACGCUGCAAAAUUUUUUUUAUUUUUUUGAUAUUUUACUUUUAGUUAGGAGCACCAAAGGAGUAACCAUAGAAAAUUUGAGCAUAAACAAAUCAAACACAUGGCCUGCGGAAUUUUCUGAAGACUGUGAAAAAUGUGAAAAAAACUUCAUGAGGUAAAAACUCAAACUUCGGAGGUGAAUUUGGAGGUUCUAAAAUUUUUAAACUCGCCAAUGGACGGGACAGACAGAUCCAAGAAUUUUUUCUAAUCGAUUUUGAUAUAUGGAACGUUGAAAUCAGAGUUUGUAUGCGAAAGUUAUGUCUAUUUUACGAACAGACUCCAAAUUAGAGGACAAAACGGUCCGAAAGUGGGAAAAAUUUGCGGUGGUGGCUAGAAAUUGAUGGAAACGGUGGGGAAAAAUACAUGAACUGAACUCUAACAAGACCUACCCUACAAUAACACCUCGACGAGGACACAAACUCAACACUGCGGACUCUGAAACUGAAAUAUGCAAAGGCUAUGACGCGGAAGGGUUGUAGGACAAGAAAACGAUAUGACACUGGACUUAUGGGACGAACACAAGAACACUCGAAACUAAUGGUAGAUGUGAACCUAAUGGUAUACCUAAAGCUUUGAUUAUCACUUGAUGGGAACAAGGGUGGCCCGAUCUUCCAAAAUGUUCUGGUAACUCUCGAUUUGGUGGAGACGAGACACAAAUCGAUCCGGCUUUCGAAUAACAUGAUCCAAAACCCUGCGUUUUUUAUUUUUUUGAUAUUUUUCUUUUAGUCAGGAGCACCAAAGGAGUAACCAUAGAAAAUGAGCUUAAACAAGUAAAAGACAUGGCCUGCGGACUUUUCUGAAGAUUGUGAAAAAUGUGAAAAAACAUCACGAGGUGAAAACUCAAACUUCAGAAGUGAAUUUGGAGGUACUAAAAUUUUCAAACCCGCCAAUGGAGGGGACAGACAGAUCCAAAAAAUUUUUCUGAUCGAUUUUGAUGUAUGGAAUGUUGAAAUCGGAGUUUGUAUGCGAAAGUUAUGGCUAUUUUACAAACGGACUCCGAAUUAGAGGACAAAACGGCGGUGCCUAGAAAUUGAUGGAAACGGUGGGGAAAAAGACAUGAACUGGACUCUAACAAGACUUAACCAGCAAGAAGACCUCGACCAGGACACAAACUCAACACUGCGGACUCUAAAACUGAAUUAUGCAAAGGCUAUGGCGCGGAAGGGUUGUAGGACAAGAAAAUGAUAUAGCACUGGACUUAUAGGGACAAACACGAGAACACUCGAAACUAAGGGUAGAUGUGAACCUAAUGGUAUACCUAAAGCUUUGAUUUCCACAUGAUGAGAACAAGGGUGACCCGAUCUUCUGAAAGGUUCUGGUAACUCUCGAUUUGGUGGAGACGAGACACAAAUCGAUCCGGCUUCCGAACAACACGAUCCGAAACCCUGCAAUUGUUUUAUUUUUUUUGAUAUUUUUCUUUUAGUUAGAGCACCAAAGGAGUAACCACAGAAAAUUUGAGCUUAAACCAGUGAAAGACAAGGUCUACGAAAAUUUCUGAAAAUUGUGAAAAAUGUGAAAAAAACAUCAUGAGGUGAAAACUCAAACUUCAGAGGUGAAUUUGGAGGUCCUAAAAUUUUCAAACCAGCCAAUGGAGGGGACAGACAGAUCUGAAAUUUUUUUCUGAUCGAUUUUGAUAUAUGGAACAUUGAAAUCGGAGCUCGUAUUCGAAUGAUAUGGCUAUUUUACGAACGGACUCCAAAUUAGAUGACAAAACGGUCCGAAAGUGGGAAAAAUUUGCGGUGGUGGCUAGAAAUUGAUGAAAACGGUGGGGGAAAAUACAUGAACUGGACUCUAACAAGACCUAACCAGCAACAAGACCUCGACGAGGACACAAACUCAAAACUGCGGACACUAAAACUGAAAUAUGCAAAGGCUAUGACGCGGAAGGGUUGUAGGACAAGAAAACGAUAUGACACUGGACUUAUGGGACAAACCAAGAACACUCAAAACUAAGGGUAGAUGUGAACCUAACGGUAUACCGAAAGUUUUGAUUUCCACAUAUGAGAACAAGGGUGACCCGAUCUUCUGAAGUUCUGGUAACUCUCGAUUUGGUGGAGACGAGACACAAAUCGAUCCGGCUUCCGAACAACACGAUCCGAAAACCUGUAAUUUUUUUUUGAUAUUUUUCUUUUAGUUAGAGCACCAAAGGAGUGACCACAGAAAAUUUGAGCUUAAACUAGUGAAAGACAUGGCCUACGAAAAUUUCUAAAAAUUGUGAAGAAUGUGAAAAAAAAACAUCACGAGGUGAAAACUCAAACUUCAGAGGUGAAUUUGGAGGUUCUAAGCUUUUCAAACUUGCCAAUGGAGGGGACAGGGAGAUCUGAAAUUUUUUUCUGAUCGAUUUCGAUAUAUGGAACAUUGAAAUCAGAGCUCGUAUGUGACAGUUAUGGCUAUUUUACGAACGGACUCCAAAUUAGAGGACAAAAUUGUUCGAAAGUGGGAAAAAUUUGCGGCGGUGGCUAGAAAUUAAUGGAAACGGUGGGGGAAAAUACAUGAACUGGACUCUAACAAGACCUAACCAGCAAUAAGACCUCGACGAGGACACAAACUCAACACUGCGGACUCUGAAACUGAAAUAUGCACAGGCCAUGACGUGGAAGGGUUGUAGGACAAGAAAACGAUAUGACACUACACUUAUGGGACGAACACAAGAACACUCGAAACUAAGGGUAGAUGUGAACCUAAUGGUAUCCCUAAAGCUUUGAUUUCCACAUGAUGAGAACAAGGGUGACCCGAUCUUCUGAAAGGUUCUGGUAACUCUCGAUUUGGUGGAGACGAGACACAAAUCGAUCCGGCUUCCGAACAACACGAUCCGAAAACCUGUAAUUUUUUUUGAUAUUUUUCUUUUAGUUAGAGCACCAAAGGAGUGACCACAGAAAAUUUGAGCUUAAACUAGUGAAAGACAUGGCCUACGAAAAUUUCUGAAAAUUGUGAAGAAUGUGAAAAAAAAACAUCACGAGGUGAAAACUGAAACUUCAGAAGUGAAUUUGGAGGUUCUAAGGUUUUCAAACUUGCCAAUGGAGGGGACAGGGAGAUCUGAAAUUUUUUUCUGAUCGAUUUCGAUAUAUGGAACAUUGAAAUCAGAGCUCGUAUGUGACAGUUAUGGCUAUUUUACGAACGGACUCCAAAUUAGAGGACAAAAUUGUCCGAAAGUGGGAAAAAUUUGCGGCGGUGGCUAGAAAUUGAUGGAAACGGUGGGGGAAAAUACAUGAACUGUUCUCUAACAAGACCUAACCAGCAAUAAGACCUCGACGAGGACACGAACUCAACACUGCGGACUCUGAAACUGAAAUAUGCAAAGGCUAUGACACGGAAGCGUUGUAGGACAAGAAAACGAUAUGACACUGCACUUAUGGGACGAACACAAGAACACUCAAAACUAAGGGUAGAUGUGAACAUAAUGGUAUACCUAAAGCUUUGAUUUCCACAAGAUAAGAACAAGGGUGACCGGAUCUUCUGAAAGGUUCUGGUAACUCUCGAUUUGGUGGAGACGAGACACAAAUCCAUCCGGCUUCCGAACAACAUGAUCCGAAACCGUGCAAUUUUUUUUAUUUUUUUGAUAUUUUUCUUUUAGUUAGAGCACCAAACGAGUAACCAUAGAAAAUUUGAGCUUAAACCAGUGAAAGACAUGGCCUACGAAAAUUUCUGAAAAUUGUGAAAAAUGUGAAAAAAACAUCACGAGGUGAAAACUCAAACUUCAGAGGUGAAUUUGGAUGUUCUAAAAUUUCCAAUCCCGCCAAUGGAGGAAACAGACAGAUCCGAAAUUUUUUUCUGAUCGAUUUUGAUAUAUGGAACGUUGAAAUCGGAGCUCGUAUGCGAAAGUUAUGACUAUUUUCCGAACGGACUCCAAAUUAGAGGACAAAACGGUCCGAAAGUGGGAAAAAUUUGCGGCGGUGGCUUGAAAUUUAUGGAAACGGUGGGGGAAAAUACAUGAAUUGGACUCUAACAAGACCUAACCAGCAACAAGACAUCGACAAGGACACAAACUCAACACUGCAGACUCUGAAACUUAAAUAUGCAAAGGCUAUGGCGCGGAAGGGUUGUAGGACAAGAAAACGAUAUGACACUGGACUUAUGGGACGAACACAAGAACACUCGAAACUAAGUGUAGAUUUAAACCUAAUGGUAUACCUAAAGCUUUGAUUACCACAUGAUGAGAACAAGGGUGACCCGAUCUUCUAAAAGGUUCUGGUAACUCAAGAUUUGGUGCAGACGAGACACAAAUUGAUCCGGCUUCCGAACAACAUGAUCCGAAAUCCUGCAAUUUCUUUUAGUUAGGAGCACCCAAGGAGUAACCAUAGAAAUUUUGAGCUUAAACCAGUGAAAGACAUGGCCUACGAAAAUUUCUGAAAAUUGUGAAAAAUGUGAAAAAAACUUCACGAGGUGAAAACUCAAACUUCGGACGUGAAUUUGGAGUUUUCUAAAAUUUUCAAACCCGCCAAUAGAAGGGACACACAGAUCCAAAAUUUUUUUUAAUCGAUUUUGAUAUAUGAAACGUUGAAAUUGAAGUUUUUAUGCAAAAGUUAUGGCUAUUUUAUUAAAGGACUCCGAAUUAGAGGACAAAACGAUCCGAAAGUGGAAAAAAUUUACGGCAGGUGCUAGAAAUUGAUGGAUACGGUGGGGAAAAACACACAAACUGGACUCUAACAAGACCUAACCAGCAACAAAACCUCGACGAGGACACAAACUCAACACUGCGGACUCUGAAACUGAAAUAUGCAAAGGCUAUGGCGCAGAAGGGUUGUAGGACAGGAAAACGAUAUGGCACUGGACUUAUGGGACGAAUACAAGAACACUCGAAACUAAGGGUAGAUGUGAACCUAAUGGUAUACCUAAAUCUUUGAUUACCACUUGAUGAGAACAAGGCUGGCCUGAUCCUCCGAAAGGUUCUGGUAACUCUGGUGGAGACGAGACACAAAUCGAUCCGGCUUUCGAACAACAUGAUCCAAAACCCUACAAUUUUUUUAUUUUUUUGAUAUUUUUCAUUUAGUUAGGAGCACCGAAGGAGUAACCAUAAAAAAUUUGUGCUUAAACAAGUGAAAGACAUGGCCUGCGGACUUUUCUGAAGAUUGUGAAAAAUGUGAAAAGAACAUCGCGAGGUGAAAACUCAAAUUUCAGAGGUGAAUUUGGAGGUACUAAAAUUUUCAAACCUACCAAUGGAGGGGACGGACAGAUCCAAUUUUUUUUUCUGAUCGAUUUUGAUGUAUGGAACGUUGAAAUUGGAGUUCGUAUGCGAAAGUUAUGGCUAUUUUACGAACGCACUCUGAAUUAGAGGAUAAAACGGCGGUGGCUAGAAAUUGAUGGAAACGGUGGGGAAAAAGACAUGAACUGGACUCUAACAAGACCUAACCAACAACAAGACCUCAACCAGGACACAAACUCAACACUGUGGUCUCUAAAACUGAAAUAUGCAAAGGAUAUGGCGCGAAAGGGUUGUAGGACAAGAAAAUGAUAUCGCACUGGACUUAUAGGGACAAACACAAGAACACUCGAAACUAAGGGUAGAUGUGAACCUAACGGUAUACCUAAAGCUUUGAUUACGACUUGAUGAGAACAAGGGUGGCCCGAUCUUCCGAAAGGUUCUAGUAACUCUUGAUUUGGUGGAGACGAGACACAAAUCGAUCCGGCUUCCAAACAACACGAUGCGAAACCCUGCAAUUUUUUUUAUUUUUUUGAUAUUUGUCUUUUAGUUAGAGCACCAAAGGAGUAACCACAGAAAAUUUGAGCUUAAACAAGUAAAAGACAUGGCCUGCUGAAUUUUCUGAAGAUUGUGAAAAAUGUAAAAAUAACUUCAUGAGGUAAAAACUCAAACUUCGGAGGUGAAUUUGGAGGUUCUAAAUUUUUCAAACCUUCCAAUGGAGGGGACAGACAUAUCCAAAAAUUUUUUCUGAUCAAUUCUGAUAUAUGAAACGUUAAAAUCGGAGUUCGUAUGCGAAAGUUAUGGCUAUUUUACGAACGGACUCCGAAUUAGAGGACAAAACGAUCCGAAAGUGGGAACAAUUUGCGGCGGUGGCUAGAAAUUGAUGGAAACAGUGGGCAAAAACAAAUGAACUGGACUCUAACAAGACCUAACCAACAACAAGACCUCGACCAGGACACAAACUCAACACUGCGGACUCUGAAACUAAAAUAUGCAAAGGCUAUGGCGCGGAAGGGUUGUAGGACAGAAAAACGAUAUGGCACUAGACUUAUGGGACAAACACAAGAACACUCGAAACUAAGGGUAGAUGUGAGCCUAAUGGUAUACCUAAAGCUUUGAUUACCACUUGAUGAGAACAAAGGUGGCCCGAUCUUCUGAAAGGUUGUGGUAACUCUCGAUUUGGUGGAGACGAGACACAAAUCGAUCAGCUUCCGAACAACACGAUCCGAAACCCUGCAAUUGUUUUUCUAUUUUUUUUGAUAUUUUUCUUUUAGUUAGGAGCACAAAAGGAGUAACCACAGAAAAUUUGAGCUUAAACAAGUGAAAGACAUGGCCUGCGGAAUUUUCUGAAGAUUGAGAAAAAUGUGAAAAAAACUUCACGUGGUGAAAACUCAAACUUCGGAGGUGAAUUAUGAGAUUCUAAAGGUUUCAAAUCCACCAAUGGAGGGGACAGACAGAUACAAAAAAUUUUCUGAUCAAUUUUGAUAUAUGGAACGUUGAAAUCGGAGUUCGUAUGCGAAAGUUAUGGCUAUUUUUCAAACGGACUCCGAAUUAGAGGACAAAACGGUCCGAAAGUGGGAAAAAUUUGCGGCGGUGGCUAGAAAUUGAUGGAAAUAGUGGGGAAAAACAUAUGAACUGGACUUGAUAAAGACCUAACGAGCAACAAGACCUCGACCAGGACACAAACUCAACACUGUGGACUCUCAAACUGAAAUAUGCAAAGGCUAUGGCGUGUAAGGGUUGUAGGACAGGAAAAUGAUAUGGCACUGGACUUAUGGGACGAACCCAAGAACACUCGAAACUAAGGGUAGAUAUCAACCUAACGGUACACCUAAAGCUUUGAUUACCACUUGAUGAGAACAAGGGCGGCCCGAUCUUCCGAAAGGUUCUGGUAACUCUCGAUUUGGUGGAGACGAGACACAAAUCGAUCCGGCUUCCGAACAACACGAUCUGAAAGCCUACAAUUUUUUUUAUUUUUUUGAUAUUUUUCUUUGAGUUCGGAGCACCAAAGGAGCAACCACAGAAAAUUUGAGCUUAAACAUGUGAAAGACAUGGCCUGUGGAAUUUUCUGAAGAUUGUGGAAAAUGUGAAAAAACUUCGCGAGGUGAAAACUCAGACUUCGGAGGUGAAUUUGGAGGUUUUAAAGUUUUCAAACCCCCCAAUGGAGGGGACACACAGAUCCAAAAAAUUUUUCUAAUCGAUUUUGAUAUAUGGAACAUUGAAAUCGGAGUUCGUAUGCGAAAGUUAUGGUUAUUUUACGAACGGACUCCGAAUUAGAGGACAAAACGGUCCGAAAGUGAGAAUAAUUUGCGGUGGUGGCUAGAAAUUGAUGGAAACAGUGGGGAAAAACAUAUGAACUAGACUUUAACAAGACCUAACCAGCAACAAGACCUCGACCAGGAGACAAACUCAACACUUCGGACUCUGAAACUGUAAUAUGCGAAGGCUAUAGCGUGGAAGGGUUGUAGGACAGAAAAAUGAUAUGGCACUGGACUUAUGGGACGAAUACAAGAACACUCGAAACUAAAGGUAGUUAUAAACCUAAAGGUAUACCUAAAGCUUUGAUUACCACUUGAUUUGAACAAGGGUGGCCCGAUCUUCCGAAAGGUUCCGGUAACUAUCGAUUUUGAGGAGACGAGACACAAAUCGAUCCGGCUUCCGAACAACACGAUCCGAAACUCAGCAAAUUCUUUUUAUUUUUUUGUUAUUUUUCUUUCAGUUAGGAGCACCAAAGGAGUAACCACAAAAAAUUUAAGCUUAAACAAGUGAAAUACAUGGCCUGUGGAAUUUUCUGAAGUUUCUGAAAAAUGAGAAAAAAAACUACACGAUGUGAAAACUCAAAUUUUGGAGGUGAAUUUGGAGGUUCUAAAAUUUUCAAACCCGCCAAUGGAGGGGAUAGAUAGAUCCAAAAAAUUUUUUUGAUCGAUUUUGAUAUAUGGAACACUGAAUUCGGAGUUCGUAUGCGAAAGUUAUGGCUAUUUUACGAUCGGACUCUGAAUUAUAGGACAAAACGGUCCGAAAGUAGAAAAAAUUUGCGGCGGUGGCUAGAAAUUGAUGGAAACGGUAGAGAAAAACACACGAACUGGACUCUAUCAAGACGUAACCAGCAAAAAGACCUCGACCAUGACACAAACUCAACACUGCGGACUCUGAAACUGAAAUAUGCAAAGGCUAUGACAUAGAAGGGUUGUAGGACAGGAAAAUAAUAUGGCACUGGACUUAUGGGACGAACACAAGAACACUCAAAACUAAGGGUAGAUAUGAACCUAACGGUACACCUAAAGCUUUGAUUACUGUUGACGGUCCUUAAUGCUCACAUUUAACCAUCAACUAAUCAUAGAAAAGGAUCCAAAUGCAACCAACACCUAGACUUAAGGUUUUAUCUGACAGAAAUUCCACGAGUUUUGGUGUUUGUCUGUUUCUGCAGGGGGUUAUCAGGAAAUACGAAAGGAAGGCCCACACGUCGGGUUUACAUAGAGAUAUUAACGUGCCGCGCAAUUUUCUAUCAUCUAGAAGACUCCAGAAGCCACGGGACCGAACGGGAGACGUAACGGAGCCGGGCACUGGGCGCCCCCCCUCCCUUACUGGGCGCCCGCCCUCUCCCCUGGACCAAUCAGGGUGAAGUUCGGGGAUCGUGCUCCACCGACCUAAUACUUCAAGGAAAACCACACGAUCAAUGUCGGUUUGAUCCGACGGCCCAGAUUCACUUGAAGGGACUAUAAAACCAGACCCCCCUGGCCCCUGGAGAUCAUACCUCUUCUACAGAAUCAAAGCUAGGGUUUCAAUUCUUCAUCCAAGUAGAGAGGAUCCCUCUAGUUCUUCUAGUUCUACCUCUAGUUCAUCUAGAUCUAGUUCUAGUUCAUCUAGUUCUAGUUCUAGUUCCUCUAGUUCUAGUUCUAGUUAGUUCUAGUUGUAAUCUAGAAAAUAGGGAGAGAGAAGAGGAGAGCGGAGGAGGAGCCGGAUCUGUCGGAUCUUCCUCAACAUUGUACUUUUGCAGCAUCUGGUUCGUUCUUCAUCGUUCUCCAGGUUCUUAAAUUCAUAAUUCCUGAGUUCUUUAAUUACUUUUAUUUACAUUCAAGUUAUUUAUUGGAUUCCCGCUUGCAUCAAGUGCUCUAGUCUUUAUAACGCUAGAGUAGUAAUUAAUAGAUUAGACGUGGUGUUUAGUCUUGCGAUUACCUGGAAUUGCACCCAAUCCCACGGAUUGUUGUGGUAGCCUUAGGGUAGUGACAGCCCUAACGGUCGAUGUAUUCCACCUCGUUCGGAUCGGUGUUUGUAGGACCGUAGUCGGAGCUUCCUAGCCCCCUUCUCAUCUCUUUCUCUGGUUAGUGUUCUGAUGUCCCGAAAUAGAUAAUCUUGAAGUAAUUCUUGAUUCUUAGAUCAACUAGAGAACUCUCAGGAAACUUCCUCUCUUCCCAACAAAAAAUAAUUAUAUAGUUAUCCUUGGGCGAUCUUGAUUCUUAAUUAGUACACUCACGUUCCCUGUGGAAAAUCGAUACUCUGGAAUACUCCCGGGUGAAGGCUACAUCGGUAUCCGUGCGCUUGCGGAUUUUUCUGUUUGCGUUUAAAAUACCCAACAAGCUUUCUGGCGCCGUUGCCGGGGAACGGUAGGUGUGCUAGUUUCGAACCAAGUCGUCCGUGUAUCCUUUUUCUUUUCCUUUUUUAUCACACUCACCUUACUAUUUUCACCAUACCACAUGGAUUUCACUCUAAGCAUUAAUGAGCAUGGAAUUUAUUUCAUAGCCACUUCAUUUACUCCAUGCUCAUAUGCAACAUCUUCACAAUCCAUUGGUCUCUCCAACAUCACCACAUUCGAGAUCUCCAACCCCCUCUUACUUUCUAUUCAUAAAAACUUUAAAAGGGCGGUUGUCGAUGCAUAUGUCUAUAUUAAAUAUUGCAGAUCUCGUUGAGUUGAUCUUGAUAUAGGUCAGCGUUGGAGGGGAAACCACUCACCGACAUAAAUUGAUGGUUUCCCAAGGACAAGCUUAGCGUCCUAAAAUAAGCACUGAUCAGAUCGUAACAUAAGCUUUUAAUUAUUUGCAACACUACCUUGUGUAUUGAGCAUAUAAGGAUAAUUGUAAAAAUAUCCCUUCGGGUAUUCUUGUCACUAACCUUUGCAGGAUUGGAGCAAGAAGAUCGGAUGAAUGACAAGCACAAGGUAUGUCCAACCAAUCAUCAUACAACAUUGAAUUAAAUUCAUCCAAACUUGAAUUUUGCAAAAUUCUAGCUUGGGGGAGUACUUUACAUAAAAACAUCCUUUGCCAUGUUGCUAUGUUGGUUGUCCCUACCUUUGAGACAUGCUCAAUUGGUUAAAUACUAAUCACACUACUUCAUCUCCACUUGAGUAGAUCUCUAUAAAUGCUCUCAUGAUACCUUUAUUUGCUUUAGUAUAUGUCUAGGUUUGGAGUAGUUUCAUAUAUCUCUUAAUUAAGCAUGGUGCUUAGCUAGGAAUGAUGAUCUUACUUCCAAGGGAUUUUAAAUUAAGCAUGGUGCUUAGGUUAAAAUGCCCUCCUGAAUCAAAUUAGACAUGGUGUCUAGGUUGAUUUUUGAGCUGAUAGUAUGCUAUAGUAGAUAUGGGAUAUUUUGUUGGAUUAACCCCUGCAGGAAAACUUUCAAUAUCGACCUGGGAAGUCCUGAGAUAAACUCACAUUGGAGACAAAGAGAGAGACACAUAAAGUUUAACAAUUUACACAAGGAAGGCAUAGCUCACAAGAGAUGAUUCAUGGAGGGUGCCACAAACACGAUGCACAACCGCUAAGAAAGGAAAGCUUCCACAAGGUGAUACUGUACCAUCACUCUUCAAGUAAGGUAACAUCUUAAGGUACUUGACUAUCACUUCUAUAAGCUUUUCCUUGGUUCUGGCAUUCACAUGAAUAAAAGAGACAAACAUGUAUGAUUUACAACUUUAGAUUAAUCAACCCAAUCGAUUCAACAUGUUUAGUCUUUCUACCUUCGUGAUCCCACACUCCUAAUCAUAUAAGCUAAAACGUUGCACAUUCAAUCUUUGGAAGAUAUAAACAAAACAUAAGUAUACAUAGAUUAUCUUUCCAUUAGGUUGAGCGAUGUGAUCUGACAAAUGUUUUAAAUAUUACACUCAUGAUAUUAUUAUCCAUCAACUUGGUCUUGCUCAUUAUGCUUAAGGAUAGAGAAGAAUAAAUACACUUUUGGUUCUGUUGGUGUUUUCCACCAACAGGGCCCAUGCACUUGAUCUCUGCCUUGUCUCUAUGAGCAGGUACACUUUAAGCAAAACAUGGAAGAGUUUUACAACUCCCAGACUCCACCAAGUGAAGAACCUAGAUCUACGAGCACAAACACACUGGAGAGACUGGACACUCAGGCAAUCACUGCCCUAAGAUGCUUGAGGACGUAACUACUGGAGUAACCCAUGGAAGUAAUUACUGACCUUCUGCAGGUCAAGAGAGACAAUCCAGGACGCCCCGUCAUCCCGAUCUCCAUCAGCUUGCAGAUCAGACACUAAGUUUCCCAAAGGGAAUAUUGAAGAACCUCUGCGUCCGAGUUGGUACCUUGUACGCCCCAGCAGACUUCGUGGUGAUAGAGACUGGUACUGAUGAGAGGGCACCCAUCCUAGGGAGGCCAUUCCUGAACACCUCAGGAGCUGUCAUCUACGCUAGUGCUGCCAAGAUCAAUUUCUACAUCAAGGGGAGGAAGGAGACGUUUUCCUUCAAGAACAAGACUACACAAAUCUCAGAGCAAUCCCGACAUGAACCAAGGAAGAGGAUCAACAGGGGGAGCAGGAACAAGCAAAUGUGGACUGAGUCAGCUAAGAUGGUCACUGCAGCUCAACGAGGUCAAGAUCGUCGACUUAAGUCACCGUUCCUGACCAAAAAGGAUGCCGCAAUCACUUAACAGCUCCUCUAUGGAACCAUGUCCCUACAACCGACAUACAUUCAGCUCCAGAUGGCAGAUCAGACAUUCCGUAAGGUUAUUGUCAUGGGAGAAGACGAGUACAAUCCACCCGUCAUCCUUAGAAGACCGUUCCUCAGCACCGUUAAAGCAAUCAUCUACAUUGGAACCGGAGAAGUCCACAUGAACUUCCCCUCUGAGAAGGUACGUCGCUGUUUUACUGACCCUAACUAUAUAGUUGAAGAUUCUAAGCAGGUCAGGACAAGAAGAAGACGACGCAACCAUAACCAGAGGAGGAAAAUCAUAAAGGACGGAUGGGCAGAGUACGAAGGAGAAGUGCACCAAGGCAGGUGUGGAGAAAGAAGAUAGUUAUACAUGAAGAGUAUGCGCCGCCGGAACCACCGACUACGCCAUCCAGCGAAUCCCAGGACGAUUGAGAAAACGGAGAGUCCCGUUCGGAGGACUUAAAAACACCGAACGCCAUGCCAAGAGGUAAACUUGGUAGUUAUCUUUUUCCUUUCAAUUAUUUUAAAAAUAGUUUGCUUAGUUAAUGAGGUUUAUAUCAUCUUAAAAAGAAAAUAAAAAUGUUAAAAAUAGUAAGCCCCAUGUGAGUAUGCUCAUGGCAUAAAACCCAUAAGUACAUUCACUGUGGUGGCAUAAAAAUGAAAUAAAUAUAUUCCUGUCCUAUAAAAAUGAAAAUAUAAAAAUAGAUUUAUGAUCCCACUAAAAAGUGUAAUAUUUAUUGAGGAGACUCAACAUGAUAAAGGCUAGAUAUUUAUGCUAACACUUAACUAGUUCCACAAGCUUUGUUGUCUAUUUGAGCUCCACAGAAUUCAAGGAUCAAAGAAGACGGAGGACAUCCUAGUCGCCGUCAGGGUGCUGCUGACAUUAAAAUAUACCUUUGCCACCUGCUAGCUACAUUAGAAGAAAUUACAUCAAUAUCCAGCUUGGGGGAGAGCACCCCCAUUUAUCCAGCUAAGUGUUCUACUCACGUUUAUAUUUUACUCAAAUAAUAAAAAGAUGCAUGAUCAUAAAAACCCAAAUAAAGUUUUUGUGCUUAUAUAUAUCCUUGCUUAGUUUGCUAAAUAAAUAAAUAAAUAAAGUUUGCUAUGAACCCUCAUGAUAAGCUCUCACAUGGAAAUGAUGAAUAGUUGCUCUGCUAUGACUAGUUCUCAAAAUUGAAAUCUCUCUCAAGUUUAGGCCUAACUGUUAUUAAUUAAGAUUUGCUCUAAACCUGAACUUGUGGGAAGAGUACUUGAUCUGAAGUCUAAGUCGUUAACGGAUAUGAUAUAGGAAGGUUGAGCUGCUGUUUAUCUGUUCUUAGAGAUGCUAGAAUUCUGGAGAAUUUUAUCUUUGAAAAUCUUUAAAAUGUUGCAUGAUGAGUUCCUGUAUGAUGAGAGUUUAAAUUCCUACCACAGCCAGAUAUACAUGCUUGCUAGACUUUGAGCCACACAUUUACUUUUUACUACUUAUGAGCAUUGAGUGUGGUCAAGCUGUGUAGACCCUUAGGAGCUUGUCAUGUGGUUAAAUCAAGAUUCACUUGCACGUUCACUCACACAUGCUACUUCUACUCCGGAAGUACCAUCAAUAUAUAUCCAUUUCCAUCUCCAGAACCACCUAAAAAUAUUCUACUCCUAAUCCAGGAGAGAAUAGCCAAAAAUAUUUCUAUUUUUCCCUGUGAAAUAAAUGCUCAAGUUAUCUUGUUACUACCACUUGCUAUAUUAUCUCAUGAGAUGAGUGCUCUAAUAAAAAAGAAGAAAAAAAAUACGAGGAAAUAAAAAGGGGCAAGUGCCCGGAACCUCGAAAGAAAAAAAAAGUGUGACGAGAGGUAAAAAAUGGACAAGUGUCCGACAGUAGAAUUAGGGGUACAAGAUACCCACCCGAGAGAAAAGAAAAAGAAAAUAUAGAGCAUCUCAUUCUCCUCAAAAAGUUUCAAAAGAGCAAGAAAGGUAUGUAUCCUCUCAAAAGAGCAUAAGUAGAAUUAGACUUUCACCAUUGUUAUCACCAUCAUCACCAUACACCAUUCAUUCGCCACACAUGCACAUCUUGAUUUGACUUAUUGACUUGUUCUUCUGGAUCCAUGGUUUGACUAUGCAAUAUAUGUCUUGUAAGUAUGUAUUAGCUGUCUCCCACCUAUGAGCUCCAGAUAUCAAAACCUUAUUAGAGUAGGGUGAGAGAGAAGGCAAUGUCACUAUGCUUCAUACCAAAAAUACCACAUAUUUUGAGAGAAGGCAUAUACCAUUACUGCCUUGGUAAGGAUCCAGAAAUACCACAAAAGAGAGACUAGAGAGAGUCAUACAAGGAAUCUCUGAGUUUUAUUUGAAAAUCUGCAAAAACUCCAGAGCUAUAGUUAAUCGAAGAACAAGAGACAUGGCGCUUGACUAGACCGUUCUAUCUUUUAACUGCUUAAGACACAAGUGACGGUUGCAAGCCCCAUGGUGGAAGGUAAAAUGAGUAAGUUUAAAUCUUAAUAGUUACCCUAACCCAGAGAUGAGAUCUUUUUUAAAUGCAUGUGCAUUUUUAAGGCAUGAAACCACUGCAGAAACUUUUGAGUCUAUCUUUGCUCAGGGACGAGCAAAGGUUAAGCUUGGGGGAGCUUGUUGACGGUCCUUAAUGCUCACAUUUAACCAUCAACUAAUCAUAGAAAAGGAUCCAAAUGCAACCAACACCUAGACUUAGGGUUUUAUCUGACAGAAUUCCACGAGUUUUGGUGUUUGUCUGUUUCUGCAGGGGGUUAUCAGGAAAUACGAAAGAAAGGCCCACACGUUGGGUUUACAUAGAGAUAUUAACGUGCUGCGCAAUUUUCUAUCAUCUAGAAGACUCCAGAAGCCACGGGACCGAACGGGAGACGUAACGGAGCCGGGCACUGGGCGCCCGCCCUCCCUUACUGGGCGCCCGCCCACCUCUUUCCACCAAUCAGGGUGAAGUUCGGGGAUCGUGCUCCACCGACCUAAUACUUCAAGGAAAACCACACGAUCAAUGUCGGUUUGAUCCGACGGCCCAGAUUCACUUGAAGGGACUAUAAAACCAGACCCCCCUGGCCCCUGGAGAUCAUACCUCUUCUACAGAAUCAAAGCUAGGGUUUCAAUUCUUCAUCCAAGUAGAGAGGAUCCCUCUAGUUCUUCUAGUUCUACCUCUAGUUCAUCUAGAUCUAGUUCUAGUUCAUCUAGUUCUAGUUCUAGUUCCUCUAGUUCUAGUUCUAGUUAGUUCUAGUUGUAAUCUAGAAAAUAGGGAGAGAGAAGAGGAGAGCGGAGGAGGAGCCGGAUCUGUCGGAUCUUCCUCAACAUUGUACUUUUGCAGCAUCUGGUUCGUUCUUCAUCGUUCUCCAGGUUCUUCAAUUCAUAAUUCCUGAGUUCUUUAAUUACUUUUAUUUACAUUCAAGUUAUUUAUUGGAUUCCCGCUUGCAUCAAGUGCUCUAGUCUUUAUAACGCUAGAGUAGUAAUUAAUAGAUUAGACGUGGUGUUUAGUCUUGCGAUUACCUGGAAUUGCACCCAAUCCCACGGAUUGUUGUGGUAGCCUUAGGGUAGUGACAGCCCUAACGGUCGAUGUAUUCCACCUCGUUCGGAUCGGUGUUUGUAGGACCGUAGUCGGAGCUUCCUAGCCCCCUUCUCAUCUCUUUCUGUGGUUAGUGUUCUGAUGUCCCGAAAUAGAUAAUCUUGAAGUAAUUCUUGAUUCUUAGAUCAACUAGAGAACUCUCAGGAAACUUCCUCUCUUCCCACCAAAAAAUAAUUAUAUAGUUAUCCUUGGGCGAUCUUGAUUCUUAAUUAGUACACUCACGUUCCCUGUGGAAAAUCGAUACUCUGGAAUACUCCCGGGUGAAGGCUACAUCGGUAUCCGUGCGCUUGCGGAUUUUUCUGUUUGCGUUUAAAAUACCCAACAAUUACCACUUGAUGAGAACACGGGUGGCCCGAUCUUCCGAAAGGUUCUGGUAACUCUCGAUUUGGUGGAGACGAGACACAAAUUGAUCCGGCUUCCGAACAACACGAUACGAAACCCUACAAUUUUCUUUAUUUUUUUCAUAUUUUUCUUUUAGUUAGGAGCACCAAAGGAGUAACCACAAAAAAAUUGAGCUUAAACAAGUGAAAGACAUGGCCCGCGAAAUUUUCUGAAGAUUGUGAAAAAUGUGAAAAAAACUUCACGAGGUGAAAACUCAAACUUUAGAGGAUCUAAAGUCAAUCAAACCUGCCAUUGAAGGGCACAGACAGAUCCAAAAAAUUUUUCUGAUCGAUUUUUUUAUAUGGAACGUUGAAAUCGGAGUUCGUAUGCGGAAGUUAUGGCUAUUUUAUGAACGGACUCCGGAUUAGAGGACAAAACGGUCCGAAAAUGAGAAAAAUUGCGGCGGUGGCUAAAAAUUGAUGGAAAUAGUGGAGAAAAACAUAUGAACUGGACCCUAACAAGACCUAACCAGCAACAAGACCUCGACCAGGACACAAACUCAACACUACGGACUCUGAAACUAAAAUAUGCAAAUUCUAUGGCGUGGAAGGGUUGUAGGACAGGAAAAUGAUAUGGCACUGGACUUAUGGGACGAACACAAGAACACUCAAAACUAAAGAUAGUUAUGAACCUAAUGGUAUACCUAAAGCUUUGAUUACCACUUGAUUUGAACAAGGGUGGUCUGAUCUUCCGAAAGGUUCUGGUAACUAUCGAUUUGGAGGAGAAGAGACACAAAUUGAUCCGCUUUCGAACAACACGAUCCGAAACUCAGCAAAUUCUUUUUAUUAUUUUUUGAUAUUUUUCUUUCAGUUAGGAGCACUAAAGAAGUAACCACAGAAAAUUUAAGCUUAAACAAGUGAAAGACAUGGCCUGUGGAAUUUUCUGAAGUUUGUGAAAAAUGUGAAAAAAACUUCAUGAUGUGAAAACUUAAACUUCAGAGGUGAAUUUGGAGGUUCUAAAAUUUUCAAACCCGCCAAUGGAGGGGACAAAUAGAUCCAAAAAAUUUUUUUGAUCGAUUUUGAUAUAUGGAACAUUGAAAUCGGAGUCCGUAUGCGAAAGUUAUGGCUAUUUUACGAUCGGACUCCGAAUUAGAGGACAAAACGGUCCGAAAGUGGGAAAAAUUUGCGGCGGUGGCCAGAAAUUGAUGGAAACGAUGGGGAAAAACACACGAACUGGACUCUAACAAGACCUAACCAGCAACAAGACCUCGGCCAGGACACAAACUCAACACUGCGAACUCUGAAACUAAAAUAUGCAAAGGCUAUUGCGUGGAAGGGUUGUAGGACACGAAAACGAUAUGGCACUCGACUUAUGGGACGAAACACUCGAAACUAAGGGUAGAUGUGAACCUAACAGUAUACCUAAAGCUUUGAUUACCACUUGAUGAGUCAAGGGUGGCCCGAUCUUCCGAAAGGUUCUGGUAUCUCUCGAUUUGGUGCAGACGAGACACAAAUCGAUCCGGCUUCCGAACAACACGAUCUGAAAGCCUACAAUUCUUUUUAUUUUUUUGAUAUAUUUCUUUGAGUUAGGAGCACCAAAGGAGUAACCACAGAAAAUUUGAGCUUAAACAAGAGAAAGACAUGGCCUGCGGAAUUUUCUAAAGAUUGUAAAAAAUGUGAAAAAAACUUCACGAGGUGAAAACUCAAACUUUGGAGGUGAAUUUUGAGGUUCUACAAUUUUCAAACCCACCAAUGGAGGGGACAGACAGAUCCAAAGAAAUGUUUCAGAUAGAUUUUGAUAUAUGGAAUGUUGAAAUCGGAGUUCGUAUGCGAAAGUUAUGGCUAUUUUACGGACUACGAAUUAGAGGACAAAACAGUCCGAAAGUGGGAAAAAUUUGCGGCGGUGGCUAGAAAUUGAUGGAAACGGUGGGGAAAAGCACACGAACUGGACUCUAACAAGACCUAACCAGCAACGAGACCUCGACCAGAACACAAACUCAACACUGCGGACUCUGAAACUGAAAUAUGCAAAGGCUAUGGCGCGGAAGGGUUGUAGGACAGGAAAACGAUACGGUACUGGACUUAUUGGACGAACACAAGAACACUCGAAACUAAGGGUAGAUGCCAACCUAAUGGUAUACCUAAAGCUUUGUUUACCACUUGAUGAGAACAAGGGUGGCCCGAUCUUGUGAAAGGUUCUAGUAACUCUCGAUUUGGUGGAGACGAGACACAAAUCAAUCCGGCUUCCAAAUAACACGAUGCGAAACACUUCAAUUUUUUUAUUUUUUUGAUAUUUUUCUUUUAGUUAGGAGCACCAAACGAGUAACCACAUAUAAUUUGACUUUUAAACAAGUGAAAGACAUGGCCUGCGGAUUUUUCUUAAGAUUGUGAAAAAUGUGAAAAAAAACUUCACGGGGUGAAAACUCAAACUUUGGAGGUGAAUUUGGAGGUUCUAAAUUUUCAAACCCACCAAAAGCUAGGACACACAGAUCCGAAAUUUUUGUCUGAUUGAUUUCGAUAUAUGGAACAUUGAAAUUGGAGUUCGUAUGUGAAAGUUAUGGCGAUUUUACGAACGGACUCCGAAUUAGAGGACAAAACGGUAAAUGGGAAAAAUUUGCGGUGGUGGCUAGAAAUUGAUGGAAACGGUAGGGAAAAACACACGAACUGGACUCUAACAAGACCUAACCAGCAACAAGACCUCAAUAAGAACACAAACUCGACACUGCGGACUCUGAAACUGAAAUAUGCAAAGGCUAUGGCGCGAAAGGGUUGUAGGAUACGAAAACGAUAUAGCCCUGGAAUUAUGGGACGAACACAAGAACACUCGAAACUAAGGGUGGAUGUGAACCUAACGGUAUACCUAAAGCUUUGAUUACCACUUGAUGAGAACAAGGGUGACCUGACCUUCCAAAAGGUUCUGAUAUCUCUCGAUUUGGUACAGACGAGACACAAAUCGAUCCGGCUUCCGAACAACAUGAUAUGAAACCGUGCAAUUUAUUUUAUUUUUUUGAUAUUUUUCUUUUAGUUAGUAGCACCAAAGGAGUAACCACAGUAAAUUUGAGCUUAAACAAGUGAAAGACAUGGCCUGCGGAAUUUUUUGAAGAUUGUGAAAAAUGUGAAAAAAAACAUUACGAGGUGAAAACUCAAACUUUAGAGGUGAAUUUUGAGGUUCUAAAAUUUUCAAACCCGCCAAUGGAGGGGAUAGAGAGAUCCAAAAAAAUUUUCGAAUCAAUUUUGAUAUAUGGAACGUUGAAAUCGGAGUUCGUAUGCGAAAGUUAUGGCUAUUUUACGAACGGACUACGAAUUAGAGGACAAAACAGUCUGAAAGUGGGAAAAAUCUGCGGUUGUGGCUAGAAAUUGAUGGAAACGGUGGGGAAAAACACACGAACUGGACUUUAACAAGGCCUAACCAGCAACAAGACCUCAACAAGAACACAAACUCAACACUGCAGACUCUGAAACUGAAAUAUGCAAAGGCUAUGGCGUGAAAGGGUUGUAGGACACGAAAAUGAUAUAGCACUGGACUUAUGGUACGAACACAAGAACACUCGAAACUAAGGGUAGAUGUAAACCUAAUGGUAUACCUAAAGCUUUGAUUAGUAACUCUCGAUUUGAUGGAGACGACACACAAAUCGAUCCGGCUUCCGAACAACACGAUCCGAAACAUGCAAUUUUUUUUAUUUUUUUGAUAUUUUUCUUUUACUUAGGAGCACCAAAGGAGUAGCCACAGGAAAAUUGAGCUUAAACAAGUGAAAGACAUGGCCUGCGGAAUUUUCUGGAAAUUGUGAAAAAUGUGAAAAAAACAUCACGAGCUGAAAACUCAAAUUUCGGAGGUGAAUUUGGAGGUUCUAAAAUUUUCAAACCCACCAAUGAGGGGACAGACAGAUCUUAAUUUUUUUCUAAUCAAUUUUGAUAUAUGGAAUGUUGAAAUCGGAGUUCAUAUGCGAAAGUUAUGGCUAUUUUACGAACGGACUCCGAAUUAGAGCACAAAACGGUCCGAAAGUGGGAAAAAUUUGCGGCGGUGGCUAGAAUUUGAUGGAAACGGUGGAGAAAAAUACAUGAACUGGACUCUAACAAGACCUAACCACCAACAAGACUUCGACCAGGACACAAACUCAACACUGCGGACUCUGAAACUGAAAUAUGCAAAGGCUAUGGCGUGGAAGGGUUGUAGGACACGAAAACGAUAUGGCACUGGACUUAUGGGACGAACACAAGAACACUCGAAACUAAGGGUAGAUGUGAACCUAACGGUAUACCUAAUGCUUUUAUUACCACUUGAUGAGAAAAAGGGUGACCUGAUCUUCCAAAAGGUUCUGGUAUCUCUCGAUUUGGUGCAGACGAGACACAAAUCGAUCCGGCUUCCGAACAACAUGAUACGAAACAAUGCAAAUUUUUUCUAUUUUUUUUUGAUAUUUUUAUUUUAGUUAGGAGCACCGAAGGAGUAACCACAGAGAAUUUGAGCUGAAACAAGUUUAAGACAUGGCCUGCGGAAUUUUUUGAAGAUUGUGAAAAAUGUGAAAAAAAACUUCACGAGGUGAAAACUCAAAAUUUGGAGGUGAAUUUUGAGGUUCAAAAAUUUUCAAACCCGCCAAUGGAGGGGACAGACAGAUCCAAAAAAAAAUUUUGGAUCAAUUUUGAUAUAUGGAACGUUGAAAUCAGAGUUCGUAUGCGAAAGUUAUGGCUAUUUUACGAACGGACUACGAAUUAGAGGACAAAACAGUCCGAAAGUGGGAAAAAUUUGCGGUGCUGGCUAGAAAUUGAUGGAAAUGGUAGGGAAAAACACACGAACUGGACUCUAAUAAGACCUAACCAGCAACAAGACGUCAACAAGAACACAAACUCAACACUGCGGACUCUGAAACUGAAAUAUGCAAAGGCUAUGGCGCGAAAGGGUUGUAGAACACGAAAACGAAAAAGCACUGGACUUAUGGUACGAACACAAGAACACUCGAAACUAAGGGUAGAUGUGAACCUAACGGUAUACUAAUGCUUUUAUUACCACUUGAUGAGAAUAAGUGUGACCUGAUCUUCAAAAAGGUUUUGGUAUCUCUUGAUUUGGUGCAGACGAGACACAAAUCGAUCCGGCUUCCGAACAACAUGAUACGAAACCUUGCAAAUUUUUUUUAUUUUUUUUAAUAUUUUGCUUUUAGUUAGGAGCACCGUAGGAGUAACUACAGAAAAUUUGACCUUAAACAAGUGAAAGACAAGGCCUACGGAAUUUUUUGAAGAUUGUGAAAAAUGUGAAAAAAAACUUCACGAGGUGAAAACUCAAACUUUGGAGAUGAAUUUUGAGGUUCUAAAAUUUUUAAACCCGCCAAUGGAGGGGACAGACAGAUCCAAAAAGAAUUUUGGAUCAAUUUUCAUAUAUGGAACGUUGAAAUCGGAGUUCGUAUGUGAAAGUUAUGGCUAUUUUACGAACGGACUACAAAUUAGACGACAAAACAGUCCGAAAGUGGGAAAAAUUUGCGGCAGUGGCUAGAAAUUGAUGGAAACAGUGGGGAAAAACACACGAACUAGACUCUAACAAAGACCUCGACCAGGACACAAACUCAACACUGCGGACUCUGAAACUGAAAUAUGCAAAGGCUAUGGCGCGGAAGGGUUGUAGGACAAGAAAAUGAUAUGGUACUGGACUUAUGGGACGAACACAAGAACACUCCAAACUAAGGGUAGAUGUGAACCUAAUGUUAUACCUAAAGCUCUGGUUACCACUUGAUGAAAACAAGGGUGGCCCGAUCUUCUGAAAGGUUCUAGUAACUCUCGAUUUGGUGGAGACGAGACACAAAUCGAUCCGGCUUCCGAACAACAUGAUCCGAAACCCUACAAUUUUUUUUUAUAUUUUGAUGUUUUUCUUUUAGUUAGGAGCACCAAAGAAGUAACCACAUAAAAUUUGAGCUUAAACAAGUGAAAGAAAUGGCCUGUGGAAUUUUCUGAAGAUUGUGAAAAAUGUGAAAAAACUUCACGAGGUGAAAACUCAAACUUUGGAGGUGAAUUUGCAGGUUCUAAAAUUUUCAAACCAACCAAAAGCUAGGACACACAGAUCUGAAAUUUUUUUCUGAUCGAUUUUGAUAUAUGGAACGUUGAAAUCGGAGUUCGUAUGUGAAAGUUAUGGCUAUUUUACGAACGGACUACGAAUUAGAGGACAAAACAGUCCGAAAGUGGGAAAAAUUUGCGGCGGUGGCUAGAAAUUGAUGGAAACGGUGGGGAAAAGCACACGAACUGGACUCUAAUAAGACCUAACCAGCAACAAGACCUCAACAAGAACACAAACUCAAAACUGCGGACUCUGAAACUGAAAUAUGCAAAGGCUAUGGCGCGAAAGGGUUAGGACACGAAAACGAAAUAGCACUGGACUUAUGGUACGAACAUAAUAACACUCAAAACUAAGGGUAGAUGUGAACCUAACGGUAUACCUAAUGCUUUUAUUACCACUUGAUGAGAACAAGGGUGACCUGAUCUUCCAAAAGGUUCUGCUAUCUAUCGAUUUGGUGCAGACGAGACACAAAUCGAUUCGGCUUCCGCACAACAUGAUACGAAACCCUGCAAUUUUUUUUAUUUUUUUUGAUAUUUUUAUUUUAGUUAGGAGCACCGUAGGAGUAACCACAGAGAAUUUGAGCUUAAACAAGUUUAAGACAUGGCCUGCGGAUUUUUUUGAAGAUUGUGAAAAAUGUGAAAAAAAACUUCACGAGGUGAAAACUCAAACUUUGGAGGUGAAUUUUGAGGUUCAAAAAUUUUCAAACCCGCCAAUGGAGGGGACAGACAGAUCCAAAAAAAAUUUUUGGAUCGAUUUGAUAUAUGGAACGUUGAAAUCAAAGUUCGUAUGCGAAAGUUAUGGCUAUUUUACGAACGGACUACGAAUUAGAGGACAAAACAGUCUGAAAGUGGGAAAAAUUUGCGGUGGUGGCUAAAAAUUGAUGGAAACGGUAGGGAAAAUACACACGAACUGGACUCUAAUAAGACCUAACCAGCAACAAUACCUCAACAAGAACACAAACUCAACACUGCGGACUCUGAAACUAAAAUAUGCAAAGGCUAUGGCGCGAAAGGGUUGUAGGACACGAAAACGAAAAAGCACUGGACUUAUGGUACGAACACAAGAACACUCGAAACUAAGGGUUGAUGUGAACCUAACGAUAUACCUAAUGCUUUUAUUACCACUUGAUGAGAACAAGGGUGACCUGAUCUUCAAAAAGGUUCUGGUAUCUCUCUAUUUGGUGCAGACGAGACACAAAUCGAUCCGGCUUCCGAACAACAUGAUACGAAACCUUGCAAUUUUUUUAUUUUUUUAAUAUUUUGCUUUUAGUUAGGAGCACCGUAGGAGUAACCACAGAAAAUUUGAGCUUAAACAAGUGAAAGACAUGGCCUACGGAAUUUUUUGAAGAUUGUGAAAAAUGUGAAAAGAACAUCACGAGGUGAAAACUCAAACUUUGGAGAUGAAUUUUCAGGUUCUAAAAUUUUCAAACCCGCCAAUGGAGGGGACAGACAGAUCCAAAAAGAAUUUUGGAUCAAUUUUCAUACAUGGAACGUUGAAAUCGGAGUUCAUAUGUGAAAGUUAUGGCUAUUUUACGAACGGACUACGAAUUAGAGGACAAAACAGUCUGAAAGUGGGAAAAAUUUGCGGCGGUGGCUAGAAAUUGAUGGAAACGGUGGCGAAAAACACACGAACUGGACUCUAACAAAGACCUCGACUAGGACACAAACUCAACACUGCGGACUCUGAAACUGAAAUAUGCAAAGGCUGUGGCGCGGAAGGGUUGUAGGACAAGAAAAUGAUAUGGUACUGGACUUAUGGGACGAACAUAAGAACACUCCAAACUAAGGGUAGAUGUGAACCUAAUGUUAUACCUAAAGCUCUGAUUACCACUUGAUGAGAACAAGGGUGGCCCGAUCUUCUGAAAGGUGCUAGUAACUCUCGAUUUGGUGGAGACGAGACACAAAUCGAUCCGGCUUCCGAACAACAUGAUCCGAAACCCUACAUUUUUUUUAUUUUUUUGAUGUUUUUCUUUUAGUUAGGAGCACCAACGAAGUAAUCACAUAAAAUUUGAGCUUAAACAAGUGAAAGACAUGGCCUGUGGAAUUAUCUGAAGAUUGUGAAAAAUGUGAAAAAACUUCACGAGGCGAAAACUCAAACUUUGGAGGUGAAUUUGCAGGUUCUAAAAUUUUCAAACCCACCAAAAGCUAGGACACACAGAUCCAAAAAAUUUUUCUGAUCGAUUUUGAUAUAUGGAACGUUAAAAUCGGAGUUCGUAUGUGAAAGUUAUGGCUAUUUUACGAACGGACUCCGAAUAAGAGGACAAAACGGUCUGAAAGUGGGAAAAAUUUGCGGUGGUGGCUAGAAAUUGAUGGAAACGGUGGGGAAAAACACACGAACUGGACUCUAACUAGACCUAACCAGCAACAGGACCUCAACAAGAACACAAACUCAACACUGCGGACUCUGAAACUGAAAUAUGCAAAGGCUUUGGCGCGAAAGGGUUGUAGGACACGAAAAUGAUAUAGCACUGGACUUAUGGUACAAACACAAGAACACUCGAAACUAAGGGUGGAUGUGAACCUAACGGUAUACCUAAAACUUUGAUUACCACUUGAUGAGAACAAGAGUGACCUGAUCUUCCAACAGGUUCUGGUAACUCUAGAUUUGGUGGAGACGAGAAACAAAUCGAUCCGGCUUCCGAACAACAUCAUAUGAAACCGUGCAAUUUUUUUAUUUUUUUGAUAUUUUUCUUUUAGUUAUGAGCACCAAAGGAGUAACCACAGAAAAUUUGAGCUUAAACAAGUGAAAGACAUGGCCUGUGGAAUUUUUUGAAGAUUGUGAAAAAUGUGAAAAAAACUUCACGAGGUGAAAACUCAAACUUUGGAGGUGAUGUUUGAGGUUCUAAAAUUUUCAAACCCAACAAUGGAGGGGACAGACAGAUCCAAAAAAAAAUUUCGGAUCGAUUUUGAUAUAUGGAACGUUGAAAUCGGAGUUCGUAUGCGAAAGUUAUGGCUAUUUUACGUACGGACUACGAAUUAGAGGACAAAACCGUCCGAAAGUGGGGAAACUUUGCGGUGGUGGCUAGAAAUUGAUGGAAACGGUAGGGGAAAACACACGAACUGGACUGUAAUAAGACCUAACCAGCAACAAGACCUCGACCAGGACAAACUCAACAAUGCGGACUCUGAAACUAAAAUAUGCAGAGGCUAUGGCGUGGAAGGGUUGUAGGACACGAAAACGAUAUGGUACUGGACUUAUGGGACGAACACAGGAACACUCGAAACUAAGGGUAGAUGUGAACCUAAUGGUAUACCUAAAGCUUUGAUUACCACUUGAUGAGAAAAAGGGUGGCCCGAUCUUCCGAAAGGUUCUGGUAACUCUCGAUUUGGUGGAGACGAGACACAAAUCGAUCCGGCUUCCGAACAACACGAUCUGAAACCCUACAGUUGUUUUUUAUUUUUUUGAUAUUUUUCUUUUAGUUAGGAGCACCGAAAGAGUAACCACAUAAAAUUUGAGUUCAGACAAGUGAAAGACACGGCCUGCGGAAUUUUCUGAAGAUUGUGAAAAAUGUGAAAAAAACAUCACGAGGUGAAAACGCAAACUUCGGAGGUGAAUUUGGAGGUCCUAAAAUUUUCAAACCUGCCAAAGGCAGGGACAUACAGAUCUGAAUUUUUUUCUGAUCGAUUUUGAUAUAUGGAACGUUGAAAUCGGAGUUCGUAUGGGAAAGUUAUGGCUAUUUUACGAACGGACUCCGAAUUAGAGGACAAAACGGUCCAAAAGUGGGAAAACUUUGCGGUGGUGGCUAGAAAUUGAUGGAAACGGUGGGGAAAAACACACGAACUAGACUCUAACAAGACCUAACCAGCAACAAGACCUCAACCAAGACACAAACUCAACACUGCGGACUCUGAAACUGAAAUAUGCAAAGGCUAUGGCGCGGAAGGGUUGUAGGACAUGAAAACGAUAUGGCCCUGGACGUUUGGGACGAACACAAGAACACUCGAAACUAAGGGUAGAUGUGAACCUAACGGUAUACCUAAAGCUUUGAUUACCACUUGAUGAGAACAAGGGUGACCUCAUCUUCCAAAAGGUUUGUAACUCUCGAUUUGGUGCAGACGAGACACAAAUCGAUCCGGAUUCCGAACAACACGAUACAAAACCCUACAAUUUUUUUAUUUUUUCGAUAUUCUUCUUUUAGUUAGGAGUAACCACAGAAAAUUUGAGCUUAAACAAGUUAAAGACAUGGCCUGCGGAAUUUUCUGAAGAUUGUGAAAAAUGUGAAAAAAACUUCACGAGGUGAAAACUCAAAGUUCGGAGGAGAAUUUUGAGGUUCUAAAAUUUUCAAACCCCCCUACAACGGGGACAUGCAGAUCCAAAAUUUUUUUCUGAUCGAUUUUGAUAUAUGGAACAUUGAAAUCGGAGUUCGUAUGCGAAAGUUAUGGCUAUUUUACAAACGAACUCUGAAUUAUAGGACAAAACGGUCCGAAAGUGGAAAAAAUUUGCGGCGGUGGCUAGAAAUUGAUGGAAACAAAGGGGAAAAAGACACAAACUGGACUCUAACAAGACCUAUCCAGCAACAAGACCUCAACCAGGACAAACUCAACACUGCAGACUCUAAAACUGAAAUAUGCAGAGGCUAUGGCGCGGAAGGGUUGUAGGACUGGAAAACGAUAUGUUAUUGGACUUAUGGGACGAACACAGGAACACUCGAAACAAAGGGUAGAUGUGAACCUAAUGGUAUACCUAAUGCUUUGAUUACCACUUGAUGAGAACAAAGGUGGCCUGAUCUUCCGAAAGGUUCUGGUAACUCUCGAUUUGGUGGAGACGAGACACAAAUCGAUCCGGAUUCCGAAAAACACGAUCCGAAACCUUGCAAUUGUUUUUUAUUUUUUUGAUAUUUUUAUUUUAGUUAGGAGCACGAAAAGAGUAACCACAUAAAAUUUGAGUUUAAACAAGUGAAAAACAUGGCCUGUGGAAUUAUCUGAAGAUUGUGAAAAAUGUGAAAAAACUUCACGAGGUGAAAACUCAAACUUUGGAGGUGAAUUUGCAGGUUCUAAAAUUUUCAAACCCACCAAAAGCUAGGACACACAGAUCCAAAAAUUUUUUCUGAUCGAUUUUGAUAUAUGGAACGUUGAAAUAGGAGUUCGUAUGGGAAAGUUAUGGCUAUUUUACGAACGGACUCCGAAUUAGAGGACAAAACGGUCCAAAAGUGGGAAAAAAUUGCGGUGGUGGCUAGAAAUUGAUGGAAACGGUGGGGAAAAACACACGAACUAGACUCUAACUAGACCUAACCAGCAACAGGACCUCAACAAGAACACAAACUCAACACUGCGGACUCUGAAACUGAAAUAUGCAAAGGCUUUGGCGUGAAAGGGUUGUAGGACACGAAAAUGAUAUAGCACUGGACUUAUGGUACAAACACAAGAACACUCGAAACUAAGGGUGGAUGUGAACCUAACGGUAUACCUAAAACUUUGAUUACCACUUGAUGAGAACAAGAGUGACCUGAUCUUUCAAAAGGUUCUGGUAACUCUAGAUUUGGUGGAGACGAGAAACAAAUCGAUCCGGCUUCCGAACAACAUCAUAUGAAACCGUGCAAUUUUUUUAUUUUUUUGAUAUUUUUGUUUUAGUUAUGAGCACCAAAGGAGUAACCACAGAAAAUUUGAGCUUAAACAAGUGAAAGACAUGGCCUGUGGAAUUUUUUGAAGAUUGUGAAAAAUGUGAAAAAAACUUCACGAGGUGAAAACUCAAACUUUGGAGGUGAUGUUUGAGGUUCUAAAAUUUUCAAACCCAACAAUGGAGGGGACAGACAGAUCCAAAAAAAAAUUUUGGAUCGAUUUUGAUAUAUGGAACGUUGAAAUCGGAGUUCGUAUGCGAAAGUUAUGGCUAUUUUACGUACGGACUACGAAUUAGAGGACAAAACCGUCCGAAAGUGGGGAAAAUUUGCGGUGGUGGCUAGAAAUUGAUGGAAACGGUAGGGGAAAACACACGAACUGGACUGUAAUAAGACCUAACCAGCAACAAGACCUCGACCAGGACAAACUCAACAAUGCGGACUCUGAAACUAAAAUAUGCAGAGGCUAUGGCGUGGAAGGGUUGUAGGACAGGAAAACGAUAUGGUACUGGACUUAUGGGACGAACACAGGAACACUCGAAACUAAGGGUAGAUGUGAACCUAAUGGUAUACCUAAAGCUUUGAUUACCACUUGAUGAGAAAAAGGGUGGCCCGAUCUUCCGAAAGGUUCUGGUAACUCUCGAUUUGGUGGAGACGAGACACAAAUCGAUCCGGCUUCCGAACAACACGAUCUGAAACCCUACAGUUGUUUUUUAUUUUUUUGAUAUUUUUCUUUUAGUUAGGAGCACCGAAAGAGUAACCACAUAAAAUUUGAGUUCAGACAAGUGAAAGACACGGCCUGCGGAAUUUUCUGAAGAUUGUGAAAAAUGUGAAAAAAACAUCACGAGGUGAAAACGCAAACUUCGGAGGUGAAUUUGGAGGUCCUAAAAUUUUCAAACCUGCCAAAGGCAGGGACAUACAGAUCUGAAUUUUUUUCUGAUCGAUUUUGAUAUAUGGAACGUUGAAAUCGGAGUUCGUAUGGGAAAGUUAUGGCUAUUUUACGAACGGACUCCGAAUUAGAGGACAAAACGGUCCAAAAGUGGGAAAAAUUUGCGGUGGUGGCUAGAAAUUGAUGGAAACGGUGGGGAAAAACACACGAACUAGACUCUAACAAGACCUAACCAGCAACAAGACCUCAACCAAGACACAAACUCAACACCGCGGACUCUGAAACUGAAAUAUGCACAGGUUAUGGCGCGGAAGGGUUGUAGGACAUGAAAACGAUAUGGCCCUAGACGUUUGGGACGAACACAAGAACACUCGAAACUAAGGAUAGAUGUGAAUACCUAAAGCUUUGAUUACCACUUGAUGAGAACAAGGGUGACCUGAUCUUCCAAAAGGUUUUGGUAACUCUCGAUUUGGUGCAGACGAGACACAAAUCGAUCCGGCUUCCGAACAACACGAUACGAAACCCUACAACUUUUUUUUAUUUUUUUGAUAUUUUUCUUUUAGUUAGGAGCACCAAAGGAGUAACCAGAGGAAAUUUGAGCUUAAACAAGUGAAAGACAUGGCUUACGGAAUUUUUUGAAGAUUGUGAAAAAUGUGAAAAAAACUUCACGAGGUGAAAACUCAAAGUUCGGAGGAGAAUUUGGAGGUUCUAAAAUUUUCAAACCUGCCUACAAUGGGGACAUGUAGAUCCAAAAUUGAUCAAGGUCCAACUCGGCAUGGAUUUUAAGCUAUAGAGCUCCAAGUACCCUAUUUCGAAACUGCCGAUUCCAGACUUAGCCAAAUUCGGCUAUGUGUGGAAACAACAGUAAUUUCUGGCUUGUGAGCAAAUUUUGUAUGUGUUCCAUGCAUUUUCAUAAAACAUCAUCAACACAACUUUUGUAGCUUAUUAAAUUUACUACAACUUUACUUUAGAUGUCAUUUACAUGCAAAGUUUCUAACACUGGUUUCAUAAAAGGUCUUUGAAAAGAGGUUUAGGGGGUCAACUAGGCCAACCUAGGGCUAACCAUGACCUAGGGGCAUUUUUGGGCCAAACCUCCAACAUAAACUUUUUUCAAAAUGUUAUUCUAAACAUGAUUAAAGUAUUUUGGAAGACAAUGUGCACUUAUAUGCAUUGGUCACACAUUACUAUCACCUAUAGCAAGUCACACAAGCAAUUCAAUCACAUAGUGUAUACACCAAAUGACAUGUGAUCAUGGUGUGAUGCUCAUGAGUGAUCAUGACGAUGCUUAUGUUGAUGCAAUGCUCAUGGUUAACAUGCAAGCUAACACUAGGAGUGUUACAUCAUUGGCAGUAAUCUGGUGCUGAGGAUCCACCGAUGCGCUUUUUUCAGCUGCCUCUAAAGUCAAUACUUUGGUCUUUCCCUUAGCAUCCAACAUAUUUGUAGGGAAAGGAUGUAGGUCGAUCUUCAUCGGCUUUUGAGCUUUGGAGUUAUCGAACCUAAUUCUCCCAAACUCUAUAGCCGACUGCAGCUGCCGCCUGAAAACUUUGCAUUCAUUCGUACUAUGAGAUGUAGCAUUAUGCCACUUGCAAUACUUAAUCUUCUUUAAUUCUUCUGCCGAUGGAAUCACAUGGUUAGGUGACAACUUAAUUUGCCCCUCCUGAAGCAAAAAGUCAAAUAUCCUAUCGGCUUUCGUGAUGUAGAAUGCAAACUUUUCUGGUUCUUUAUGCCCAAAAGGGCAAGACAUCGGCUUUUUAUUUUUUACCCAUUCUGCCAAGCUGAUGACUGGCUCUUCAUCAGAAUCUGAGCUUGUUGCCUCAUCGACAAAUGACACCUUUUUGUUCCAUGCCCUCUUGGGUUCAAAAGCUUUGAUAUCUUGGUCAGAAAUCCUCUGCACUAAAUGGCUCAGACUUUCAAACUCUUGAGAAGCAUACUUGUCUUUAAUGUGUGGCAACAACCCUUGGAAAGCCAAAUCGGGGAGCUGCCGAUCAUCCAAAACCAGACUAUAACAUUUAUUCUUAACAUCUCGCAACCUUUGCACAAAGCUCUCAACCGAUUCAUCAUUGCGCUGCCUUAGCCUGACUAAAUUGGUAAUCUUCUUCUCAUCCACUCCAAAAAAUAAGUAUUUAUGGAACUAUUUGUCUAGAUCGGCCCAGGUGAUCACUGAGUUUGGAGGUAAUGAAAUAAACAAAGUAAAGGUCGAUCCAGACAAAGAUGAUGAGAAUAAGCGAACCCUUAACUCAUCUCUAUUAGCAGUUUCCCCAUACUGGAUGAUGAACCUAUUAACAUGCUCCAUGGUUGACGUAUCAUCCUGCCCCAAAAACUUGGUGAAAUCCGGCACCUUGUACCGAUUUGGAAGCGGAAUUAAGUCAUAUGCAGGAGGAUACGGUGUCCGAUAAGAGUAAGUGUUGACUUUGGGUUUUAUCCCAAAUUGGUCUCUCAUCACCUCAGCUAUCUUAUCGGUCCAGUAAGCAUCAGCAUCUUGCCGAUGAGCUUGUUGUGGAUCCGGCAUCUGCUGAUAAGCUUCCGCGUGUCUCUACAGUGCACGAUCCCUAGGGAACAUAGGAUUAGCCACCGCCUGUUGACCACCAACUUGCUGACCAAGAUUCAUCGGUUGGUUGAUCAACCCUUGAUUUUGAAAUCCAGGUUGCAUUGGUCCUUGUUGAAAUCCCAUAGCCUGAUGAUUUUGCUGAGGCAUCUGUGGAAAGGCAAACUGCCCUGUCCAUCCAUUGUUAACAUUCAUCGGCGUAGGUCCUGCCGAUGGCUGAUAAUUGGGCAUCAUCAUCGAAUUGACAUACCCUGGCUGUGUCAUAAACCUUUGCUGUGUCAGCAUUGGAUCUGCCGAUGCGUUAGGCAUCUAGAACGUUGGCAUUUGAGAAUUCCUAGCAAAAGGUCUUGUAGUAGUAGUUGUAGAAUACUAGGGAUUCUGAGUCAUCGGUGAGCCUGGGGUGCCGAUGCCAUAGGAGCCUUGCCUGUCAUGUCAGCCACUUGAGAUGUCCCAGAACUUUUUGCCAUAAAUUCUGGGGGCAUACCAUAUCCCCACCAAUUGGGAGGAACAGAUCCUGACAUUGCUGAUGCCAAUAAAUCUGUAGCAAGUUUGACUUGUCCCUCUGAUGUUGAUGGAUUAGUCGUCAUCGGUGUAGAUUGCGCAUUAGUCAUCCCUAAUGUGCUUGGAGGAGAAGUAACUUCCGUACCCGCAACGGCUGUAGUAGCCGAUAGAGCCGUAACCGAUGAUGAUCCUGGCUGAUGAUAUGUAGGGCCCACAUAAGAUGGUGGUAUCUGUCCUUCUUUGAAAGUUCUAGCCACAACAUUGAAAACUGUAUUGGACAGCACACUAGAUUGAUUGAUUAGAGCACAAUUGAUAGCACUGUCAACCAUCUCUUGUAGUUUACCAGGAUUGGCUUCAAAAGUGAUUUGCCGAGGCAUCAACAAUGCUUCCUUUUGGAUCACCUCGCCACUCCUGUUGAUAUUGAAGGAUUUCAAGCAUAGCUGCUUGUAGUCCUCCAUAGCUUUUGGCAUAGCUUGCUUCUGUUCAUCUCUGAGAUUGGCUUCCGUCACGGGGAUGACGUUCUCCAAGUCGAAACUAGUGUUCGACAUAUUGAUCUUGAUGUUGAAUCAUUGCCCCAUUGGGUGUGCCAAAAGAUGUGUUGGUGCAAAAGUAGUUCUACAAACACAAAGGGCUAAUACCCGAUUCAACAUUAAGGCGUGCUAGCCGAUUUGACCUUACAAUCGACAAAGGUGGUAACUUGAAUACUUUGGUCCCGAUAACAGCAAUGCGCCCGGAUGUCACGGCCAAGAGGUAUUCACACAGAACUCGAGAAUUCGCCGAGGAUAACUCGUAGUAAAAGGAAAAUAUGCAGGUUGAUGAAGUCGUCGAAAGUAGAUGCUGAAAUAGAUGUAAAAACUUGUGUUUGGUUGAUUGUGUCUAACAUUACAUCGCUACGGGGUCUCAUAUUUAUACCCUGCCCAAAAGGGUUACAAUCAGACACGACUAGGACUCGAAUUCCAAAUUGAACGGAAUCCGUACACAAAACAAACUCUAAUAACUAUGGAAAGCAUUAAGUUAUCUUCCACAACCGUUCGGUACACCACCAUGAUUCAAUCGACAAUUCCUGCGCCUUUCUUUGUGACCAUCGGCGAACCACCUUUCAUAGCCAUCGGCAACCAUUAGCACCAUUCAUCGGCAUGAAUCCCUCACCACUCCUAGACUUGGCCAUAUUCUGUCAUUUUCUCAUCGGCACCAACCCUCAUUGGCAACUCUCCUGUCAACUAGUCACCACUUUUCUGCCUGCCGAUCUACGCCUUAUUAACUCCAGAUACGCAUCCAAAGAUACGUGUCCAAAAAUGGUGUCGACACUGCCAAGCUAGACCUGCUCAUGAAGAAGCUCGAUGAUAAAGCUAGAGAUAAGAAGGAAGUUAUGCACGUCAACGACUCUCACAUGACUUGUGAGGAGUGUGGAGAUACUGGACACUCAGGCAAUCACUGCCCUGAGAUGCUUGAGGAUGUGAACUACAUCAACAACAAUAACAACAACAACUACUACAACUGUCCUCAAGAAAAUCAAGGUUGGAAUCAACAGAGGCCUAACUACUCAGGUAAUUCUUACAAUAAUAAUAAUAAUCCCAGAGCAAUCCCGACAUGAACCAAGGAAGAGGACCAACAGGAGGAACAUGAACAAGCAAGUGUGGACCGAGUCAGCUAAGAUGGUCACUGCAGUUCAAGGAGGUCAAGAUCAUCGACUCAAGUCACCGUUCCUGACCAAGAAGGACGACCUAGGUAUGCCAAGCAUCCAGUGCUCCAUUAAUGGGUACAACUUCUACAAGAUGCUUUGCGACACCGGAUUGGGCGUCAACAUAAUGGCCGCAGUCACCUAUGAGCUCCUGUUUGGAACCAUACCCCUAAAACCGACAUACAUUCAGCUCUAGAUGACAGAUCAGACAUUCCGAAAGGUUGAAGGUAUAGUAACUGAUGUCCCUAUUAAAAUAGACGAUCAUUUUGUCCAUACAGACUUUAAGUGUUAUUGACAUUGGAGAAGACGAGUACGAUCCACCCAUCAUCCUUGGGAGACCUUUCCUCAGUACUAUUAAACCAAUCAUCUACAUUGGAACUGGAGCAUCUCAUUCUCCCCAAAAAGUUUCAAAAGAGCAAGAACGGUAUGUAUCCCCUCAAGUAGAAUUAGACUUUCACCAUUGUUGUCGCCAUCAUCACCAUACACCAUUCAUUUCGCCACACAUGCACAUCUUGAUUUGACUUAUUGACUUGUUUCUCUGGAUCCAUGGUUUGACUAUGCAAUAAAUGGCUUGUAAGUAUGUAUACUUUAUCUCCCACCUAUGAGCUCCAGAUAUCAAAAGCCUUAUUAAAGCAGGGUUAGAGAGAGAGCAAGGUCACUGUGCUUUAUACGACAAAUACCACAUACUUUGAGAGAGAAGGGAUAUACCAUCACUGUCUUGGUAAGGAUCCAGAAAUACCACAAAAGAGAGAUCUAAGAGAGUCAUACAAGGAAUCUCUGAGUUUUAUUUGAAAAUCUGCAAAAACUCCAGAGCUAUGGCUAAUCAAGAAUAAGAGACAUGGCGCUUGACUAGACCGUUCUAUCUUUUAACUGCUCAAGACAGAAAUGACGGUUACAAGUCCCAUGGUAAAAGGUAAAAUCAGUAUGUUUUAAAUCUUGACAGUUUACUCUAACUCAGAGAUGAGACCUUAUUUGAAAGCAUGUGUACCAUCAAAACUCAAAGGUAUUACGCAACUUCUGAUCCAUCACUGAGAUUAUCCUUGCUCAGGGACGAGCAAGAGGUAAGCUUGGGGGAGUUUGUUGACAGUCCUUAAGUAUCAAAUAUAAUCAACAAAUAAACAAAGAAAAGGAUCCAAAUGCAACCGGCACCUAGACUUAGGGUUUUAUCUGACAAAAUUCCACGAGUUUUGGUGUUUGUCUAUUUCUGUAGGGGGUUAUCAGGAAUUAUGGAAGAAAGGCCCACACGUCGGGUUUACAUAGAGAUAUUAACGUGCACCACAAUUAUCCAACAUCUAGAAGAGUCCAGAAGCCACGGGAACGAGCGGGAGGCUGAGCGAGCCCGGGGGCAGGGCGCCCGCCCUCCCCCCUUGGGCGCUCGCCCUGGCCUGAGAGCCAAUCAGGCUCCGCCUCGCGGAUCAUGCUCCACCGACCUAAGGGAUUAAGGAAAACCGUGCGAUUAAGGUCAGUUUGAUCCGACGGUCCAUAUUCAUUUGGAGGGACUAUAUAAGCAGACCCCCAGGCCCUUGGAGGAGAGGACCGAAGAAACCCUAAUUCAUCCAUACAUCUUUGGAGAAGAAGUCCCUGAUCAAGCACUAGAGCCACCACAUCAACUAGAUCUCUAGUUUUGCAUCUCUAGUUUAGCAUAGCUACAUAGGAUUAGAACUAGAAGGAGUCAAUCUUCGAUUGGUUUCCGGAUCUGUCAAGAGGAUUCUUGGUAAUUCCUCAACUGUUCUUCAUUUGUUCAUCAUUGUUCUUCAAUAUUAUGAAUAUGACUUUAUUCUACUUCAAUAUAUUGAUUAUGACUUUGCUCUACUUGUUUAUAUUUGCAAUUAUAUUGUUCUUAGUUUAUCAUAGUUAUAUGCUUGUCUUAGUCAGAUUGGAAUUAUAUACAUGUUUAGGAUCGUAUAGCGUUUAUCCAUGUGUACAGUGGGUAAAUGAUAAGUAUUGUGUAGGCGUGGUGCCUAUACCGUUUUUAUCUACGAUUGUACCCUAUAUGCCGGAUCGCAGGGUAGUUCAUGGUGGUGACAGCUCCAUUGAUUCUUGUAUAGUCCCCCUCUCGUGUAUAGGGCAGGUAGAGCAACAUUAUUACAGGGGAGUGAUUGCUAUGUUUCUCAUCUUCCUUGAUAAUAUCACUAUGCAUGGGCGUAGUCCUGUCUCGCAAUGAUUGCCAAGUAUAAUUGCACUAACUAUGAUUUGCUAGACUUUAAAGUUAAGAAUAACUUAGGAAAUAUUCUUGUAGUUCAUCCUAAUUCUAUGCUAAUGACUUGCUAGAAUAUCUGUUGAGGUGCUUAUCAUUAUUAUAUGUGGCUAGUUAUGCUGAUCAGAUUAAUUAUGUUUGUCACCAGUCAUACUUUUUCUAUAUUUUAUGUGACAUUUAUCCCUGUAUGAAAGAGAUAGAUAAAUGCUCUCCAUUAUACAUUCAAUGAUGGAUACUCAAUUCCAGAUUUCAUUCCAUAAUCAACAUUGAUGAUUAGCAAUCCUUUUCCAGUGGUAAAAAUGUAAACAACGAUACCUGGAAUACUUCCCGGUUAAAAUGCUACAUUGGUAUUAAUCUGUGCGCUUGCAUAUCUCAUUUAUUAUUCAUUCAGAAGAGCAAUUGCAUAUUUCAAUACCGCGUCUCUCAUGUCAUGCAGGGGAUGACAACUUGGCUUAAGUGGAAUGAGGCUUAGGUUUGGCAUUUUUGGCGCCAUUAUCAGAACUAGAAAACUAAGUCUACUGUUGGUAAUGACGUUAAGAAUGCCCAACAGAUGUGAACCUAAUGGUAUACCUAAAGCUUUGAUUACCACUUGAUGAGAACAAGGGUGGCCCGAUCUUCCAAAAGGUUUUGAUAACUCUCGAUUUGGUGGAGACGAGACACAAUUCGAUCCGGCUUCCGAACAACACGAUCCGAAACCCUGCAAUUUUCUUUUGAUAUUUUUCUUUUAGUUAGAGCACCAAAGGAGUGACCACAGAAAAUUUGAGCUUAAACUAGUGAAAGACAUGGCCUACGAAAAUUUCUAGAAAUUGUGAAAAAUGUGAAAAAAAAACAUCAGGAGGUGAAAACUCAAACUUCAGAGGUGAAUUUGGAGGUUCUAAAGUUUUCAAACUCGCCAAUGGAGGGGACAGAGAGAUCCAAAAUUUUUUUCUAAUCGAUUUUGAUUUAUGGAAUGUUGAAAUCAGAGCUCGUAUGCGAAAGUUAUGGCUAUUUUACGAACGGACUCCAAAUUAGAGGACAAAAUGGUCCGAAAGUGGGAAAAAUUUGCGGCGGUGGCUAGAAAUUGAUGGAAACGGUGGGAGAAAAUACAUGAACUGGACUCUAACAAGACCUAACCGCAAUAAGACCUCGACGAGGACACAAAUUCAACACUGCGGACUCUGAAACUGAAAUAUGCAAAGGCUAUGACGCGGAAGCGUUGUAGGACAAGAAAACGAUAUGACACUGCACUUAUGGGACGAACACAAGAACACUCGAAACUAAGGGUAGAUGUGAACCUAAUGGUAUACCUAAAGCUUUGAUUUCGACAUGAUGAGAACAAGAGUGACCCGAUCUUCUGAAAGUUUCUGGUAACUCUCGAUUUGCUGGAGACGAGACACACAUCGAUCCGGCUUCCGAACAACACGAUCCGAAACCCUGCAAUUUUUAUUAUUUUUUUGAUAUUUUUCUUUUAGUUAGAGCACCAAAGGAGUAACCACAAAAAAUUUGAGCUUAAACCAGUGAAAGACAUGGCCUACGAAAAUUUCUGAAAAUUGUGAAAAAUGUGAAAAAACAUCACGAGGUGAAAACUCAAACUUCAGAGGUGAAUUUGGAGGUCCUAAAAUAUUCAAACCUUCCAAUGGAGGGGACAGACAGAUCCGAAAUUUUUUUCUGAUCGAUUUUGAUAUAUGGAACAUUGAAAUCGGAGCUCGUAUGCGAAAGUUAUGGCUAUUUUACGAACCGACUCCCAAUUAGAGGACAAAAUGGUCCGAAAGUGGGAAAUAUUUGCGGUGGUGGCUAGAAAUUGAUGGAAACGGUGGGGGAAAAUACAUGAACUGGACUCUAACAACACCUAACCAGCAACAAGGCCUCAACAAGAACACAAACUCAACACUGCGGACUCUGCAACUGAAAUAUGCUAAGGCUAUAGCGCGAAAGGGUUGUAGGACACGAAAACGAAAUAGCAACGAACACAAGAACACUCGAAACUAUGGGUAGAUGUGAACCUAACGGUAUACCUAAAGCUUUGAUUACCACUUGAUGAGAACAAGGGUGACCUGAUCUUCCAAAAGGUUCUGCUAUCUCUCGAUUUGGUGCAGACAAGACACAAAUCGAUCCGGCUUCCGAACAACAUGAUAUGAAAACGUGCAACUUUUUUAUUUAUUUUUGAUAUUUUUCUUUUAGUUAGGAUCACCAAAGGAGUAACCACAGAAAAUUUGAGCUUAAACAAGAGAAAGACAUGGCCUGCGGAAUUUUCUGAAGAUUGUGAAAAAUGUGAAAAAAACUUCACGAGGUGAAAACUCAAACUUUGGAGGUAAAUUUUGAGGUUCUAAAAUUUUCAAACCCGCCAAUAGAGGGGACAGACAGAUCCAAAGAAAUGUUUCAGAUAGAUUUUGAUACAUGGAAUGUUGAAAUCGGAGUUCGUAUGCGAAAGUUAUGGCUAUUUUACGAACGGACUACGAAUUAGAGGACAAAACAGUCCGAAAGUGGGAAAAAUUUGCGGCGGUGGCUAGAAAUUGAUGGAAACGGUGGGGAAAAGCACACGAACUGGACUCUAACAAGACCUAACCAGCAACGAGACCUCGACCAGAAUACAAACUCAACACUGCGGACUCUGAAACUGAAAUAUGCAAAGGCUAUGGUGCGGAAGGCUUGUAGGACAGGAAAACGAUAUGGUACUGGACUUAUGGGACGAACACAAGAACACUCAAAACUAAGGGUAGAUGUGAACCUAAUGGUAUACCUAAAGCUUUGAUUACCACUUGAUGAGAACAAGGGUGGGCCGAUCUUCUGAAAGGUUCUAGUAACUCUCGAUUUGGUGGAGACGAGACACAAAUCGAUCCGCCUUCCGAACAACAUGAUAUGAAACCGUGCAACUUUUUUAUUUUUUGUUGAUAUUUUUCUUUUAGUUAGGAGCACCAAAGGAGUAACCACAAAAAAUUUGAGCUUAAACAAGUGAAAGACAUGGCCUGCGGAAUUUUCUAAAGAUUGUGAAAAAUGUGAAAAAAACUUCACGAGGUGAAAACUCAAACUUUGGAGGUAAAAUUUGAGGUUCUAAAAUUUUCAAACAUGCCAAUGGAGGGGACAGACAGAUCCAAAGAAAUGUUUCAGAUAGAUUUUGAUAUAUGGAACGUUGAAAUCGGAGUUCGUAUGGGAAAGUUAUGGCUAUUUUACGAACGGACUACGAAUUAGAGGACAAAAUAGUCCGAAAGUGAGAAAAAUUUGCCGCGAUGGCUAGAAAUUGAUGGAAACGGUGGGUAAAAACUCACGAACUAGACUCUAACAAGACCUAACCAGCAACAAGACCUCGACCAGAACACAAACUCAACAUUGCGGACUCUGAAACUGAAAUAUGCAAAGGCUAUGGCGCGGAAGGGUUGUAGGACAGGAAAACGAUAUGGUACUGGACUUAUGGGACGAACACAAGAACACUCAAAACUAAGGGUAGAUGUGAACCUAAUGGUAUACCUAAAGCUUUGAUUACCACUUGAUGAGAACAAGGGUGGCCCGAUCUUUUGAAAUGUUCUAGUAACUCUCGAUUUGGUGGAGACGAGACACAAAUCGAUCCGGUUUCCGAACAACACGUUCCAAAACCCUGCAAUUUUUUUAUUUUUUUGAUAUUUUUCUUUUAGUUAGGAGCACCAAAGGAGUAACCACAGAAAAAUUGAGCUUAAACAACUGAAAGACAUGGCCUCGGAAUUUUCUGGAAAUUGUGAAAAAUGUGAAAAAAACUUCACGAGGUGAAAACUCAAAUUUCGGAGGUGAAUUUGGAGGUUCUAAAAUUUUGAAACCCACCAAUGAGGGGACAGAUAGAUCUGAAUUUUUUUCAAAUCAAUUUUGAUAUAUGGAAUGUUGAAAUCGGAGUUCAUAUGCGAAAGUUAUGGCUAUUUUACGAACGGACUCCGAAUUAGAGGACAAAACGGUCUGAAAGUGGGAAAAAUUUGCGGCGGUGGCUAGAAUUUUAUGGAAAUGGUGGAGAAAAUUACACGAACUGGACUCUAAGAAGACCUAACCAGCAACAAGACCUCAACCAGGUCACAAACUCAACACUGCGGACUCUUAAACUGAAAUAUGCAAAGGCUAUGACGUGGAAGGGUUGUAGGACACGAAAACGAUAUGGCACUGGACUUAUGGGACGAACGCAAGAACACUCGAAACUAAGGGUAGAUGUGAACCUAACGAUAUACCUAAAGCUUUGAUUACCACUUGAUGAGACAAGGGUGGCCCGAUCUUCCGAAAGGUUCUGGUAACUCUCGAUUUGGUGGAGACGAGACACAAAUCGAUUCGGGUUCCGAACAACAAGAUCCGAAACCCUUCAAUUUUUUUAUUUUUUGAUAUUUUUCUUUCAGUUAGGAGCACCAAACGAGUAACCACAUAAAAUUCGACUUUUAAACAAGUGAAAGACAUGGCUUGUGGAUUUUUCUGAAGAUUGUGAAAAAUGUAGAAAAAACUUCACGGGGUGAAAACUCAAACUUGGAGGUGAAUUUGGAGGUUCUAAAAUUUUCAAACAAACCAAAAGCUAGGACACACAGAUCUGAAAUUUUUGUCUGAUCGAUUUUGAUAUAUGGAACGUUGAAAUCGGAGUUCAUAUGUGAAAGUUAUGGCUAUUUUACGAACAGACUCCGAAUUAGAGGACAAAACGGUCCGAAAGUGGGAAAAAUUUGCGGUGGUGGCUAGAUAUUGAUGGAAACGGUGGGGAAAACACACGAACUGGACUCUAACAAAACCUAACCAGCAACAAGACCUCAACAAGAACACAAACUCAACACUACGCACUCUGAAACUGAAAUAUGCAAAGGCUAUGGCGCGGAAGGGUUGUAAAACUGGAAAACGAUAUGGUACUUUACUUAUGGGACGAACACAAGAACACUCGAAACUAAGGGUAGAUGUGAACCUAAUGGUAUACCUAAAGCUUUGAUUACCACUUGAUGAGAACAAGGGUGGGCCGAUCUUCUGAAAGGUUCUAGUAACUCUCGAUUUGGUGGAGACGAGACACAAAUCGAUCCGGCUUCCGAACAACACGAUUCGAAACCCUGCAAUUUUUUUAUUUUUUUAAUAUUUUUCUUUUAGUUAGGAGCACCAAAGGAGUAACCACAGAAAAUUUGAGCUUAAACAAGUGAAAGACAUGGCUUGGGGAAUUUUCUGAAGAUUGUGAAAAAUGUGAAAAAACUUCACGAGGUGAAAACUCAAAUUUCGGAAGUGAAUUUGGAGGUUCUAAAAUUUUCAAACCCACCAAUGAGGGGACAGAUAGAUCUGAAUUUUUUUCUGAUCGAUUUUGAUAUAUGGAAUGUUGAAAUCGGAGUUCAUAUGCGAAAGUUAUGGCUAUUUUACGAAAGGACUCCGAAUUAGAGGACAAAACGGUCCGAAAGUGGAAAAAAUUUGCGGCGGUAGCUAGAAUUUGAUGGAAACGGUGGGGAAACUUACACGAACUGGACUCUAACAAGACUUAACCAGCAACAAGACGUCAACAAGAACACAAACUCAACACUGCGGACUCUGAAACUGAAAUAUGCAAAGGCUAUGGCGCGAAAGGGUUAUAGGACACGAAAACAAAAUAGCACUGGACUUAUGGUAUGAAUGCAAGAACACUCAAAACUAAGGGUAGAUGUGAACCUAACAGUAUACCUAAUGCUUUUAUUACCACUUUAUGAGAACAAGGGUGACCUGAUCUUCCAAAAGGUUCUGGUAUCUCUCGAUUUGGUGCAGACGAGACACAAAUCGAUCCGGCUUCGGAACCACAUGAUACGAAACCCUGCAAUUUUUUUUAUUUUUUUUGAUAUCUUUAUUUUAGUUAGGAGCACCGUAGGAGUAACCAUAGAGAAUUUGAGAUUAAACAAGUUUAAGACAUGGCCUGCCGAGUUUUUUGAAGAUUGUGAAAAAUGUGAAAAAAAACUUCACGAGGUGAAAACUCAAACUUUGGAGGUGAAUUUUGAGGUUCAAAAAUUUUCAAACCCGCCAAUGGAGGGGACAGACAGAUCCAGAAAAAAUUUUCGGAUCGAUUUUGAUGUAUGGAACGUUGAAAUCGGAGUUCGUAUGCGAAAGUUAUGGCUAUGUUACGAACGGACUACGAAUUAGAGGACAAAACAGUCCGAAAGUGGAAAAAAUUUGCGGUGGUGGCUAGAAAUUGAUGGAAAUGGUAGGGAAAAACACACGAACUGGACUCUAAUAAGACCUAACCAGCAACAAGACCUCAACAAGAACACAAACUCAACACUGCGGACUCUGAAACUGAAAUAUGCAAAGGCUAUGGCGCGAAAGGGUUGUAGGACACGAAAACAAAAAAGCACUGGACUUAUGGUACGAACACAAGAACACUCAAAACUAAGGGUAUAUGUGAACCUAAUGGUAUACCUAAUGCUUUUAUUACCACUUGAUGAGAACAAGUGUGACCUGAUCUUCAAAAUGGUUCUGGUAUCUCUCGAUUUGGUGUACACGAGACACAAAUCGAUCCGGCUUCCGAACAACCUGAUACGAAACCCUGCAAAUUUUUUUAUUUUUUGAUAUUUUCCUUUUAGUUAGGAGCACCGUAGGAGUAACCACAGAAAAUUUGAGCUUAAACAAGUGAAAGACAUGGCCUGCGGAAUUUUUUGAAGAUUGCGAAAAAUGUGAAAAAAACUUCACGAGGUGAAAACUCAAACUUUGGAGGUGAAUUUUGAGGUUCUAAAAUUUUCAAACCCACCAAUGGAGGGGACAGACAGAUCCAAAAAAAAUUUUGUAUCAAUUUUGAUAUAUGGAACGUUGAAAUCGGAGUUCGUAUGCGAAAGUUAUGGCUAUUUUACGAACGGACUACGAAUUAGAGGACAAAACAGUCUGAAAGUGGGAAAAAUUUGCGGCGUUGGCUAGAAAUUGAUGGAAACGGUGGGGAAAAACACACGAACUGGACUCUAACAAAGACCUCGACCAGGACACAAACUCAACACUGCGGACUCUGAAACUGAAAUAUGCAAAGGCUAUGGCGCGGAAGGGUUGUAGGACAGGAAAACGAUAUGGUACUGGACUUAUGGGACGAACACAAGAACACUCGAAACCUUAAAAUCGACAAAGGUGGUAACUCGAAUACUUUGGUCCGGACAACAGCGAUGCGCCCGGAUGUCACGGCCAAGAGGUAUUCACACGGAACUCGAGAAUUCGCCAAGGUUAACUCAUAGUAAAAGGAAAAUAUGCAGGUUGAUGAAGUCGUCGAAAGUAGAUGCUGCAAUAGAUAUAAAAACUUGUGUUUGGUUGAUUGUGUCUAACAUUACAUCGCUACGGGGUCUCAUAUUUAUACCCUGCCCAAAAGGGUUACAAUCAGACAUGACUAGGACUCAAAUUCCAAAUUGAACGGAAUUUGUACACAAAACAAACUCUAAUAACUAUGGAAAGCAUUAAGUUAUCUUCCACAACCGUUCGGUACACCACCAUGAAUCGAUCGACAAUUCCUGCGCCUUUCUUUGUGACCAUCGGCGAACCACCUUUCAUAGCCAUCGGCAACCAUCAGCACCAUUCAUCGGCAUGAAUCACUCACCACUCCUAGACUUGGCCAUAUUCUGUCGUUUUCUCAUCGGCACCAACCCUCAUUGGCAACUCUCCUGUCAACUAGUCACCACUUUUCUGCCUGCCGAUCUACGCCUUAUUAACUCUAGAUACGCAUCCAAAGAUAUGUGUCCAAAAACGGUGUCGACACUGCCAAGCUAGACCUGCUCAUGAAGAAGCUCGAUGAUAAAGCUAGAGAUAAGAAGGAAGUUAUGCACGUCUACGACUCUCACAUGACUUGUGAGGAGUGUGGAGAUACUGGACACUCAGGCAAUCACUGCCCUGAGAUGCUUGAGGAUGUGAACUACAUCAACAACAAUAACAACAACAACUACUACAUCGUCCUCAACAAAAUCAAGGUUGGAAUCAACAGAGGCCUAACUACUCAGGUAAUUAUCAAGGUAACAAUUCUUACAAUAAUAAUAAUAAUUUUCCACCUCUAAGAGAGUUAGUGUCUAAUCAAGGAAAGCUAAUGGAUAACCUAUCUAAGAAAUUGGCAUCUAAUGAUAAAAUGCUAAAAAAAUAAAUAAUAAAAUGAAUAAUUUCUCUACUGCCAUCAAGAAUCAAAUUAGCUUUAAUAAAAUGAUAGAAUCUCAUUAAAUCAAAUAGCUGUUGCUGUUCCUGCUACUAACCCCAGUAUACCAUCACAACCGGAAGGAUUAGAAUCUGCAAAUCUUGUAGACAUGUUUGAUACAGGUAACUACUGGAGUAACCCCAUCGCGGAAGUUACUACUGACUUUCUGCCGGUCAAGAGAGGCGAUCUAGGACGCCCUGUCAUCCCGAUCUCCAUCGGCAUGGUGGACUUCCCAAAAGCACUCUGCGACUUUGGCUCUAGUGUCAACAUUAUGCCCAGGGUACUCUAUGAAAAAUUCUUUACAUAUCCUUUAUUAGAAACAACCAUGUGUUUACAGCUUGCAGAUGGGACAUUAAGUUUCCCAAAGAGAAUAUUGAAGAACCUUUGCGUCCGAGUUGGUACCUUGUACGCCCCAGCAGACUUCGCGGUGAUAGAGACCAGUAAUGAUGAGAGGGCACCCGUCAUCUUAGGGAGGCCAUUCUUGAACACCUCGGGAGCUGUCAUCUACGCUAGUGCUGCCAAGAUCAGUUUUUACAUCAAGGGGAGGAAGGAGACGUUUUCCUUCAAGGACAAGACUGCACAAAUCCCAGAGCAAUCCCGACAUGAACCAAGGAAGAGGACCAACAGGAGGAACAGGAACAAGCAAGUGUGGACCGAGUCAGCUAAGAUGGUCACGAUUUGGUGGAGAUGAGACACAAUUCGAUCCGGCUUCCGAACAACACGAUCUGAAACCCUGCGGAAUUUUCUGAAGAUUGUGAAAAAUGUGAAAAAAACUUGACGAGGUGAAAACUCAAAAUUUGGAGUUGAAUUUGGAGGUUCUAAAAUUUUCAAACCCGCCAAUGGAGAGGACAGACAGAUCCAAAAUUUUUUCUGAUCAAUUUUGAUAUAUGGAACGUUGAAAUCGGAGUUCGUAUGCGAAAGUUAUGGCUAUUUUACGAACGGACUCCAAAUGAUAGGACAAAAUGGACCGAAAGUAGGAAAAACUCGCGGCGGUGGCUAGAAAUUGAAGGAAACGGUGGGGAAAACACACAAACUGGACUCUAACAAGACCUAACCAGCAACAAGACCUCGACCAGGACACAAACUCAACACUGUGGACUGUGAAACUGAAAUAUGCAAAGGCUAUGGCGCGGUAGAGUUGUAGGACAAGAAAACGAUAUGACACUGGACUUAUGGGACAAACACAAGAACACUCAAAAGUAAGGGAAGAUGUGAACCUAAUGGUAUACCUAAAGCUUUGAUUACCACAUGAUGAGAAUAAGGGUGACCCGAUCUUCUGAAAGGUUUUGGUAACUCUCGAUUUGGUGGAGACGAGACACAAAUUGAUACGGCUUCCGAAUAAUAUGAUCCGAAACGCUGCAAAGUUUUUUUAUUUUUUUGAUAUUUUUCUUUUAGUUAGGAGCACUAGAGGAGUAACCACAGAAAAUUUGAGCUUAAACAAGUGAAAGACAUGGCCUGCGGAAUUUUUUGAAGAUUGUGAAAAAUGUGAAAAAAACUUCACGAGGUGAAAACUCAAACUUUGGAGGUGAAUUUUGAGGUUCUAAAAUUUUCAAACCGCCAAUGGAGGGGACAGACAGAUCCAAGAAAAAUUUUUGGAUCAAUUUUGAUAUAUGGAACGUUGAAAUCGGAGUUCGUAUGCGAAAGUUAUGGCUAUUUUACGAACGGACUACGAAUUAUAGGACAAAAUAGUCUGAAAGUGGGAAAAAUUUGCGGUGUUGGCUAGAAAUUGAUGGAAACGGUGGGGAAAAACACACGAACUGGACUCUAACAAGGCCUAACUAGCAACAAGACCUUAACAAGAACACAAACUCAACACUGCAGACUCUGAAACUGAAAUAUGCAAAGGCUAUGGCGCGAAAGGGUUGUAGGACACGAAAAUGAUAUAGCACUGGACUUAUGGUACGAACACAAGAACACUCGAAACUAAGGGUUGAUGUUGUUGACGGUCCUUAAGUACCAAAUAUAAUCAUCAAAUAAAUAAAGAAAAGGAUCCAAAUGCAACCAACACCUAGACUUCGGGUUUUAUCUGACAGAAUUCCACGAGUUUUGGUGUUUGUCUAUUUCUGCAGGGGGUUAUCAGGAAAUACGAAAGAAAGGCCCACAUGUCGGGAUUACAUAGAGAUAUCAAUGCACCGCGUAAUUUUCUACCAUCUAGAAGACUCCAGAAGCCACGGGAAGAAAGCAGAGGCCGAAAGGGGCCAGGCCGAGGGCGCCCGCCCUCUUUCCCUGGGCGCCCGCCCUGUCCUGGACUCCGUUCGGGACUCUCUUCGCACACGAUGUUCCACCGACCUAAAGGAUCAAGGAUAACGUAGUACCACAUCGCCUACCAACCCAAAAACGCAUAGAGGAGGAGGACUAUAUAAGGAGACCACCUUGGCCACUGGAGAAGACAAGAAGUUGUAAUAGAGAUUGAGGGGUGCCCUCGAAGGAAAACCUCUUCUCUAAAUAAUAUUUCUUUUUAGGCUUAGCAACCAAUGUAAGUAGAAAUAGAUCUUCUAGUUUCUACUAGAUUGAGAGAGAUAGAGUGGAGGUGUAGAUCGGAGGAAGGCCGGCCUGUCGAUGUCUACUCCGAGUUGUACCUGCGGGAUCAAGUCUUCUAACCCGAGGCUUGCUCCUAAGAUUCUUCAGUAGUUCGACUUGUAAUUCUAGUAAGUUCUUGUUUUAUUGUUCUUUGGUUUAUGAGUUUACUUUAAUCCUCUUCCGGUUGAGUAUUAGAGUAAUCAUUGCUAGCGUAAACGUGGUGUUUAGGCUAGGGUACUCAUAGAUAUCCCCUGACUAGCUGGACCGUGGUAGUAGCGAGGAACGUGACAUUUCCGAGUUACCUUUGUAUCCCAUAUCUUGUUAGCAGGACGGGUAGGGUUUAUAGGUGCGGGUCGAACAUCCUUUGUGGUGUCUAGAUUCCGUGAGCUUCCCCAAUAGAAUAGUAGAUCAUCCUUACCAAGGUUAGAAUGAGACUACGGUUGCAGUCUUCUCUAUACAUGACUCACAUCGAGAAACAUCCUUUGUAGCCUAAAGGGAUAGUAGCAAUAGAUUUGGUUAGUCAGAUGCACCCUUUCUCCCAGUGGUAAAAAUAUAAAUACGAUACUCUGGAAAACCUCCCGGGUGAAAUGCUCACCGAUAUCCGUGCGCUUGCGGAUCAUUUUCUAAUUGCGUUCCCAAAUAUCAACAAGCAUUUCUGGCGCCGUUGCCGGGGAGAAAGACGGUUUGCUGAGAUAACUUUAAGUCUUGCUAUUAUCUUGUAUUAUACUUUUAUACUUUUAUUCUUUUAUCUUUUUACUUUUAUCUUUAUGGAUAACUUAAAUUCCAUACCUAUUAUUGAAUUCUUUGCACCUUCAGAGACCAGCCAUAGACCAUGGGAGUCAACAAGUCCUGCCCCUAAUUAUGAUCUGUGCCCGGAGUUGAUUGCAAUAGGUCAAAACCAACCCUUCUCUAUAGCCGAGGUCCUAUCUUUUAAUCAAGAAGAUAAUGCACUUUUAGCUACACCUAGGGAAUUUGUUAAUCUUUCUAUAAAUUUUGGUUUAAACCUAGCCCUACAAGACCAUGUUUUUCCUCGAUAUUUUCACAUUGGUCUUAAUCAUAUAACCUUUGGUAGAGUCUUUCUUUCUUUAUCUAUUAGUAAAGGAAGGUAUGUCUUCAUUCGUGGACAUCCUUCUUGUACUAGUCUUCAUAUAAAAAUCUUAGAGAUAGAGAAGGAAUCAUCUUCCAGACGAGGAAAGGAAGUUUCAAUAGCCAAUUUCCAAACAUUUCAAUCCCAAGAUUCGGCUAUCCAACCCAUCCUUGAGCUUAAUAAUUUCUACUAUGCUCUUUCUCUUGAACCUCCUGAUGAUUAUAUGAAUCUCUCUAGACAUCCCAUGCAUAAGAGUCACCAAGACCACAAGCAGGAUCGAGAAGAGCAACAUCAAUGGCUAGAGGGCAUUAAAAAUCCAUGUGCUAUCACCAUUGAAUGGAUGGAUAAAACAAACUUGAGAGACAAUCCUAGAGGAAUUUUAAGCAUUCAUGAAGAAUCAUCCUAGGAGUUUGAGAAUGAGAGAAACAACAGUGAGCAUGGAAGUUAUUUCAUAAAUACUUUACCAAGUCCUUGCUCAUAUAAAACAUCUCCCUAAUCAAUUGGUCUCUCCAUCCUUACCACAUUUGAGAUCUCCAACCCCCUCUUCCUUUCUAUUUAUAAAAACUUUAAAAGGGCUGUUGAUAUUUGGGAACGCAAUAAGGAAUUGAUCCGCAAGCGCACGGAUAUCAGUGAGCACUUCACCCGGGAGGUUAUCCAGAGUAUCGUAUUUAUUUUUUUACCACUAGGAGAAAGAGUGCAUCUGACUAACCGGUCUAUUACUACUAACCUUUAGGCACAAAGAAUGUCUUUCGAUGUGAGUGAUAAAUAGAGAUGACUGCAACCGUAGUCUCCUUCUAACCUUGGUAAGGAUGAUCUACUGUUAUAAUGGGGAGGCUAACAGAAUCUAGACACCACAAAGGAUGUUCAACCCGCACCUAUAAACCCUAUCCUUCCUGCUAACGAGAUGUGAUCUACAAAGGUAGCUCGGAAUUGUCACGUUCCUCACUACUACCACGGUCCAGCUAGUCAGAGAAUAUCUAUGAGUACCCCAGCCUAAACACCACGUUUACGCCAGCAAUGAUUACUCUAAACUCUACACGAAGAGAUUAAAGUAAACUCAUAAACCAUAAGAACAAUAAAACAAGAACUUACUAGAAUUUAGAAGUUGAAUUACUGAAGAAUCCUAGGAGCAAGCUUCGGGUUAGGAGAACUUGAUCCCGCAGGUACAAGCUUGGAGUAGACACCGACAGGCCGGGCUUCCUCCAAUGUACACCUCCACUCUAUCUCUCUCAAUCUAGUAGAAACUAGAAGAUCUAUUUCUACCUUACAUUGGUUGCUAAGCCUAAAAAGAAAUAUUAAUUAGAGAAGAGGUUUUCCUUUGAGGGCACCCCUCAGUCUCUAUGAUAAUUUCUUCAUGUCUUCUCCAGGGGCCAGGGGGGCCUUGCUUAUAUAGUCCUCCCCUUCUAUGCGUUUUUGGGUCGAUAAGCGAGGUGGUACUAUGUUUUUCUUGAUCCAAUAGGUCGGUGGAAUAUCCCGAGUGAAGAGAGUCCUCAUCUGGCUCCAGCAGGGGGCGGGCGCCCUGGGCCUGGCCCCAUUUCGCCUCUGCUUCGGUCUCGUGGCUUCUGGAGUCUUCUAGAUUAUGUAAAAUCGCGCGGUGCAUUGAUAUCUCUAUGUAAUCCCGACAUGUGGGCCUUUCUUCCUUAUUUCCUGAUAACCCCCUGCAGAAAUAGAUAAACAACAAAACUCGUGGAAUUCUGUCAGAUCAAACCCUAAUUCUAGGUGUUGGUUGCAUAUCGGUCCUUUCUCUUGUUUAUUUGAUAAUUAAAAUUGAUACUUAAGAACCGUCAACAAAUACCCCCAUACUUAGGCUUUUACUCGUCCUCAAGAAAAAGGAUGGUUAAGAAUAAUAUCUGGGGUAAACAUUUAAAACAUUCUCUUUAUAAUUGCAGGGUGUCACAAAAUUCCACUGUGUACCAUAGUGAGGGAAGUUUAUGGUUAAGAGUAAAGAUCCUUUCUUCUUAAUCCUGUCACUUGGAGUUUUUGUAUAUUUUUGAAAGCAAGUUAGCAUACCUUUUUAUCCUCAUAGGUUCUCUCAGAUCACUCAUUAUCUUUUAUAUAUCUUACUGAGGCUGUUUUAUUUUGAAAAAAUUCUCAAGCAUACUUACUUUGCAUUUAUUGCCUGAUCAAAACGGGAUCCGAGGAGGGGAAUGUCAUACUCUUAGAUCAAAGACUUUGGAAAUUAAAAUCUUUGUCAACUCUUGCUGGCAUAUUGCUUUUUAGAGGGACCAUGGGUAUCAUCAUCUUUUUUUUUAAGUGGAUACCGAGGUACCCCUAAUUCUACUGCCGGACACUUGUCCAUUUUUUCUGCGAGGUUGUCGAGCAGUUGCUCCUUUUUAUUUCCUCAAAAUAUUUCUAUUUUUUCAUAGCCCAUGCCUCUAAUGCAAUAAUACUUCGGAAGAGUGAAUCUUUCUGAAAUAAUGUCUUGAUCUUGGGAGCAUGAUAAAUCUGUCAACAAGGGUCUAACUCAUUUGAACAAACUCAAUACAGAGCAGAUAGCUUUUAUAAUCAUAAUUAAUAUUUUCAGUUUUUAUCAGGCAUAUAAAACACUGAGGAUGGUAGCUAGAAUUUUAAAGAUUUUGAAAUAAAUUCUCCAAGCAACAAUGAUAUCAAGAAUAAGAAACUCAUACUCUACCAUCACAUAUUCCAUAUUGACUUAAGUAACACAGGGUUUUAAAAUGAUUUUAUAAUAAUUGCAAAUUUUCAGGAAAUAUCAUAAAUUGAGAUUAAUCAUGAUUAGAAAUAUUUUAAUCUUUUUAUCUUAUCAUGUCGGAAACAGUAAUCUGCAUAAUCAAAGAUAUGUGUAAAGUAAAGUGUGCAGAAUGUGUACCUGAAUCGUAGAAUGGUGUAGUCGGAGUGUGUUUAGCAUGUUGAGGGAUCUUCCCCAUACUUGUUUUCUGCUUUCUUGUACAAAAAUAAAGUAGAGACACACAAGACAUAAUAAUAAUAAUAAUAAUAAUAAUAAUAAUAAUAAUAAUAAUAAUACUCUUUAUUGAUCUUGAGGCAUUUAUUACAAAAGACUGAUAGCAAACUGAUGAUAAUAGCAAACUGAUGAUAAUUGCAAACCUAAACCGAAUUUAAAAAUAGAUAACUAAGAUGCAUUGCCUCAAGGUCUAAUCUAGAUAACUUAGCGGCGCUCUAAUUCCUUGAUCUUUUUGUUGGCACUGGCAAGAUCCUGCCUAAGGCCUAGUAUAAUAGUGUUGUGGUUAGAGAGCUGCCUAGUGAGGGAGUUGAUCGAGGACUGGAGGUCUAUGAUAACUCUAUCUAGCCUGCGAACUUCCUCAUCAAUAUCCAUUAUAGUCUUGCGACGCUUGGGAGGUGUUCAAAAGCGUUGAGAGCAUGCUUCGGGGCUGCCUUUGGAGGGAUGAAACGGACUUUGGAUGCUCUAAUCCCUUCAAAGUAAGGCCUUUCCUCCUCUGUAGUGUAGCGUACGCUGCUGAUCUCGCCGCUCCGGUUGGUCUUGACUCCAACGACCCUCUCAUUGGGUCUAGGUGGAAGGAUCCUUGUGCCGGUUGGCACCUUGAUAGUGGUCUUCGUCUUGGAUGAUGAUCCUUUGAGGAGUAGGGGUUGUGGCGGUGCGGUGAGAACUGGUUGAGCAUGGUAAGAUUGGGCGGAGCUGCGUUGGCGUAAUGGCAUGGCUUCUAGCUGUCGCUCUGUGUUGGCCGGGACAAGAGCACGGGCAUCGGGGUCUUCCACAGGCUCCAUGUUGAGGUUGAAGGGGACGACUUCCCAAUCAUCGUGGUACUUCUCGGCCAUUGGAGCAACAAGGAACUAAUAAAAUUUUAAUUGAAGGAGAGCUAAUCAAGCUCUAAUUGAAGGAGAGAAAGCUUGGUGGCUUGGUGUUUGAAAACUGAGGUCAGGGUUCUGUUUAUAUAGGGGUCAAAAGGGUGCCUCUAUGGGUUGUUCGGGUUGCUCCCGUCGACGUACGUGCGAAACUUUCCAUCUGAGGGAUUAUUCGGAUCACCCUAAGUGCAUUUUCCAUAACAGAGAAAGUCGGGACCGAGGGGGAACAGGAGCUGGGCACCCGCCCACUUGAUCUGGGCGCCCGCCCACUUGAUCUGGGCGCCCGCCCUCUCUCUCUGGCCCCUCUGUGGGCCCACUUUUCCGAGCGCGUUUCUAGGUGUGGAAUUAUUUAGAAAAAUAUAUAUAUGACCCAAAAACAUCAGACUAAGAAGGUCGGGCUCUAAUUCUCUAUGGGAAGGUAAAAAUGGACUACGUCUAUUUCUUCAAAUUCCUUAUUGGGCUCUAAAAAUAAUUUAAGACGUUGACCAUUUACCUUGAAUAACGUACCUUCGUCAUUUUGAAGUGUGAUAGCUCCGUGGGAUGAUGAAUUGAUUACUUGAAUGGUCCUUCCCAUUUGCUCCGGAGUUUUCCAUGCCCGAAAAGCUUCACCCUGGAAUUAAAAAGUAAUACCUUAUCUCCGGGUGUGAACUCCUUCUUCUUGAUUCUCUUGUCAUGCCACCUCUUGACUCUUUCUUUGUAGAUCUUUGAAUUGUGAUAUGCUUUCUCUCGCCAUUCUUCCAAUUCUGAUAGUUGCAUUCUUCUAUAAUCUCCAGCAACAUCUAGGUCCAUAUUCCAUCUUUUUAUGGCCCAGUGUGCUUUGAACUCUAGUUCAACAGGUAGAUGGCAAGUCUUCCCGUACACCAAUUGGUAUGGAGACAUUUCGAUUGGGGUCUUGUAUGCUGUCCGGUAUGCCCAGGGUGCAUCAGGUAACUUGUCUUUCCACACCGUUCCCAUUUCAUUUACUGUCUUCUGAAGAAUAUUCUUGAUUUGUUUGUUGGAAAUCUCUGCUUGGCCACUUGUCUGAGGAUGAUAAGGGGUAGCGAUGUUGUGACGGAUUCCAUGUCUUGAUAGAUAUUGCUUGAAGCGUUUGUCGAUGAAGUGUGCUCCUCCAUCACUUAUCACUACUCUGGGAACUCCAAAUCUUGGAAAUAUAAUUUCUUCAAACAUCCUCUUUGAACUGACGUUGUCGGCAUGCUUGCAAGGUAAUGCCUCUACCCACUUGGAGACAUAGUCAACUGCCACCAAGAUGUACUCACACUUCUUUGAUGGAGGAAAUGGACCCAUGUAGUCUAUUCCCCAGACAUCAAAGAGCUCAAUCUGAAGGUUGUUGGUGAGUGGCAUUGCAUCCCUUGUAUUUAUGUUUCCGUGCCUUUGACAUAGCCCACAUCUUCUGAUAUAUUGCCUUGUGUCUUCAUACAUUGUAGGCCAAUAGAAUCCACACUGCCUGAUCUUUGAAUGUGUACGGAAUGCUCCAUAGUGACCUCCAUAUGGUGAUGAAUGACAUCUGUCGAUGAUCUUCCAUCCUUCCUCAGUGGUCACACAUCUCCUGAGUAAGCCAUCAGAGCAUACUCGGAAGAGGUAUGGCUCAUCCCAUAUAUGUGAACGACUUUCUUGAAUAAGCUUCUUCUUGUUUGCUCCUGGUGGUACAUACCCUGAAACCAUAAAAUUAACAAUAUCUGCAUACCAGGGGUCAGACCUGUUAAUCCCGUAGAGCAUGUCGUCCCGAAGUGAAUCAUUGAUGGGGGUUUCCUGUGGACUCUUAAAAUACAUUCUAGACAAGUGAUCAGCAACAGAAUUUUCUACUCCCUUUUUAUCUUUUAUUUCUAAGUCAAAUUCUUGGAGUAAUAAGAUCCAUCUAAUCAGGCGAGGUUUAGCAUCUUUUUUAGUGAGCAAAUAUUUUAGUGCAGCAUGAUCAUUGUAAACAAUUAUUUGAGCUCCAACUAAAUAGGAUCUAAUUUUAUCAAUGGCAAAGACAAUAGCCAGAAGCUCUUUUUCAGUGGUUGCAUAAUUAAGUUGAGCUCCUGUCAAAGUUUUACUGGCAUAAGCAAUUGCAUGAUGCUUCUUAUCUUUAGUUUGUCCCAAUACUGCCCCCACAGCAUAAUCACUAGCAUCACACAUAAUUUCAAAAGGCAACGACCAAUCAGGGGGUUGAAUGAUUGGUGCAGAGAUGAGUGCUUUCUUUAAUAAAUUGAAAGAUGUUAGACAUGCAUCAUCAAAUUCGAAAGGAGCAUCCUUGGCUAGCAAAAGAGUAAGUGGUCUAGCAAUAAAUGAAAAAUCUUUUAUGAAUCUACGAUAAAAACCAGCAUGGCCAAGAAAGCUUCGAAUUCCUUUUUUAUUUACAGGUGGAGGUAGUUGUUCAAUUACUUCAAUUUUAGCUUUGUCUACCUCAAUACCCCUUUCAGACACUAAGUGUCCUAGCACUAUUCCUUCCCUAACCAUAAAAUGACAUUUUUCCCAAUUAAGGAUUAAGUGCUUUUCUUCACAUCUUUGCAAAACCUUGUCUAAGUUUUCAAGACAACUAUCGAAAGUUUUUCCAUAAACAGAGAAAUCAUCCAUGAAAACUUCCAUAAUCUCUUCAAUCAUAUCAGAAAAUAUAGACAUCAUGCAUCUUUGAAAAGAAGCUGGUGCAUUACAUAACCCAAAAGACAUUCUACGGUAAGCAUAAGUUCCAUAAGGGCAUGUAAAAGUGGUUUUGCUUUGAUCAUCAGGAUGGAUCGGGAUUUGGUGAUACCCUGAAUAUCCAUCUAAGAAACAGAAGAACGAAUGGUUUGCUAACUGCUCUAGCAUCUCAUCUAUAAAAGGUAAAGGAAAGUGAUCCUUUCUCGUGGCUUUGUUUAGUUUUCUAUAGUCUAUGCACAUCCGCCAUUCUGUGACGGUGCGUUGCGGAAUUAGCUCGUUCUUUUCAUUCAUAAUAACAGUCAUGCCUCCUUUUUUAGGCACAACUUGCACUGGGCUCACCCACUCACUGUGCGGCACAGGAUAUAUAAUCCCUGCAUGCAGCAACUUUAUAACUUCCUUUGUAACUACCUCUCUCAUAGUGUUGUUAAGUCUACGUUGGGGUUCUCGAGAGGGUGAAACAGAAGGAUCUGUUGGAAUACGAUGGGUACAAAUCAUAGGACUGAUUCCUGUAAGAUCUUGAAGUGAGUAGCCGAAUACUGAGCGAUGUUUCUCAAGAAUGGUCAUUAAUCACAGAGUUUGAUCCUGAGUGAGCUUAUCGCUAAUGAUCACAGGGAACUCUGGAUUAUUGUUUAGGAAAGCAUAGGUAAGACCGGGUGGUAAAGUUUUAAGCUCUAUGGGGGGUCUAGGUGUUUCUGCAAACUCAUCUAAGGGUUCAGGCUCGGAAGGUUCGUCUUCUUCUUCUGUGAAGAAAGGAGUUUCGUCUUCUAAGUCUGGUUCAUCUAAAAGCUCUAGAGAUGCAGCCUUUACUUCCUCCAUAGGAUCAGGCAAAAGAUAUGACUCGGCCUUAUUGUUUAAGGAGUGUGAAAUUAUUAUUGGGAAUUUAAAAGUUUUUCCAAAAGAAAUGUGUAGCUUUCCAGUAUGACCUUCAUAAAGGAGUCUUCUAAAAGGUUGUCCUAUUAACAGGUCGAAGUCCCAUGUAUCAAAGAUAUAGAAGUGCAAAUGAACCAUGGAGCCUUCUACUGUAAGAGGUAGGACAUUAAUAAUUCCAAGACUGGGGACUAAUCGUCCCGAAGAUUCCUUUAUGACCUUUGUUGUGGGGGUUAAGACAAGAUUUUUAAAUAGUUUAAGUGCAAAGGAUUCAGACAUGAUGUUGAUCCCCACAACAGGAUUAUAGAGAGCAUUAAAUCGAUCAGAAUUAUAAGCACAGCGUAUAGUUAUAGAGGGUGUGUCCAAACGGAUCACAUCAGAGGAAAGCUCUGAUUCCUCCAACCAUUCGAUACUCAUUACUGAGAUAAGCUCUCUCAAUUGAUAUUCACUUGGCAAAUAAAUGCUAAACUGGCCGUUUUGGGGUUUGUCAAUAGAAUGGUAGUUUGAAAUAUUUCCAAAAUCGUCAAAAAGAUCAGAUUCUAUAUCCAGCAUGAAGUCCGGUGGUGGAAUUUCUUCCUCUUGUGGCUCAGAACUUGGGAUAGCUAAAGUAGAUGAAGAAUUUGGCAGAGUGUCUACUUCGGCUUCAUAGGUUUCAUCAUGAAGGGUAUUAUCCAUCUCAGCUUCUAGGAUUCUAUCUAGGAUCACUCUAGCUUCAUCAGCAGGGAUGCGAAAGAAAGAACCUCUAGACAUUGUGUGUAGCAUUUGUUUGUGAUUUUUCUGAAGACCUCGAAAAAAGUGAAAUAAAAGAACAGGGUCUUCAAGAUUAAGGUUUGGACCAGAUUCUAAAAGAUCAGAAAAACGUUUCCAGGAUUUUCCCAAAGUUUCAUUAUCUUUUUGUUUAAAAGAUAGGACUUCGAGUCUAAGGUCGGCUAUACGGUCAAGGGAAUAGAAAUCUAGACAAAAGUUGGCUCGUAAAACUCCCCAUUCACCUUGUUGUUGACUUACCUUCUGACUGUACCAUUGUCUAGCUUCUCCCCUUAAGGAAAAAGGAAAAAGCUUCCAACGUAAAGUUUUAUCAGAAAUGCCUUCAAUGCGAAGACAAUCACAUGUUUGCUCAAAAUCUCUAAUAUGAAGGUAAGGGUUUUUGUCUUCCUUUCCCGAAAAAGAUAGGUUUUGAAUCAUGGCAAUCAACCUAGAACUUAACUUAUACUGGGAUGUUUGGAUAGGCUGUGAUGAUUCCCAUGGUAAAAGGUCAGUUGCUAAAGGGAUUGCAGACUCAUGGAUCGAUUUAGAAUUUUGGUUUUCCAUAAGGUAAGAGUAAAGAAAAUAAAUUAAAAAUAUAAAAGAUAAGAAAAGAUAAAAGUAUAGAUACAAGCUAGUAGCAAGACUCAGGUUAUCUCAGCAACCGUCUUUCUCCCCGGCAACGGCGCCAGAAAUGCUUGUUGAUAUUUGGGAACGCAAUAAGGAAUUGAUCCGCAAGCGCACGGAUAUCGGUGAGCACUUCACCUGGGAGGUUAUCCAGAGUAUCGUAUUUAUUUUUUUACCACUAGGAGAAAGAGUGCAUCUGACUAACCAGUCUAUUACUACUAACCUUUAGGCACAAAGAAUGUCUUUCGAUGUGAGUGAUAAAUAGAGAUGACUGCAACCGUAGUCUCCUUCUAACCUUGGUAAGGAUGAUCUACUGUUAUAAUGGGGAGGCUAACGGAAUCUAGACACCACAAAGGAUGUUCAACCCGCACCUAUAAACCCUAUCCUUCCUGCUAACGAGAUGUGAUCUACAAAGGUAGCUCGGAAUUGUCACGUUCCUCACUACUACCAAUAGGUCGGUGGAAUAUCCCGAGCGAAGAGAGUCCUGAUCUGCCUCCAGCAGGGGGCGGGCGCCCUGGGCCUGGCCCCGUUUCGCCUCCGCUUCGGUCUCGUGUCUUCUGGAGUCUUCUAGAUGAUGUAAAAUCGCGCGGUGCGUUGAUAACUCUAUGUAAUCCCGACAUGUGGGCCUUUCUUCCUUAUUUCCUGAUAACCCCCUGCAGAAAUAGAUAAACAACAAAACUCGUGGAAUUCUGUCAGAUCAAACCCUAAUUCUAGGUGUUGGUUGCAUAUCGGUCCUUUCUCUUGUUUAUUUGAUAAUUAAAAUUGAUACUUAAGAACCGUAAACAAGGGCGGUUGUCAAUGUAUAUGUCUAUAAUAAAUAUUGCAGAUCUUGUUGAUCUUGAUAUAGGUCAGCGUUAGAGGGGAAACCACUUCGCUGACAUAAAUUGAUGGUUUCCCAAGGAUAGGCUUAAUGUCCUAAAACAAGGACUUAUCAGAUCAUAACAUGAAUUUGCAACAUUGCCUUGUGUAUUGAGCAUAUUGAGAUAAUUGUAGAAAUAUUCCUUCGGGUAUUCUUGCCACUAACCUUUCCAGGAUUGGAGCAAGAAGAUCGGAUGAAUGACAAGCACAAGGUAUGUCCAACCAACCAUCAUACAACAUUGAAUUAAAUUCAUCCAAACUUGAAUUUCGCAAAAUUCAAGCUUGGGGGAGUAUUUUACAUAAAAACAUCCUUUGCCAUGUUGCUAUGUUGGUUGUCCCUACCUUUGAGACAAGCUCAAUUUGUUAAGUACUAAUCACACUACUUCAUCUCCACUUCAGUAGAUCUCUAUAAUUCUGUCAUGCUACCUUUAUCUAUUUACUAGCAAGUGUUGGUUUGGAAGUACUCGACAUACUUCCAUUGGCAUUUAAAUUAAGCAUGGUGCUUAGGUUAAAUAGCCUUCCUUAAUCUAAAUAGACAUGGAGUCUAGUUUGGUUACUGAACUAAAAACUGCUUGAGUAGAUAUUGGUAUAUUUUGUGGGACUAACCCCUGCAGGAAAACUUUCAAUAUCAACCUGGAAAGUCCUCAGAUAAACUCACAUUGGAGAUGAAGAAAGUGACACAUAAAGUUUAACAAUUUGCACAAGAAAGACGUAGCUCAUAAGUGAUGAUUCAUGGAGGGUGCCACAAACACGAUGCACAACCGCUAAGAAAGGAAAGCUUCCACAAGGUGAUACUAUGCCAUCACUCUUCAAGUAAGGUAACACCUUAAGGUACUUGACUAUCACUUUUAUAAGUUUCUCCUUGGUUCUGGCAUUCACAUAAAAUAAAGAGACAAACAUGUAUGAUCUAUAACUCCAAAUUAACCAACUCAAUUAAUUCAACAUGUUGAGUCCUUUAAUCUUUGUUCUUAGUACUACCUUCGUGAUCCCACACUCCUAAUCAUAUAAGCUAAAGUAUUGCACAUUCAAUCUUUGGAAGAUAUAAACAAAACAUAAAUAUAGAUAGAUUAUCUUUCCAUUAGGUUGAGCCAUCUGAUCUGACAAAUGCUACACUCAUGAUCCAUCAACUUUUUCUUGCUCACUAUGCUUAAGGUUAGAGAAGAACAAAUACACUUUUGGUUCUGUUGGUGUUUUCCACCAACAGGGCCCAUUCACUUGAUCUCUGCCUUGUCUCUAUGAGCAGGUACACUUCAAGCAAAACAUGGAGGAGUUUUACAACUCCCAGAUUUCGCCAAGUGAAGGAACUGGAUCUAUGAGCACAAACACACUGAGCAGGAUAUUGCCAACACCACACUUCGAACUGCUGGGCAAUCAAAGAAUAUAGGUGACACCGUAUCAAGAAGUGUAGACGUCAAGGUCCACACCUAAUCAAAUGAUGCACCUAAAGGAUGGAGACAGUGAGAAGUCUUGUCCAGAAGAUUUAAAACUUUGGAUCCUUGUCGGAGGAGGUCAAGAUCGUCGACUCAAGUCACCUUUCUUGAUCAAGAAGGACGACCCUGGUGUUCCAAGCAUUGAGUGCACAAUCAAUGGAUACUCUUUUCAGAAGGCACUCUACGACACCGGAUCUGAUGAAAACACAAUGGUCGCAGUCACUUAUCAGCUCCUGCAUGGAACCAUGCCCCUGCAACCAAUAAACAUUCAGCUCCAGAUGAUUUUCAGGACAUUGACAUGGGAGAAGACAAGUAUGAUCCAUCCACCAUCAUUGAAAGACCGCUCCGCAACACUAUCAAGGCCAUCAUCUAUAUUGGAACCGGAGAAGUCCACAUGCACUUCCGAAGAAGGCGACGUAACCGCAACCAGAGGAGGCAAAUCAUCAAGGACGGAUAGGUAGACUACGAAGGAGAAGUGGUAAGAUCUGAAGACAUAUAGCUUGAACAGAACUGUCCUGAGGACUCCGUAGCACCGAGUCAGGUGUGGAGAGAGAAGAUUGUUACACACGAAGAGGAGGCGCCGCCGGAACCACCGACUACGCCAUCCAGCGAAUCCUAGGACGACUGAGAAAACGGAGAGUCCCGUUCGGAGGACUUAAAAAUACCGAACGCCUUGUCAAGAGGUAAACUUGGUAGUUAUCCUAUUCCAUUCAAUAGUUUGCUUAGUUAAUCAGGUUCAUGCUUUCUUGAAAAGAAAAUAAAAAUGUUAAAAAAUAGUAGGCCCCAUGUGAGGAUGCUCAUGGCAUAAAACCCAUAAGUACAUUCACUGUGGUGGCAUAAAAAAAUAAAUAAAUUUUCAUCUUACAAUAAAAAUAUAAAAAUAAUAAGUGCAUGAUCCUGCUAAAUAAGUAACAUUUAUUGAGGAAGCUCAAUAUGAUAAAGGCAAAGAGAUUUUAUGCUAACACUUAACCAGUUCCACAAAGCAUUGUUGUCUAUUUGAGCUCCACAGAAUUCAAGGAUCAAAGAAGACUAGCAGACGGAGGACAUCCUAAUCGCUGUCAGGGUGCUGCCGACUUUCAAAUACACCUCCGCCACCUGCUAGAUACAUCAGAAGAAAUUACGUCAAAAUCCAGCUUGGGGGUGGGCACCCCCAUUUAUCCAGCUAAGUGUUUCUACUCACGUUUAUACUUUACUCAAAUAAUAAAAGAUGUAGAAUCAUGAAAACCCAAAUAAAGAUUUUGUGCUUUUAUAUAUAUAUCUUUGCUUAGUUUGAUAAAUAAAUAAAUGAAUAAAGUUUGCUAUGAACCCUCAUGAUAAACUCUCACAUGGAAAUGAUGAAUAGUUGCUCUGCCAUGACUAGUUCUUAAAAUUGAAAUCUCUCUCAAGUUUAGGUAUAACUAUUAUGAAGUAAGAUUUGCUCUAAACCUGAACUUGUGGGAAGAGUACUUGAUCUAAAGUCUAAGUUGUUAACGGAUAUGAUAUGGGAAGGUUGAGCUGUUGUUUAUCUGUUCCUAGAGAUGCUAGAAUUCUAGAGAAUUUUAUCUUUGAAAAAUCUUUAAAAUAUCACAUGAUGAGUUCCUGUAUGAUGAGAGUUUAAAAUCCUACCACAGCCAUAUAUACAUGCUUAUUAGACUUUGAGCCACACAUUUACUUUUUACUGCUUAUGAGCAUUGAGUGUGGUCAAGCUGUGUAGACCCUUAGGAGCUUGUCAUGCAGUUAAAAUCAAGAUUCACUUGCACGUUCACUCAUACAUGCUACUUCUACUCAGGAAGUACGCAUCCACAUACAUCCACUCAUUUCCAUCUCCAGAUUCACCCAAAAGUAUUCUACUCCUAAUCCGGGAGAGAAUAGCCAAAAACAUUUUCCUAUCCCUGUUAUUCCCUGUGAAAUAAAUGCUCCAGUUAUUUUGGUUACUACCACUUGCUACAUAAUUUCAAGAGAAGAGUGCUCUAAAAAAAGAAAAAAAAUACGAGGAAAUAAAAAGGGGCAACUGCUCGGAACCUCGAAGAAAAGAAAAAGUGAGACGAGAGGUAAAAAUGGACAAGUGUCCGACAGUAGAAUUAGGGGUACAAGAUACCCACCUGAGAGGAAAGAAAAAGAAAAUAUAGAGCAUCUCAUUCUCCUCAAAAAGCUUCAAAGUGCAAGAAAGGUAUGUAUCCCCUUAAAAGAGCAAAAGUAGAAUUAGAAUUUCACCAUUGUUAUCACCAUCAUCACCAUACACCAUUCAUUCGCCACACAUGCACAUCUUGAUUUGACUUAUUGAUUUGUUUCUCUGGAUCCAUGGUUUGACUAUGCAAUAAAUGUCUUGUAAGUAUGUACUAGCUGUCUCCCACCUAUGAGCUCCAGAUAUCAAAACUUUAUUAGAGUAGGGUGAGAGAGAAGGCAAUAUCACUAUGCAUUAUACCAAAAAUACGACAUACUUUGAGAGAAGGCAUAUACCAUUACUGCCUUGGUAAGGAUCUAGAAAUACCACAAAAGAGAGAUUUGAGAGAAUCAUAUAAGGAAUCUCUGAGUUUUAUUUGAAAAUCUGCAAAAACUCCAGAGCUAUAGCUGAUCAAGAAUAAGAGACAUGGCGCUUGACUUGACCGUUCUAUCUUUUAACUGCUCACGACACAAGUGAUGGUUACAAGCCCCAUGGUGAAAGGUAAAAUGAGUAAGUUUUAAGUCUUAACAGUUUAUUCUAACUCAGUGAUGAGGUCUUGCUUGAAUGGGUGUGUAUUUUUAAGGCAUAAAACCACUGUAGGAACUCUUAAGUUCAUCCUUGCUCAGGGACGAGCAAGAGGUAAGCUUGGGGGAGUUGUUGACGGUCCUUAAGUACCAAAUAUAAUCAUCAAAUAAAUAAAGAAAAGGAUCCAAAUGCAACCAACACCUAGACUUAGGGUUUUAUCUGACAGAAUUCCACGAGUUUUGGUGUUUGUCUAUUUCUGUAGGGGGUUAUCAGGAAAUACGAAAGAAAGGCCCACAUGUCAGGAUUACAUAGAGAUAUCAACGCACCGCGUAAUUUUCUACCAUCUAGAGACUCCAGAAGCUACGGGAAGAAAGCAGAGGCCGAAAGGGGCCAGGCCCAGGGCGCCCGCCCUCUUUCCCUGGGCGCCUGCCCUGUCCUAGACUCCGUUCGGGACUCUCUUCGCACACGAUGUUCCACCGACCUAAAGGAUCAAGGAUAACGUAGUACCACAUCGCCUACCGACCCAAAAAUGCAUAGAGGAGGAGGACUAUAUAAGGAGACCCCCCUGGCCCCUGGAGAAGACAAGAAGUUAUCAUAGAGAUUGAGGGGUGCCCUCGAAGGAAAACCUCUUCUCUAAAUAAUAUUUCAUUUUAGGCUUAGCAACCAAUGUAAGUAGAAAUAGAUCUUCUAGUUUCUACUAGAUUGAGAGAGAUAGAGUGGAGGUGUAGAUCGGAGGAAGAGCGGCCUUGUCGGUGUCUACUCCGAGUUGUACCUGCGGGAUCAAGUCUUCUAACCCGAGGCUUGCUCCUAAGAUUCUUCAGUAAUUCGACUUCUAAUUCUAGUAAGUUCUUGUUUUAUUGUUCUUUGGUUUAUGAGUUUACUUUAAUCCUCUUCUGGUUGAGUAUUAGAGUAAUCAUUGCUAGCGUAAACGUGGUGUUUAGGCUAGGAUACUCAUAGAUAUCCCCUGACUAGCUGGACCGUGGUAGUAGCGUGGAACGUGACAUUUCCGAGUUACCUUUGUAUCCCAUAUCUUGUUAGCAGGACGGGUAGGGUUUAUAGGUGCGGGUCGAACAUCCUUUGUGGUGUCUAGAUUCCGUAAGCUUCCCUAAUAGAAUAGUAGAUCAUCCUUACCAAGGUUAGAACGAGACCACGGUUGCAGUCUUCUCUAUACAUCACUCACAUCAAGAAAUAUUCUUUGUAGCCUAAAGGGAUACUAGCAAUAGAUUUGGUUAGUCACAUGCACCCUUUCUCCCAGUGGUAAAAAUAUAAAUAUGAUACUCUGGAAAACCUCCCGGGUGAAAUGCUCACCGAUAUCCGUGCGCUUGCGGAUCAUUUUCUAAUUGCGUUACCAAAUAUCAACAGAUGUGAACCUAACGGUAUACCUAAAGCUUUGAUUACCACUUGAUGAGAACAAGGGUGACCUGAUCCUCCAAAAGGUUCUCGUAUCUCUCGAUUUGGUGCAGACGAGACACAAAUCGAUACGGCCUCCGAACAACAUGAUACGAAACCGUGGAAUUUUUUUUAUUUUUUUUUUGAUAUUUUUCUUUUAGUUAGGAGCACCAAAGAAGUAACCACAGAAAAUUUGAGCUUAAACAAGUGAAAGACAUGGCCUGCGGAAUUUUCGAAAGAUUGUGAAAAAUGUGAAAAAACUUCACGAGGCGAAAACUCAAACUUUGGAGGUGAAUUUUGUGGUUCUAAAAUUUUCAAACCCGCCAAUGGAGGGGACAGACAGAUCCAAAAAAAUUUUCGGAUCGAUUUUGAUAUAUGGAACGUUGAAAUCGGAGUUUGUAUGCGACAGUUAUGGCUAUUUUACGAACGGACUACGAAUUAGAGGACAAAACAGUCCGAAAGUGGGAAAAAUUUGCGGCGGUGGUUAGAAAUUGAUGGAAACGGUGGGGAAAAACACACAAAUUGGACUCUAACAAGACCUAACCAGCAACAAGACCUCGACCAGGACACAAACUCAACACUGCGGACUCUGAAACUGAAAUAUGCAAAGGCUAUGGCGCGUAAGGGUUGUAGGACAGGAAAACGAUAUGGUACUGGACUUAUGGGAUGAACACAAGAACACUCAAAACUAAGGGUAGAUAUGAACCUAAGGGUAUACCUAAAGCUUUGAUUACCACUUGAUGAGAAGAAGGGUGGUCCGAUCUUCUGAAAGGUUCUAGUAACUCUCGAUUUGGUGGAGACGAGACACAAAUCGAUCCGGCUUCCGAACAACACGAUUCGAAACCCUGCAAAUUUUUUCUACUUUUUUGAUGUUUUUCUUUUAGUUAGGAGCACCAAAGGAGUAACCACAAAAAAUUUGAGCUUAAACAAGUAAAAGACAUGGCCUGCAGAAUUUUCUAAAGAUUGUGAAAAAUGUGAAAAAACAUCACGAGGUGAAAACUCAAAUUUGGAGGUGAAUUUUGAGGUUCUAAAAUUUUCAAACCCGCCAAUGGAGGGGACAGACAGAUCCAAAAAAAAAUUUUGAAUUGACUUUGAUAUAUGGAAUGUUGAAAUCGGAGUUAGUAUGCGAAAGUUAUGGCUAUUUUACGAACGGACUACGAAUUAGAGGACAAAACAGUCCGAAAGUGGAAAAAAUUUGCAGCGGUGGCUAUAAAUUGAUGGAAACGGUGGGGAAAAACACACGAACUGGACUCCAACAAGACCUAACCAGCAACAAGACCUCGAAAAAAACUUCACGAGGUAAAAACUCAAAAUUUGGAGGUUCCAAAAUUUUCAAACCCGCCAAAAUCUAGGACACACAGAUCCGAUAUUUUUUUCUGAUCGAUUUUGAUAUAUGGAACUUUGAAAUCGGAGUUCGUAUGUGAAAGUUAUUUCUAAUUUACGAACGGACUCCGAAUUAAAAGACAAAACGGUCUGAAAGUGGGAAAAAUUUGCGGUGGUGGCUAGAAAUUGAUGGAAACGGUGGGGAAAACACACGAAUUGGACUCUAACAACACCUAACCAGCAACAAGACCUCAACAAGAACACAAACUCAACACUGCGGACUCUGAAACUGAAAUAUGCAAAGACUAUAGCGCGAAAGGGUUGUAGGACACGAAAACGAAAUAGCACUGGACUUAUGGUACGAACACAAGAACACUCGAAACUAAGGGUAGAUAUGAACUUAACGGUAUACCUAAAGCUUCGAUUACCACUUGAUGAGAACAAGGGUGACCAGAUCUUCCAAAAGGUUCUGGUAUCUCUCGAUUUGGUGCAGACAAGACACAAAUCGAUCCGGUUUCCGAACAACAUGAUAUGAAACCGUGCAACUUUUUUAUUUUUUUUUGAUAUUUUUCUUUUAGUUAGGAGCACCAAAGGAGUAACCAUAGAAAAUUUGAGCUUAAACAAGUGAAAGACAUGGCCUGCGGAAUUUUCUAAAGAUUGUGAAAAUGUGAAAAAAACUUCACGAGGUGAAAACUCAAACUUUGGAGGUAAAUUUUGAGGUUCUAAAAUUUUCAAACCCACCAAUGGAGGGGACAGACAGAUCCAAAGAAAUGUUUCAGACAGAGUUUGAUAUAUGAAACGUUGAAAUCGGAGUUCGUAUGUGAAAGUUAUGGCUAUUUUACGAACGGACUACGAAUUAGACGACAAAACAGUCUGAAAGUGGGAAAAAUCUGCGGCGUCGGCUAGAAAUUGAAGGAAAUAGUGGGGAAAAGCACACGAACUGGACUCUAACAAGACCUAACCAGCAACAAGACCUCGACCAGGACACAAACUCAACACUGCGGACUCUGAAACUGAAAUAUGCAAAGGCUAUGGCGCGCAAGGCUUGUAGGACAGGAAAACGAUAUGGUACUGGACUUAUGGGAUGAACACAAGAACACUCAAAACUAAGGGUAGAUGUGAACCUAAUGGUAUACCUAAAGCUUUGAUUACCACUUGAUGAGAACAAGGGUGGGCCGAUCUUCUGAAAGGUUCUAGUAACUCUCGAUUUGGUGGAGAUGAGACACAAAUCGAUCCGGCUUUCGAACAACAAGAUCCGAAACCCUGCAAUUUUUUUUAUUGUUUUGAUAUUUUUAUUUUAGUUAGGAGCACCAAAGGAGUAACCACAGAAAAAUUGAGCUUAAACAAGUGAAAGACAUGGCCUGCGGAAUUUUCUGGAAAUUGUGAAAAAUGUGAAAAAAACUUCACGAGGUGAAAACUCAAAUUUCGGAGGUUAAUUUGGAGGUUCUAAAAUUUUCAAACCCACCAAUGAGGGGACAGACAGUUUUUUUUGAUCAAUUUUGAUAUAUGGAAUGUUGAAAUCGGAGUUCAUAUGCGAAAGUUAUGGCUAUUUUACGAACGGCCUCAGAAUUAGAGGACAAAACGGUCCGAAAGUGGGAAAAAUUUGCGGCGGUGGCUAGAAUUUGAUGGAAAUGGUGGGAAAAAAUACAUGAACUGGACUCAAACAAGACCUAACCAGCAACAAGACCUCGACCAGGACACAAACUCAACACUGCGGACUCUGAAACUAAAAUAUGCAAAGGCUGUGGCGUGGAAGGGUUGUAGGACACGAAAACGAUAUGGCACUGGACUUAUGGGACGAACACAAGAACACUCAAAACUAAGGGUAGAUGUGAACCUAAUAAUAUACCUAAAGCUUUCAUUACCACUUGAUGAGACAAGGGUGGCCCGAUCUUCCGAAAGGUUCUGGUAACUCUCGAUUUGGUGGAGAUGAUACACAAAUCGAUCCGGCUUCCGAACAACACGAUCCGAAACCCUUCAAAUAUUAUUAUUUUUUUUGAUAUUUUCCUUUUAUUUAGGAGCACCAAACGAGUAAUCACAUAAAAUUUGACUUUUAAACAAGUGAAAGACAUGGCCUGUGGAUUUUUCUGAAGAUUGUGAAAAAUGUGAAAAAAACUUAACUGGGUGAAAACUCAAAAUUUGGUGGUGAAUUUAAAGGUUCUAAAUUUUUCAAACCCACCAAAAGCUAGGACACACAUAUCCGAAAUUUUUGUCUAAUUGAUUUUGAUAUAUGGAACGUUGAAAUCAGAGUUCGUAUGUGAAAGUUAUGGCUAUUUUACGAAUGGACUCCGAAUUAGAGGACAAAACGGUCUGAAAGUGGGAAAAAUUUGCGGUGGUGGCUAGAAAUUGAUGGAAACGGUAGGGAAAAAACACACGAACUGGACUCUAACAAGACCUAACCAGCAACAAGACCUUAACAAGAACACAAACUCAACACUGCGGACUCUGAAACUGAAAUAUGCAAAGGCUAUGGCGCGAAAGGGUUGUAGGACAGGAAAACGAUAUGGUACGUUACUUAUGGGACGAACACAAGAACACUCAAAACUAAGGGUAGAUGUGAACCUAAUGGUAUACAUAAAGCUUUAAUUACCACUUGAUGAGAACAAGGGUGGGCCGAUCUUUUGAAAGGUUCUAGUAACUCUCGAUUUGGUGGAGACGAGACACAAAUCGAUACGGCUUCCGAACAACACGAUCCGAAACCCUGCAAUUGUUUUUAUUUUUUUUGAUAUUUUUCUUUUAGUUAGGAGCACCAAAGGAGUAACCACAGAAAAAUUGAGCUUAAACAAGUGAAAGACAUGGCCUGCGGAAUUUUCUGGAAAUUGUGAAAAAUGUGAAAAAAACUUCACGAGGUGAAAACUCAAAUUUCGGAGGUGAAUUUGGAGGUUCUAAAAUUUUCAAACCACCGUUGAGGGGACAGACAGCUCUGAAUUUCUUUCUGAUCAAUUUUGAUAUAUGGAAUGUUGAAAUCGGAGUUCAUAUGCGAAAGUUAUGGCUAUUUUACGAACGGCCUCCGAAUUAGAGGACAAAACAGUCCGAAAGUGGGAAAAAUUUGCGGCGGUGGCUAGAAUUUGAUGGAAACGGUGGGGAAAAAUACACGAACUGGACUCUAACAAGACCUAACCAGCAACAAGACCUCGACCAGGACACAAACACAGCACUGCGGACUCUGAAACUGAAAUAUGCAAAGGCUAUGGCGUGGAAGGGUUGUAGCACACGAAAACGAUAUGGCACUGGACUUAUGGGAUGAACACAAGAACACUCGAAACUAAGGGUAGAUGUGAAGCUAAUGCUAUACCUAAAGCUUUCGUUACCACUUGAUGAUACAAGGGUGGCCCGAUCUUCCGAAAGGUUCUGGUAACUCUCGAUUUGGUGGAGAUGAGACACAAAUCGAUCUGGCUUCCGAACAACACGAUACGAAACCCUUCAAAUAUUUUUAUUUUUUUUUGAUUUUUUCCGUUCAAUUAGGAGCACCAAACGAGUAACCACAUAAAAUUUGACUUUUAAACAAGUGAAAGACAUGACCUGUGGAUUUUUCUGAAGAUUGUGAAAAAUAUGAAAAAAACUUCACGGGGUGAAAACUCAAACUUUGGAGGUAAAUUUAGAGGUUCUAAAAUUUUCAAACCCACCAAAACCUAGGACACACAGAUCCGAAAUUUUUGUCUGAUCGAUUUUGAUAUAUGGAACGUUGAAAUCGGAGUUCGUAUGUGAAAGUUAUGGCUAUUUUACGAACGGACUCCGAAUUAGAGGACAAAACAGUCUGAAAGUGGGAAAAAUUUGCGGUGGUGGCUAGAAAUUGAUGGAAACGGUGGGGAAAAACACACGAACUGGACUCUAAGAAGACCUAACCAGCAACAAGAACACAAACUCAACACUGCGAACUCUGAAACUGAAAUAUGCAAAGGCUAUGGCGCGGAAGGGUUGUAGGACAGGAAAACAAUAUGGUACUUUACUUAUGGGACGAACACAAGAACACUCAAAACUAAGGGUAGAUGUGAACCUAAUGGCAUUCCUAAAGCUUUGAUUACCACUUGAUGAGAACAAGGGUGGGCCGAUCUUCUGAAAGGUUCUAGUAACUCUCGAUUUGGUGGAGACGAGACACAAAUCGAUCCGGCUUACGAACAACACGAUCCGAAACCCUGCAAUUUUAUUUAUUUUUUUGAUAUUUUUCUUUUAGUUAGGAGCACCAAAGGAGUAACCACAGAAAAUUUGAGCUUAAACAAGUGAAAGACAUGGCUUGCGGAAUUUUCUGAAGAUUGUGAAAAAUGUGAAAAAAAACUUCACGAGGUGAAAACUCAAAUUUCGGUGGUGAAUUUGGAGGUUCUAAAAUUUUCAAACCCACCAAUGAGGGGACAGAUAGAUCUGAAUUUUUUUCUGAUCGAUUUUGAUAUAUGGAAUGUUGAAAUUGGAGUUCAUAUGCGAAAGUUAUGGCCAUUUUACGAACGGACUCCGAAUUAGAGGACAAAACGGUCCGAGAGUGGGAAACAUUUGCGGCGAUGGCUAGAAUUUGAUGGAAACGGUGGGGAAAAAAUACACGAACUGGACUCUAACAAGACCUAACCAGCAACAAGACCUCGACCAGGACACAAACUCAGCACUACGGACUCUGAAACUGAAAUAUGCAAAGGCUAUGGCGUGGAAGGGUUGUAGGACACGAAAACGAUAUGGCACUGGACUUAUGGGACGAACACAAAAACACUCGAAACGAAGGGUAGAUGUGAAUCUAAUGCUAUACCUAAAGCUUUCAUUACCACUUGAUGAGACAAGGGUGGCCCGAUCUUCCGAAAGUUUCUGGUAACUCUCGAUUUGGUGGAGAUGAGAUACAAAUCGAUCCGGCUUCCGAACAACAUGAUCCGAAACCCUUCAAAUAUUUUUAUUUUUUUGAUAUUUUCCUUUUAGUUAGGAGCACCAAACGAGUAACCACAUAGAAUUUGACUUUUAAACAAGUGAAAGACAUGGCCUGUGGAUUUUUCUGAAGAUUGUGAAAAAUGUGAAAAAAACUUCACGAGGUGAAAACUCAAAUUUGGAGGUGAAUUUGCAGGUUCUAAAAUUUUCAAACCCACCAAAAGCUAGGACACACAGAUCCGAAAUUUUUUUCUGAUCGAUUUUGAUAUAUGGAACGUUGAAAUCAGAGUUCGUAUGUGAAAGUUAUGGCUAUUUUACGAACGGACUCCGAAUUAGAGGACAAAACGGUCUGACACUGGGAAAAAUUUGCGGUGGUGGCUAGAAAUUGAUGGAAACGGUGGGAAAAAACACACGAACUGGACUAUAACAAGACCUAACCAGCAACAAGACCUCAACCAGGACACAAACUCAACAAUGCGGACUCUGAAACUGAAAUAUGCAAAGGCUGUGGCGCGGAAUGGUUGUAGGACAUGAAAACGAUAAGGCCCUAGACGUUUGGGACGAACACAAGAACACUCGAAACUAAGGGUAGAUGUGAAUCUAACGGUAUACCUAAAGCUUUGAUUACCACUUGAUGAGAACAAGGGUGACCUGAUCUUCCAAAAGGUUUUGGUAACUCUCGAUUUGGUGCAGACGAGACACAAAUCGAUCCGGCUUUCGAACAACACGAUACGAAACCCUGCAAUUUUUUUUUAUUUUUUCGAUAUUUUUCUUUUAGUUAGGAGCACCAAAGGAGUAACCACAGAAAAUUUGAGCUUAAACAAGUGAAAGACAUGGCCUGCGGAAUUUUCUGAAGAUUGUGAAAAAUGUGAAAAAACUUCACGAGGUGAAAACUCAAAGUUCAGAGGAGAAUUUUGAGGUUCUAAAAUUUUCAAACCCCCCUACAACGGGGACAUGCAGAUCCGAAAAUUUUUUUUGAUCGAUUUUGAUAUACGGUACAUUGAAAUCGGAGUUCGUAUGUGAAAGUUAUGGCUAUUUUACAAACGGACUCUGAAUUAGAGGACAAAACGGUCCGAAAGUGGAAAAAAUUUGCGGCAGUGGCUAGAAAUUGAUGGAAACGGUGGGGAAAAAGACAUGAACUGGACUCUAACAAGACCUAUCCAGCAACAAGACCUCGACCAGGACAAACUCAACACUGCAGACUCUAAAACUGAAAUAUGGAGAGACUGUGGCGCGGAAGGGUUGUAGGACAGGAAAACGAUAUGGUACUGGACUUAUGGGACGAACACAGGAACACUCGAAACUAAGGGUAGAUGUGAACAUAAUGGUAUACCUAAGGCUUUGAUUACCACUUGAUGAGAACAAGGGUGGCCCGAUCUUCCGAAAGGUUCUGGUAACUCUCGAUUUGGUGGAGACGAGACACAAAUCGAUCUGGCUUCCGAACAAAACAAUCCGAAAUCCUGCAAUUGUUUUUUAUUUUUUUGAUAUUUUUCUUUUAGUUAGGUGCACCAAAAGAGUAACCACAUAAAAUUUGAGUUUAAACAAGUGAAAGACAUGGCCUGCCGAAUUUUCUGAAGAUUGUGAAAAAUGUGAAAAAAACUUCACGAGGUGAAAACGUAAACUUUGGAGGUGAAUUUGGAGGUUCUAAAAUUUUCAAACCCGCCAACGGUUGGGACAGACAGAUCUGAAAUUUUUUUCUGAUCGAUUUUGAUACAUGGAACGUUGAAAUCGGAGUUCGUAUGGCAAAGUUAUAGCUAUUUUACGAACAGACUCUGAAUUAGAGGACAAAACGGUCCGAAAGUGGGAAAAAUUUGCGGUGGUGGCUAGAAAUUGAUGGAAACGGAGGGGAAAAACACACGAACUAGACUCUAACAAGACCUAACCAGUAACAAGACCUCAACCAAGACACAAACUUAACACUACGGACUCUAAAACUGAAAUAUGCAAAGGCUAUGGCGCGGAAGGGUUGUAGGACAGGAAAACGAUAUUGCCCUCGACGUACGGGACGAACACAAGAACACUCGAAACUAAGGGUAGAUGUGAACCUAACGAUAUACCUAAAGCUUUGAUUACCACUUGAUGAGAAGAAGGGCGACCUGAUCUUCCAAAAGGUUUGUAACUCUCGAUUUGGUGUAGACGAGACACAAAUUGAUCCGGCUUCCGAACAACACGAUACAAAACCCUGUAACUUUUUUUAUUUUUUCGAUAUUUUUCUUUUAGUUAGGAGCACCACAGGAGUAACCACAAAAAAUUUGAGCUUAAACAAGUGAAAGACAUGGCCUGCGGAAUUUUUUGAAGAUUGCAAAAAAUGUGAAAAAAACUUCACAAGGUGAAAACUCAAACUUUGGAGGCAAAUUUGGAAAUUCUUAAAUUUUCAAACCCACAAAUUGCGGGGAUAGACAGAUCCGUAUUUAUUUUUGAUUGAUUUUGCGAUAUGGAACAUCGAAAUCAGAGUUCGUAUGCAAAAGUUAUGGCUGUUUUACAAAUGGACUCUGAAUUAGAGAACUAAAUGGUCCGAAAGUGGGAAAAAUUUGUGGCGGCGGCUAGAAAUUGAUGGAAACGGUGGGGAAAUUACACGAACUGGACUUGACCUAACCAGCAACAAGACCUCGACCAGGACACAAACUCAACACUACGGACUCUGAAACUAUAAUAUGCAAAGGCUAUGGCGCGGAAGGGUUGUAGGACAGGAAAACGAUAUUGUACUGGACUUAUGGGACGAACACAGGAACACUCAAAACUAAGGGUAGAUGUGAACCUAAUGGUAUACCUAAAGCGUUGAUUACCACUUGAUGAGAACAAGGGUGGCCCGAUCUAACGAAGGGUUCUGGUAACUCUCGAUUUGGUGGAGACGAGACACAAAUCGAUCCGGCUUCCCAACAACACGAUCCGAAACCCUACAAUUGUUUUUUAUUUUUUUGAUAUUUUUCUUUUAGUUAUGAGCACCAAAAGAGUAACCGCAUAAAAUUUGAGUUUAAACAAGUGAAAGACAUGGCCUGCGGAAUUUUCUGAAGAUUGUGAAAAAUGUGAAAAAAAAAUUCACGAGGUGAAAACUCAAAGUUCAGAGGAGAAUUUGGAGGUUCUAAAAUUUUUGAACCCGCCUACAACAGGGACAGGCAGAUCCGAAAUUUUUUUCUAAUCGAUUUUGAUACAUGGAACAUUGAAAUCGGAGUUCGUAUGCAAAAGUAAUGGCUAUUUGACAAACGGACUCUAAAUUAGAGGACAAAACGGUCCGAAAGUUGAAAAAAAAUUGCGGCGGUGGCUAAAAAUUGAUGGAAACGGUGGGGAAAAAGAAACGAACUGGACUCUAACAAGACCUAUCCAGCAAUAAGACCUCAACCAGGACAAACUCAACACUGCAGACUCUAAAACUGAAAUAUGCAGAGGCUAUGGCGCGGAAGGGUUGUAGGACAGGAAAACGAUAUGGUACUGGAAUUAUGGGACGAACACAGGAACACUCGAAACUAAGGGUAGAUGUGAACCUAAUGGUAUACCUAAAGCUUUGAUUACCACUUGAUGAGAACAUGGGUGGCCCGAUCUUCCGAAAGGUUCUGGUAACUCUCGAAUUGGUGGAGACGAGACACAAAACGAUCCGGCUUCCAAACAACACGAUGCGAAACCCUGCAAUUGUUUUUUAUUUUUUUUGAUAUUUUUCAUUUAGUUAGGAGCACCAAAAGAGUAACCACAUAAAAUUUGAGUUUGAACAAGUGAAAGACAUGGCCUGCGGAAUCAAUUUUCUGAAGAUUGUGAAAAAUGUGUA